rnacentral:lncRNA from 1 species
CCCUCACUCGCCCUCGAAUUCAUGUCUCUCUUCAUCGCCAAUGGCAAUGGUGCGGGAGGCAGAAUCCUCUACACCAACCCCACGAGACACCACCCUUACACCCACACUCCAUGCCGUCCUCAUUUCCUGUUUCCACUCAGAAGAUCACCUCAAGAUCGCCUCCAUAUAGUCUCAGCUUCCAACAAGAAACUUUCCUCUGUCUCUAGAAUUGGCAAGUUUGACAGCAAGAACAGGAGGAGCUCAACUACUUCGACCAAAGAACAAGAAGAGAAUAAAAGGGAUGGUAGUGGUGGUGAUGCAAAUGUUAAUGGUGAAGUUAAAAAUGUUAGUACAAGUGUUGGUGAGAAUUAUGAUGGCUAUUUCUUGCCAGAGCUUCCUGGGGAUGAGACUGAUUUCUGGGAAGGUCCACAGUGGGAUGGUCUUGGCUUCUUCGUGCAGUAUAUGUGGGCUUUUGGUAUUGUUUUUGCGGUAUGAUAUGCUUGUCUACUUUUAUAUUUUGUUCAAGUUUUGUUGCUCUUGUUUCUGGCUUUCUGCUGUUAAUUAUAGUUAUUUGCCUCAUAUGCAUGGUAAAUUUCCAUUUUCUUCUCCUAUGCUAUUGACGGGGUGAAUCUAUUGACCACUAGAAAUUUAAGCUGAAUCUCGUUAUAGUCAUUUGAGUGUGGAUUGUUUCUAACCUUGCCCAACAAACUGUGGGUAAAGAAAUUUUCGUUUUUAGACUUGAGAUUCUGAGUAUUGGUUGUACUUUCGAGAAUGAUUACUUAAGUUGUUAUUAUAUGUGAUCUAGGAACUUUUUGUUCUCUGUCCCUGUUAUGAUCUCAGAUAUCUCAUGCAAUUGCAAUUACAAUUAUCAACUAAUUAUAGAUAUACUCUAACAAUUCUUAUAAAUCAAUGGGUAGAAGAUUUUUUGAAUGGUUUCAAGUUGCUGCAAAUUAAUACUCCAUUUGUGUAUGAAUUUAGGAUACAUUUGGUAUUAUGUAAUGAAAUGUAAUGUAAUGGAAGAAGAAAAGGGUGAUCCUUUGUUUCUUUAAUACAUUUGAUUGUGUUUUCCUUUUACCGGUGCAUGAUCUGGCUAAUAUGGAAAGAAAAAUGGAAAACGAAUACGAAGAGAAGAUACAGAUAGAGAAAUGUUUUUGGAUAUUCGGGGAUAGAAUUUUCUAACACGGAAUACUAGUUUUCUUGCUAUUUGACUAGCUAUGACCAAGGUUAUGAAAGUUUUCUUCUUUAUUAUUUCUUUCACUUCCGAAAGAAAAGAAUAAAAAGAAUAAGCACAUGGAAGCUGAAAACUAUCUCUGCUUGACCUCUGUUCAUGUCAAGCUUACGAUGGCUGAGAACCCUUAAUUCAGUUUGGAUAGUGAAAAAUUUGAAGCUACUUCUUAUAUAAGCCUAUAUGUUCUAGACUUUUGGCUUGCAGCUUUAAUUGGUGUGAAUGAUUUCUGCUAGAUCUCCAGUAGUAGAUUCCUCUCUCAGUUUAGAUUAGUGGAAGUAGUUUCCUUGUUACUCUUUAGGGCUAAUGUUCUACUUAUCUUUGUCAGCUAGUUGCAUGUGGGAUUGCCGUGGCUACGUACAAUGGAGGGGCAGCAGAUUUUAAGGAGACACCUGCAUACAAAGAGUCAAUCCAGUCGCGGGAUCUUUUAGAAGAACCUGAAGCAUCUAAUUCUGAUGUCUUUGACUCCAAUCCAACUGAGGUGGCACCUAGUUUGGAAUAGUCACUCUAUAAUGAAUGUGAAGAAUCUCCACUUCUGGACUAUGAUAUAGAUCCUACAAAAGAAUGUCCUUAAUUGACAAGGUAAUGCUUCUAUUUUGUAACUUUUCAAAUGUAUGUAUGUAAUUAUUUUGUGAGAUAUUAAUACAGAAAAAUUCCUAGUAUGAGUUCAGUUUACUAGCACACACUAUAUUUUUGUGUGGUUGUCUGAAAUUCUCUCUUUCAGUUUCUAAGCAAGUCUUCUGAUUUGCUGAACUUGGAAAGAGUUUUCAACUGAAAACUUGAGAGUUGAUAGGAAGGGGGGGUUUGACCUAAUUCUUCCAUUCGUAACUAGAGAAACCAUCUGGGAAAUUAUUUGGAAUAGGACUUUUGGGAAGAAAUGGUUAAAGACUCGGCAUUUUCAAGAUAGUCAAGUUGUAUGUAUAUGCACGUCCAUUCGUGGCAAAGAAAAGAAGCAGCUGUUAGCUCAAAGUAGCGUCCGCAGUCUCUCAAGUAAGGGAAAAAACUCAAAGUGGAAUGGGAAAAUCAUAUUGAUACUUUCAUCUUGACAAAAAAAAUUGCUAGGUAAUUUCCGGCAGUUCUCUUUGUUCGUUGUCUACCUACUACUCGAAUGUAUUUUCAUAGACGACUCCUGCUCACUCUGAGUGAUAAGUGGCAUUUUGGGUUGAGGUGGUAUUCAAGGUUUCAUGUCUUAUGAUUAAAUUAUAGCAACCGUGUAGUUUGGCUGCGAUUUCAUGAUUGCAUAGCGUUCUGCAAUAAAAUCACUGGAGGUUAAAAAAUGCCGUUCAAGCACUUACCUUUUACACUCCAAACUGGUUAACCUUUCUAAUACAGGUGCAAUCAUCCACAAGAAACAACUGUUUAAAACCAGUACUGUAUUAUCCCAAAAACUAAGACUAAGAAUAUCAAUAUAGAAUAAACACAACAGGCUUAUUAUUAACCUAGACCCAACGAAAUGCUUUUGAUAAAGAAAUGAGUGCCAGAGUCACCAGAAGCAUCAAAGAACCUUCUGCCUCCAACUUAACACCAGUACUCCGAUGAAAUCCGAUUCCCAUGAUGGAGGAUCUCGGCUCCCCUUCAACCACAGGAGAAGCUGAGUUCCAAAAGAAAACAAGAAGCAUGGUCAGGAAAGAAAAAUAAAAUACCAGACUCAGAUUGUUAAUAAAAUCAAUUUCUACUUCUAAACAUUGAUAAGGGGACCAUCAUUCUGUAAUGCUAAAAAAGGGUUCACCUAAGAAUGAAAUAUAUGGAUGCAAAGCCAAAUUAAUAUUAUAUAUACCAGCAAAAGAAUAGUCGGUGUGUGUCCCAACAGAAGAAUUGGAGGGUGCUCCCGGGAAAACUUGAGAAGCAGGUGGACUAGAGAGGACCUGAGGGGCCCCUGAUUCACCAAGAAAUUGCGAAGUUUUAGCACACGUAGUGGUAAAGAAAAUUCAUAAUGAGAAAAUAAAAGAAAAAAAGUGAAAUCUUUCUAGUCUUGAAAAUGGGAUUUGAAUAUGGUAAAGAACAACAGCCUCUAUGAUCUAGAAUGUUCAGAAUGAAUAUUAUAUACCUGAACAGGCAGCAAUGUUAAUUUGCACGUUGCAAAGAGCAGGCAGCUCCAGGGCUAAGGUGCGAUUAAUUGGGAAAGAGCUCAAGUUGGUGUCUUUGAGCAAGAGGCAAAGGCAACCAGGCUGCUCUUGGUAGAGUUGGUUGAGGUUGUCACAGCAAGGUUGAACUGGUGUCUGAGCCAUGCCUUGAACAAACGGGGCACAUGGGGCCAGUGGCAGCAGCCUUGGAGUGCAAUCAGUUACUGUUGGGUCAGUGGGGAUGGGGGAAUUUUGUGAGAGGAUUGUGGGUGGAAGGGAAAUGAGAAGAAGCAAAACUAGUGAAGUAAUUGCAAUGGUAGGAGGCUCAGAGUACAGAGAGGCCAUGAUGUGCUGUUUUGGAUAGAAAAUCUAGGGUUAGAAAGAUGACUAAAUAAGCUGAGAGUGCAUUUUGAGUGUGAGUUGUUACAUGCAUGGUGUGUGUUCUACAUGCUCUUCUUGUUCAUUUCUUCUACCUAACCAGCUGUACAUCAAAAUUCAAGAUAAUAUAUAUGAGAUAUCUUGAAAGACUAGAAAUUGGCAUGUUUGAACCAAUUGUCUUGCUAGUGCAAGUUCCGAAUGACAUGAUCAUGCUAGCUGUUCUUACCAUAUCUGCAUUUCAUCUUCUUCCUUCAAAAUGAAACUGGAUUAAUAAUGCCAUUUAUUACAAUUCACAGCAAUGCUUAUAGGUAGAGAGUUUCCCCCUAUGCUAUUUUUUUUUAUUAUUAUUAGAAUGUAAGUAUAAAUUAAGAUUAAGGGAUACCAUACUGGAAAACCAGCAAGUUCAGAUACAUAUACAAAUUAGGAACAAGAUCUCAAGCAAAAAAAUAUCGGGAAUAGCCGGGUCAUGCAUACAUAGACCAAAUAACCAGACAGCAAAGAGAAACAUAUAUUUUAUACACAAAGAACAUAUAGGGAACAAGCUCGUUAUACAGGGCCAAAACAAAAAUGUGCAGGAAAGUUUUAAAAAGAAACCACAUAGUGGAGGUGUCUAAGCUAACCCAACCAGUAGCGCAAGCCAACCAAAAUCCAUAUCAAAACCCAGACUCCAAAGGAGCCAAAAGCAAAGUCGAGCAGCUGGCUAGCAGAGACCACCAAGCUGAUCAACAAAGACAGAGGGAGCACAUCAAAUAGCAAACCACCUUCCAGUGAAAACCAGAGCAUCCAGCAAACAGAGGAUCGGGCGCUGGAAGAAGCACCCAUCAGCAUAAAACAACAAGAACGUCAGCAAACCAUGUGACAAACAGACCAGAAGAGAAAUAAUAGACAAGUAGAAGAGACUCUCCCAACCAUUCCCAGAACCCUAGAAAAAGAGUAGGAAUCAGGAACAGAUGAAGUUGCAGACAUCCCAGACAAGCAGAGAAACAUCAUAGCUAGAAGCAGCGAGAAAUAUCCACAACAACAGGAGACACAAAAGCAGAAAAGAGGAAGACAUUAAGUUUUCAAAGAGGCCAGAAAACAGAUAACCAAAUCCCAUGUGAAGACAUUCCAGGGCUGAGCCUAAAACACUAUAAGCUAAGGGAUUAGAUUCAUUGAAGUACAAAAUUGUGUAGAAGAGAAUCUGAAACUUGCGGAGCAAAUAAUCAACAGAUUUAUUAGUAUUGUCAAACACUCUUCUGUUCCGUUCUCCUCAGAUCAGAUACACAACCAAGGCUAGAGUAACUCUAUGCAUUCUUGACUGCUGCUCCUUCCUGUUUGCAUUAAGACCUUAGAGAGCACUAUUCAGAGUAGCCAUGCUCCUAUUGAUCUGCAACCAGGACUUAACCUUCCUCUAGAAAAGGGUAGUCCAAUCACAAGCAAAGAAAAGGUGGUUGUAGUUUCAUCAUGUUGAAUACAGAGAGAACAAAUGUUGUCAGACAAAGCAAGCCUUAGUCUGUCUUUUGUUUUCAGCCUUCAAAGCACAACUAACCAUAGGAUGAAGCUGUGACGGGGCAUUGAUCAUUGCUGCCAAAUUACAUGGCACCAUUGAAAAGGGACACUCUUAAAUCUGAAAUGUUCAUGAGCACUAGCAGAGAAGUAUCCCAAAUUAUUCUGUAAGCAUUGAAGCAUACUAACUACUUCAACAAUGCCACUAUAAUCACAAACCAGCUGAUCUUUUAGGGGAAAAAUAGACUUCCAGAGGGGAGAAGAAGUUUUCUGGAGCUUAGAAGUCCAUAAUAUGUGAAGAGGUAAGUAGUAAUGAUGAACCCAUCGAAUCCAAAGAGAGUAAGUAGUAACACCCCCCUGCGCUAUUUAAUCAUACUACUUGUUUAAUUAUAUAUAUAAAGAUAAAAUAUUUUAUAGUCUAGAUCUCAUCCAUACAAAUUACAAGUAAAUUAAUUUUGAUCAAAUCCAAUACUGAAUAUUGAAUUUUCAAAACAAAAAAUAUGCGGCGCUAAGGUAAUUGUAAAUUAAUGAAAGAAAAACAGAAUUUGAUGGAAUAUCAAUUAUUAUUGAUUGCAUCAUAUAUUUAUACAAGAGUAUAUACAAUCAUUCUCAUCUAUUGGGAAUCAAACACUUCUUCACAAUUCAUUAUCAUAUAGACUUAGCAUUACAAUAGGGAACUCAUGCAUACAAGUUAUCCAUUACUAGUAUAUAGUUGAGAGAAUUCCUAACACUCCCCCUCAAGUUGGAGAGUGGAUAUCUUGCACUCCUAACUUGUCAAUCAUAGGAAUGAAGACAUCUUUUCCCAAGGGCUUGGUGAAGAUGUCUGCCAAUUGAUGUUCAGAAUGAACAUGUCUUGUUAUCACAUAACCAUCUUGGAUUUUGUCCCUUAUAUAGUGGUAGUCCAUCUCAAUAUGUUGUGUGUGCUCAUGAAAAACUAGGUUGACUACAAUAUAUAAUGCAACCUUGUUAUCACAAUGUAGCAAAGCAAGUUCAUGAUGUAAAAGUCCCAAAUCCCUCAACAGACAUAAGAGCCAUGUCAACACACAACAUGCUCCGGUCAUUGCACGAUACUCUGCCUCUGCACAAGAGCGUGAGACUAUUUUCUGUCGUUUUGAUCUCUAGGAUAUCAAUAAGGGUCCAAGGAACACACAAUAAUCCUUGAUAGACCUCUAAGUUAGUUGGCAACCUGCCCAAUCUGAGUUCGAAUAGGCUCUUAAUCUGUAAUCAGUGUGUGAAGGAAAGAACAAUCUUUGAUCAGGUGCCCCUUUCAGAUAUUGAACAACCCAAAGAGCAGCUUCCAUAUGAAGCUUUCGGGGUUGGUGUAUAAAUCUGCUCAAAACAUGCACAACAUAAGUAAUAUUUAGUCUUGAAAUAGUCAAAUAAAUCAAUCUACCAACAAAUCUCCUAAAAUGACCUAGAUCUUUGAGCAAGUCGCUUUUGUCUGAUAAUUUUAAACCACGUUCCAUAGGUGUAUCAAUAGGGUUGUACCCAACAAUCUUGCAUCCUCAAUAAUUUCCAAUGCAUAAUUACAUUGAGAAAUGAAAAUUUUAUUCUUAGAAGCUGAAAACUCUAUACCAAGAAAGUAUUUUAAGGGGCCAAGAUCUUUAAGGUGAAAAUGACUAUGCAUAAUUUUUUUUGUUAGAGCAAUACUGUCAGGAUCAUUUCCAAUAAUCAAAAUGUCAUCAACGUAUAUUAAAAGGACAGUGAAGGACUUAUCUCGUUGUCUGGUGAACAAAGAGUGGUCGACCUGAGAUUUUUUGAAUCCAACAAAGCAAAUGGCUUCAGAGAACUUGGUGAACCAUUGGUGUGAUGCUUGUUUCAGCCUGUAUAAGGACUUAUGGAGAUGACACACCAAGUCUUCCUCCCCUUGUUGAAAAAGCCUUGGUGGCGGAGACAUAUAAAUCCCCUCUAAUAGAUCACUAUGAAGAAAGGCGUUGUGAACAUUCAAUUGAUGGAGGGUCCAACCGCGAGCUACAGCCAAAGCAAGCAAGCAAGCAACGAACACAUACAAUUUUGGACAUCUACUUGAAACCAAGGUUUGUUCUCUUGAUAGUUUUUUAUUUAAUUAAUUUAGCUUGAUUGUUUAAUUAUGCUAUAGCGUAGAUAACCUCAACCCUCCCCCCCAAAUUGCAUAUCGUCUAGCAUAAAAAUCUGAACUAAAUCUUCCUCGUGGGAUCAACCUCUUGCUCUAUAUUAUCUUGUUUAUUUAAGCUAGGGUAAUUAACUUGUAUGAUCAUGGCAUUGCAAUAAAUAUCGGCGUCGUUGUCAGGGAAGUGAUUUUAAUUGAUUUUUAUGUUGUGAUUGUUAUUUAUUUUGUUAAAAAAGAAAAUAAAAAAGAAAAAUAGUGUGCAAUACUAUUCUCUUCAGGUAUUGUUCAAAAUAGAAUUGUUGGUGGAAUUAGGUCUCGGCAAUUUGUUUCCUGAAGGAAAAUGAUAUUUUGAACAAGACUAGUCGCCUUUGGCCACUAGUCCCACCCUAUCGAGGCCAAAUUCCAUUGUUUUCUAGGGUUUUUAGGCAUUAUUUGUGUUUUAUCGUUGGAGUUUUCAUUACUUUAAUUAUCUCAUGUGGUUCAUUUCUUUUUUAGUUUUCUUGAUGAUUUAUAUCUGUAACCCAAUCUACUAACCAAAGACAAAUACAGGUAGACCUCGAAAUAGAGAGCACUUUAUGCAGGUUAUGAAAGGAAGCUCGCGUCAACACUGUGGUUGUUGCACGAUAAUAGACACUCAAGGAGCUGGUUGCUCCUAACAUGAAGAAUCAACCAUUGUGCAUAAACAUCGACAAUAAUACCAACUUCGAGCCCAAGUCUUGUUUUACACACUUACUACCAAUAUUUAAUGGAGUUUCUAGAGAAGAUCCUCAUACUCAUCUCAAAAAGUUCAAAUGGUUUACUUUGGCAUGUAAUCGCACGAAAUUGAUGAAGAAUAGGUUAAGUUGAAAGAUUUUCCUUUCUUUUUAAAAGGGAUAGUAACGACAUGGCUUUUCUCUACUCUCCCUAGUUCCAUUGGAAAUUGGAAUGACAUGAAAGAGAUUUUCCUUGAAACGUAUUUCCCAACCUCUCGAGUUGCCAACAUAAGAAAAUAAAUAUGUGGGAUUCGGCAAUCUCAUGGGGAGACACUCUCCUUGUAUUGCGAAAGAUUUGAACAACCAUGCAUUCAAUGUCCUCAUCAUCAAAUACUUGAUCAACUGCUCAUUCAAUAUUUCUAUGAAAGACUGAGGCCUACUGACUACAGUAUCAUUGAUGCGGUAGGUGGAGGGGCAUUGGUAGAUAAAACACCUGAGGCUACACACCAAUUGAUUUCAAUUAUGGCAGCCAACUUGAAACAAUUUAGCAUGCGUGGAGAUUCCCCAAGCAAAUGAGUAAAUGAGGUAACUAUUGCUAACCUUGAGAAUAAAGUUAUUGAUCUUACUUCUCUUAUGUGUUCUUUGGCUUGGGGAAUUAUACAGCAGAUGAAAGUUUUUAGCAUAUGCUCAUUACAAGGACAUGCUUCAGAUAUGUGCCCAACAAUGCAAGAAGAUUACAUUGAACAAGCUAAUGUAGUUGAUGAAGCAUUAAAUGGAUAACUCUAGUGUAAAUAUGAUCCCUUUUCUAAUACGUAUAAUCCUAGAUGGAGAGAUUAUUUGAACUUACGCUAUGGGAACAUGUCUCAACAUGGGAAUCAAGGCCGACAGUUCCACCCCCAUAGAUUUCAGCCCUAGCAGAAUUAUCAAGCUAGACAACCCCCUCCUGCAUUUACAAACUCCAAUGUUAUGGGGUCAUUGAAUGAUGAUCUUUGUGAGAUGAUGAAAACCUUAGCUUUUAACAUAGUGACCUUGCAAUAGAAUGUCAUGUCUUUUCAAUAGGAAACAAAGUCAAUUAUUCACAACUCAGAGAAGUAAAUCGGGCAAGUAGCUUCAAGUGUAGGGAAAUUAGAAGCACAAAUGAAUGGAAAAUUGCCCUCCCAAGCAUUAAAUCCAAAAGAGAAUGUUGGUGUGAACUCAACAUUCCUUGAUUAAUGCUAUCAAGAAAAUUCCUAAGUAUGCCAAAUUCUUAAAGGAGCUGUGUAUUACCAAGAGAGCUUACAAGCUAAAAGGCUACGAAACGGCAAGUAUAGGUGAAGUUGUAUAUGCUGUUAUUCAAGAAAAUCUACCUUUAAAGCAAAAAGACCUGGGUGUGUUUACUAUCUCAUGUGUUAUUGGUAAUGCUAGUUUGAAAAGGACCUUAUGAGAAUUAGGUACAUCCAUUAGUGUUACGCCUAAACAUGUUUAUGAUUCUCUUAGUCUUAAGCCUUUAAUUAAAACUAGUAUUGUAAUACAACUUGUGGAUCAUAUUUUUAUUUAUCCACUUAGUGUGAUAGAAGAUGUCCUAGUCAAGAUUGAUAGUUUGAUUAUUCCAUGUGACUUUUAUAUUCUUGAUAUGAAACAUGAUUCUUGUGAUUCCUCAAAUAACAACACUCCUAUAUUGUUUAGAAGACCAUUAUUAAAAACUACCAAUACUAAAAUUGAUUGUGUUAGGGAUACUUUGUCUUGGGAAGUAGGAGAUAAAGUGAUUGAAUUUAAUUUUUAUGAUGCAAUGAAUUAUCCUUACAACAAUGUUUAUUUCACAUGCUAUGACCAAGUUGAUAAGUGCGUGCAACAAGUUUUUGAUUUGAUUGUGAGGACAAAUUAAGAUUGGUUUUGAGUUAUGGCUAUGAUUUUACUGAGAUAGAAGAGAUGGAAAUGCAUAUAUAUGUUCCCCAAAACGUUCAAGAAUCAGUCUUGGCUUUGUAAGCUUUACAAACAACCCAAUGUGGUAAUGUCUUUAUUUAUUUAGUACUUUCACAUAAAAGCUAUUGCCAUAUAUUUUACAGGCAUCCUAGUUAGAAUUAAAACCUUUGCCUGAUAACUUGAAGUAUGUAUUCAUUGGCGACAACAAUACAUUUCAUGUUAUCAUAGUCAAAGGUUUGACAAGUGCGUAAUAGAAAAAAUUUGUGAAGUUGUUGUGCAAUCACAAAACAACCAUUGGAUGGACUUUAGCCAACAUCAAAGGUAUUAGUCCCUCGAUGUGUAUGCAUCAUAUACUAUUAGAGGACAAUGCGAAACCAACAAGGGAAAUGUAAAGGAGGUUGAACCCACCUAUGAUGGAGAUAAUGAAAGCUGAAAUUUUGAAACUAUUAGAUGCAUGAAUCAUUUACCUUAUCACAGAUAGUAAAUGGGUGACACUAAUCCAUGUGAUGCCCAAAACGACCAGAAUCACAUUCAUAAAGAACAAAAAUGAUGAACUCAUUCCUACUUACAUCUCAAGUUGUUGUAGAAUGUGUGUUGAUUAUAAAGAGCUUAAUCUUUCUAUACGGAAGUGUUGAUCACUUCCCAUUACCAUUUAUAGACCAAAUGCUUGAGCGUCUAGCAAGUAAAUCUUUUUAUUGCUUUCUUGAUGGAUAUAAUGGAUAUAAUCAAAUUGUUAUUAAUUAUGAGGAUCAAUAAAAGACUACAUUUACAUGUCCAUUUGAUACAUAUGCAUAUAGGAGAAUGCCCUUUGGUCUCUGUAAUGCAUCCACAACUUUUCAAAGAUGCAUGAUGAGUAUUUUUUUUACUAUGUUGAAAAAAUAAUUGAGGUUUUCAUGGAUGAUUUUCACAGUAUAUGGUGAUUCUUUUGAUAAGUGUUUAGAAAGUUUAUAUUUAGUCUUGAAAAGAUGCAAUGAAACUUAUCUUGUCUUAAAUUAUGAAAAGUGUUAUUUCAUGGUAGAACAAUGAAUAGUUCUUUGGCAUGUUGUGUCUUCGCAUGGAUUAGAGGUUGAUAAAGCUAAAAUAGACGUUAUCUCAUCAUUACCUUACCCCUCAUGCAUGAGGGAAGUUUCUUCUUUUCUUGGUCAUGCAGGUUUAUAUCGACGCUUUAUCAAAGAUUUCUCAAAGAUUACAGCACCCUUAUGCAAAUUAUUAGCCAAAGAAGUGGAUUUUGUUUUUGAUCAAGCAUGUAAAGAUGCCCACGAUGAGCUUAAGAGGUGUGUCAUAUCUGCCCCCAUCAUACAACCACCAAAUUAGGAUGAACCUUUCGAGAUAAUGUGCGAUGCUAGUGGCCACAUGGUAGGGGUUGUACUAGGGAAAAAAAUAAGAAAGAAUUUGCAUGUUAUCGCAUAUGCUUCUCACAUGUUGGACGGAGCACAAUGAAAUUUUUGCAGUGGUGUUUGCUCUAGAAAAAUUCAAAUCAUAUUUACUUGGUACAAUAUUCUUUUUUUUUUCUUACUAUGCAGCUUUAAGGUAUCUUUUAAAGAAAAAGGAGUCCAAACCAAGAUUGAUUAGGUGGAUCUUGCUUUUACAAAAUUUUGAUCUUAAGAUCAAAGACAAAAAGGGUGUCAAAAACCAUGUGGCUAAUCACUUGAAAUAACUGAAGACCAAAGAUAUACAAACCAAAACAAUAAGAGAGACAUCCCCGACAAGCAGUUGUAUGUGUUACAUUCCUCUACAAUACCAUGGUAUGCUGGUUUGGUGAACUAUUUAGUCACCAAAGAAUUCCCUUUAGGUUUGUCUAAAUCCCAAAAAGGCAAAUUACGAGCUGAUGCUAAAUAUUAUUUUUGGGACACUCCUUAUUUGUUGAAAUUUUGUGUGGAUCAAAUAGUUAGAAGAUGUGUGCCACAAGAUGAAUUUCAUUUCAUUCUCACUUUUUAUCAUUCUCUUCUUGUGGUGGGCAUUUUGGAUUAAAAAAAUGGCCCAUAAGGUACUUUAAAGUGGUCUCUAUUGGCCUUCUACUUUUUAAGGAUGCACAUCACUUCUACAAAUCAUGUGAAAAAUGCCAAAGAACAUGUAAUAUCACUCAUAAGAACCAAAUGCCUUUAACGAAUAUUCUUGUAAGUGAAAUGUUUUAUGUUUGGGGUAUUGAUUUUAUGGGUCCAUUUCCUUCUUCUUUUGGUAAUCUUUAUAUCCUUCUUUUUGUUGAUUAUGUGUCCAAAUGGAUUAAGGCAGACGCCACGUGAACUAAUGAUGCUAAGGUUGUUUUAGAUUUUGUCAAGACUUACAUAUUUGACAGGUUUGGAAACCCUAAAGCUAUCAUUAGUCAUCGUGGCACUUAUUUUUGCAAUCAUUCAAUGGAAGCAUUAUUACGCAAAUACUAUAUGACUCAUCAGACUUCCACAACCUACCAUCCUCAAACGAAUGGCCAAGCUGAAAUUUUAAAUCGAGAAAUCAAGUCCAUUUUGGAGAAAACAGUGCAACCUAACUGGCAAGAUUGGAGUCUGUAACUUAAUGAUGUAUUUUAAGCUUAUCAGGCUGCUUACAAAUCACAUAUAGGAAUGUCAUCAUAUAGGAUGAUUUAUGGAAAAGCAUGUCAGCAACGAGUGAAGCUUGAACACAAAGCUUUUUGGGUCAUUAAACAAUGUAACUUGGAUUAUAAUGCUUCCGGGAUUGCAAGAAAGUUGCAAUUGCAAGAGUUGAAAGAGAUACGAAAUCAUGCCUAUGAGAAUGCAAGGAUUUACAAAGAAAAGACCAAGAGUCUUCAUGACCGAAUGAUUACAGGAAAUGAGUUUCAUGUUGGAGACAAAGUCCUUUAUCAUUCAUGUUUAAAACUUUUUCUUGAAAAAUUACGCUCUCGUUGGAUUGGACCCUUUAUUAUUUCUAAUGUUUUUUCUUUAUUAUGCAGUUGACAUUACAAGUUUAAAAACAAACAAAGUGCUCAAGGUCAACGGCCAUUAAGUGAAAACUUUUUAUGAAGGUUGGACGACAAAACUCAUCGCUUCCGUGGGGUUAGCUGAACCGAUCAUGAGGCAUGAGCAUGUGAUGUGUCAAGCCAUUGACAUAAAAAUAAAAGCGUUUAUUAGGAGGCAACUAAAAAAAAUCAAAUUUAUUUUCUUUUUCUCCUAUCUUUUAUUUUUCACAUUUUAUUUCAUUUUCUUAUAUUCCUUUUCUUUUAUUUCAAUAUUGAGAAAAUUUUGGUUUUCUUUGUUGUAUUUUUUUUUUAAAUCUAAGUUUUAUCUUUUAAACCCCCAUUGGUUUAUGAGAGAAUAUGAGAAUUAGUUGAAAUAAAUGAAAAUAUAAAUCGAAUGAAUGAGAGUGCAUGAAAGUUUUAAAGUUUAAUUAGUCAAAGGAUUGGCUUUGAAAAUAUGUAAUGUUGACUUUAUAGUGUUGUUCCAAUGCAAGCUUUUGAACCUUCAACAUUAUAUUUUUUUUUACCAUGCAUUCUUUCAAUGAUAUAUAUCUCUAGAACAUGCUUCAUAUCUUGUUGAGAUUACAUUCACAUUACAUGUGUACAUGAAUAUGAUAAAGGUAAUAGGAAUUUUAACCACUUGAGGCAAAAAAGCCAACCUAAAGCAUAUUAUCCUUAGCGAGCCCCUUUUGUUUAUCUUUUCUUUGCUUUACCCAUACAUAAGCCUUAAAUUUUUAUAUGUUUUUCUUUUCCCCUAGCUAAAGAUUAAUAGAGCAUAUACUUAUUGAUAUCUCAUGGGAUUAUGGUUGGAAAGUUGCCAAAAGUGAAAGAAACAAAAAAGAGAAAAAGAAAGGGAAAGGAAAAGAAAAGAAAAGAAAAGUGUUUCAUUGUGUUCUUAAAAUCUCAUGUUGAUGGACCUUGAAAUAAAAAGAAGUUGAGUAUUGGUGCUUAAAGAUGAAAAAUUUGUGUGCUUUGAUGGGAUAUCUUGUUUCAAGAAUUAAUUUUUUAGAAUGCUCUACUUCCUUUGGUUUUAGCCUUUUCUUUUCCUUUCUUAUACCUCACCUUAACCCUAGCCCUAUUACAAAAAAAAAAGUUAGACUUUUUGGUUCAUGCAUUACUUGUAAUAAUUUAGUAAUGAAAAUGAGAUUGAAGAGCAAGCUUAUGGUAGAACAUAUUCAUUGAUUGAAUUUAAGAGAUUCAAACACAUAAGCACUAAACACGUGAGUGUUGGAGUGUAUACCAAUGAGUGGACCUAUCACUUUGGCAUGUCAUAUAUUUCAUUUAAAUCCCAAUGAUUAAUUGAGUUUUGAAGUUCGCAUGUAAACAAAUUCAUGGAAAUUUAUGUUUUUAUCCCUCUUGAUUCUAUUCUAGUUUAUAAUGCAUAUAUUCUUGGACAUUGAUGAGAGAUUAAGAAUUUAGUCAUAGUUAUUUUAUUUAUGUAAUUUAACUUUGAUUUUAUCUCUCUAUUCUCGAAGAUGAGCAACAACUAAGUGUGGGGGUAUUUGAUGCAACCAUAUUAUUCGAUAGUUUUACCUAUAUUUACCUAGUAUUUUACCAAUAAUUUAUAUAUAAAAUACCUUGAUAUUCUUUAUUUUAUGUUUUGAAGACUUUUUUGGCUAUAAGAUUCAAAAGGAAGCAAAUUGAAGAUAAUUGGCAUAUUUGACAUCUAAUCGAUGUUUUGUUCAGAGCUUAAGCUCUAAUGGUCGAAAUAAAGUGAUCCCAGUGGCAUUACCUUUCCAUACAUAUAUGGAAAGAAAAAUAAAAAGAGAAAGAGAAAGAGCAUGGAAAUAACAGCGUUCAAAGACAAAUCUCGCAUUGUACCAGUGUUGACCUUUGACCUUUCUAACUUGAAUAUCUUGAGCUAGAGAAAUCCAGAUGCAAACUCAUUUUUUUUUUUGUAUUCCUAACUCGAAGACCUAUCAUCCUACCAAUUAUCAGCAGAUAAAAAGCUCGUAUGAGAGAGAUAUGAGUUUUAUAAGAGGACAUAUGAAGUCUGUCAACAGACAGGUUUUGUAAGAAACAAGUCCAAAGUACUUCCCAAAGCAUCCAAAUCAACAUCUAAGUCUUUAUUUCGGUAAUUUAUGUGAAACCCUAGAAAAUUUAUGAUUUAAAUAUGCGGAUGUAUAACCUGCCAUGUAAACGUAAGACUGAAAGUGAUAUAUAAUGGAGGGGAUGACCUCCAUAAAAUGAAUUUUGUUUUAGAAUUCAUAAAGACAAAGAAACUGGUAACGUGUUUUGAUGAAUAAAAUAAUGAGAAAAAUGACAAAAUGAAUAUAUUCCAAAAUAAUAAAAUGACCUUAAAGGUUUAGAAGGAUAAUUGAUAUUAUUUUAUAUGAAGAUUGAACAAGAAAAUUUGGAUAGUUGACGAAAAGUCAUAAACUGACCAAUUUUACAUUAGAAAGCAGAGCUCUCAAUCCAAUUGUUGGAUUGGGAUGAAAUUUUGCAUAAAGUCUAUUAAUAUGUUUUCCUACAUUGGUGAAAGAUAUCAUCCCAAUGAAAGUUUGGUAAAGACUAACGAUUUAAGCAGAAACAAACCGAAUGGUUUCCAUGAAAAAAACAAAAACAAAUAAUAUAUAAAUACAUAAAUGAGGGACAUAAAGGUAAUUAGUAAAACAAUGGUGCCUUUAAAAACAGCAAAAGGUCACCAGAUUAAAAAAAAGAAGAGAAAGAAAAACGAAAAGGGGUGAGAGACAAUAGAGAAUUCGGUUACAUAGAGGUGCAAGAUUUGGAUGAACCAAUAAUGCUUCUGUGGUUAUAUCUCUUGAAUCCACCGUUGGAUCAUGUUGAUUUUUGGAUAUAUUGUUCUUAUCACACUCCUCUAUAAACUGACCGGAGGGAUUUGACCGAACAUAAUGUAUUGAGCAGCCAUCAUCAUCGGAAGUGUCCUGGAAAACAAAAGGAAAUAUACCUGCAGGGCAGUUUUGGUCGACGGCCGAUUUCUCUCUCUUCCACCGUUGGAUCGUGCCUAUUUGUGGAUAUGUGGUGCACCUAGAUGUGGUCUACAUUCUGGACGGUGGAGAUCCGAAACACACUCUCCGGCAAGGUUUGGUUCAUGUUGAACAGUAGCUCAUCCAUUUUCAGGUUAGUUCGGUUUUAUUCAGAUCUAUGGACAUCCAACCGUUGGAUUAUUCUGAUUUUGAGAUAUAUUGUACACAACGCAAUGAUAUAUAUUCUGACCGUUGAGUUCAAGGAAAUAAUCAAAGGUGGAUGAGUUGUUGCUAUUUGAAUCUAUUGCUAGUCUUAGUAAAACAUUUAGGAAGCUUGAUUUAAUUACAUGUUUUGAUGAAAUUAGAAUUGUGUGGGUGUAGGGUUUAUGUAAGAUAUAAUGGUAAAAUGUGCUCUUGUUAUUAGUGUUGUUAUAGAUUAAUUGUGUUGUAAAAUGUGUUAGGGAAGUUUUGAAAUUUGGAUGAAGGGACUUUGAGUUUGUUGAUUUAAUGGAUAUAUGUUUUUAGGCAUUAAAAAGGAUUGGGUCUAGUGGUAAUUGAAAGAAAACUUGAAGAAAACUUUAUCCUCCAUUUAAUGCAAAGAUUCGGCCUAGACAUAUAAAUGAGAGGAUGAGCUUAAUUGUUUUAAUUGCUAUGGAAUUUGAGUUGAAUGAGGUUAGAAUAGAUAUGAAAUGAAUUGGUAAAGGUUUAUAUGGAAUAAUUAAAAAGGGAAUCAUCCCUCACCAUGAAUGAAGGCAUUCAGCCAAAUGAAGAAGAAAUAAGGAGAUAAGACUUUGAUUCAUUUUCUAUGAAAACUAGGUAUGGAUACAUAUAUUUGUAUAAAGAAAAUUAGGUAGAGUGUCAAUUGGAAGAAUUUUAAAAAGAUUCAAAUUCUCAUCCUAAUAUGAAAUCCAACCAAAAAUGAAAAUCUUGAACUUGAGUUUAUUCGACCUAAUGUUAUGGGGAUUUUUAUGGGAUUGUGGUUUGUUGAAUGCCAAAUGAAUUGUGUUAUGUUUGAAAUAAUAGAUUAAUGUGAGGAAAAUGUCAUUUUGUGGAAUUUUAACGCUGUCUAAAUGGAUAAUAAAAGAGGAGGAAAAGGUUAAAUUAAGGCGUACAUGGAAUUAUGAUGAAAAUAUGUUGUGAAAUUUACUUAAGAUGAAGUAAAGUGGACUUAUGAAAAAGAAUUGGAAAACUCAUCAUGAAAAUAAAUAAAUAAAAAAUAAGGUCAUUCGGCCGAGAGUUGGUUUGAUAAGGAAAAUGAAUUAGUUUCAAUGGUAUGAAUAAAUGCAAGGAUAUGAUGUUACUAAGUCUGUACAUGAUGGAUUGAGUAGACAAAUAAAAUAAAAUAAAUUAAGAUUGUUAGGUCAUGUUUAAAGAUACUCAAUCUGGAAAAACAAGUCAUGAAAAGAAAGGAAAUAAAUAAAUAAAUAUGCGAAUGCAUGUGUCAUGUGAUUCUAAAUUUAAAUGAAUUUUAGAAUGGAAUUUUCAAUUAUGGUGGAGCCACAUUUGAUAUGUCUCUUAAAUGAUACAGGAGAGAUUGCAAAAUAUGUUCAGUAGCAUGGGACUUUUGCGCGAGUUCAAGCAUUAGGUAGGUGACUUACUCCUUCCUUUUUCAUACGUUGAAUAAUGAAAUUCUUUAACAUGAAUAUUACCAUAUUGUGUUAUAACCGAUAUUAGCUUGUUGAACGCUUAAAUGUUGACAAAUGGUUGAUUAGCUUCGGCUAAUGGCAUCCGAAUGGAUGACCGGGAAGAAGGACUGAUUAGCCUCGGCUAAUGGCAUCCGGAUGGAUGGCCGGAACAAACAAAUGAUUAGCUUCGGCUAAUGGCAUCCGAAUGGAUGACCAGGAUGAAGGAUUGAUUAGCCUCGGCUAAUGGCAUCCGAAUGGAUGGCCGGGACAAAGAAUGAUUAGCUUCGGCUAAUGGCAUCCGGAUGGAUGGGCGGGAAAAAUAAAUGAUUAGCUUCGGCUAAUGGCAUCCGAAAGGAUGACCGGGAUGAACGAUUGAUUGGCUUUGGCUAAUGGCAUCCGAAGUGGAUGACCGGGGUGAGUGAACGGUUAACCUCAACAAAUUAUGCCUUAAGAUUAUGGUUGAUUGUAAAACAAUUAGUGCAUCUAUAUGUACUACAAAUUGUUUAUACCAAGCACAUGAAGAAAUUAUAAACAUGGCUAACAAAAGAAGUUAGCCGGAUGUUGGGAAAUUCAUAUGAAAUUACCGGAUUGACUUUGGCAACCAAGAUGGGUUAGCCAAAUUUAUUUGGUAAUUAAGAGAAUUAUCAGGUUUAUUGGUUAACAAGGAAGUUAACUGGAUAUGGGGUAAUUCGUAUGGAAUUAUCGGAAUAAUUGGCUAACAAAAGAGGUUAGCUGGAUGUUGGGUAAUUCGUAUGGAAUUACCGGAAUAAUUGGCUAACAAAAGAGGUUAGCCGGAUGUUGGGUAAUUCGUAUGGAAUUACCGGAUUAAUUGGCUAACAAAAGAGGUUAGCCGGAUGUUGGGUAAUUCAUAUGGAAUUACCGGAUUGACUUUGGCAACCAAGAUGGGUUAGCCAAAUUUAUUUGGUAAUUAAGAGAAUUAUCGGGUUUAUUGGUUAACAAGGAAGUUAACUGGAUAUUGGGUAAUUCGUAUGGAAUUAUCGGAAUAAUUGGCUAACAAAAGAGGUUAGCUGGAUGUUGGGUAAUUCGUAUGGAAUUACCGGAUUAAUUGGCUAACAAAAGAGGUUAGCCGGAUGUUGGGUAAUUCAUAUGGAAUUACCGGAUUGACUUUGGCAACCAAGAUGGGUUAGCCAAAUUUAUUUGGUAAUUAAGAGAAUUAUCGGGUUUAUUGGUUAACAAGGAAGUUAACUGGAUAUGGGGUAAUUCGUAUGGAAUUACAGGAUUGAUUGACUAACAAAAGAAGUUAACUGGAGGCUGGGUAAUUCGUAUGGAAUUACCAGAUGUACUGGUAAUCUAGGAAGGUUAAAAAAAAAUGUGAGUAAUUAUAUGCACUUACCAUAAUUAUUGGCAACCAAGAUGGGUUAGCCAAAUUUAUUUGGUAAUUAAGAGAAUUAUCGGGUUUAUUGGUUAACAAGGAAGUUAACUGGAUAUGGGGUAAUUCGUAUGGAAUUACAAGAUUGAUUGACUAACAAAAGAAGUUAACUGGAAGCUGGGUAAUUCGUAUGGAAUUACCAGAUGUACUGGUAAUCUAGGAAGGUUAAAAAAAAAUAUGAGUAAUUAUAUGCACUUAUCAUAAUUAUUGGCAAUUGAGAUGAGUAAGGUUUUGAAAAGAGUAUGUGAAUUAAUUGAUUGAAGUUAGAAAUAGUAAAUUCUAAAUGUUAUAAGCAAAAUAAUUAAUAUAGGACUAAGAUAUUGAGUAAAUUACAUAAUCACAAUUACUUGGAGAUUAGAAGGGAAUUGAUAGAUAAUUGGUCACCAUAAUGAUGGUGGCUAAGGGUAUAAAUUGAUACUUGGCACUAUGAUGAGAGUGACGAAGGUUAUGUGAAGGAUGCUUAGUGACCGUAGUGUCGAUAACUAAGAUUGUAUGCAAAUAAUACUUGGCAACCGUGGUUAUAAUGCAUAUGAUGUUAAUAAGAAAAAUAAAAGGGGUUCGGUACGAAUGGAAGAAUCAAAUGACAUUGAUUAGCUAUCCAGGUGUGGAUUGCUAAUGGUAUCAAUGAGGUUUCAUCAGUGCCAGUAUUUUCUUAAAUAUUGGAAGACUAAUGGUAUCAAUAUAGUCUAGCCCAAUAUUGGAAGACAAAUGAUGCUAAUAAGAUUUAUUAGUUUCGGCGAUUACCUUCUAGCAACAGAUUCAGAAAAGGGAAAUAUUGAUUAGCUAUUCCAAAAGAAUGAGAUAAGCUAAUGAUACUAAGAAAGGAAUAUUUUGUUAUCAAGUGAAAAUUGAUUUAUAAAAAGAUGGUGUUCGCAAACGGUUGAGUUGUGUUGAGAUUUCCAAGAUGGAAUUAUUCUUGGCAAAUGAAAUAGGAUAUUAGAUGAAUAUUGGUAAUAGAUGGAAAAUAUAUGGUAUAAAAGAGGUUUAUGAUGAAUUUUAUAUAUCAAAAGAAAUUCCAUAGAGUUUAUUAUCUGUCAUUGUUAUUAAUUGUUACUAUCUUUUAUAUUUAUGUGUACAUGUUAAUUUUUAUUUUCAGGUCCAUCAGGGUCGCGUCAAGAAUAAUACUAGUUUUAAUAUCUUUUGCUUUUGACCAUGUAAAUUAUUUGUAAAUUAAAAGACUGGUCUCCUAAAACUUGAGAUGUAAUAGUAAUCCGUAAAUUUGAAUGUAUGUCUUUACUCUAAUGGUUGAAGCUCUUAGUACCUAUUUGACCAUGCAUGUUUCAUGAUUGGAAUUGAAUCUUUCAUUUGAACUACAUUAUAUGAUGUUAUUGAAUAAGAUGUUUUGUGUUGUUGAUAAUGAGUUGGGUUGAGACCCAUGAUGAUUGGGUCGUGAUUUUGAGUUAUGAGCUGUGAGUUAGUAGAAGUGUAAACAGGGUUUAUGUCGAUAACUUGGGACAUACUAGUAUAGAGGAGACUUUGCUGAAAUUUUGGUGGAACCUGUAUAUAUAUAUAUAUAUAUAUAUAUAUAUAUAUAUAUAUAUAUAUAUAUAUAUAAAUUACCUCAAAAAUUUCCAAUGUAUCGCGAAAUUGGAUGUGGAAAAUCAGGGUUGUUACAAUUUAGCUCCUCUAAGUCCAAAGUCAAAGCUUGAAGAUUUUAUGCAAGGCUACUUCUCCUUUUUUAGGAAAAUAGUUGUUGAAAUACUUAAAUAUAAAUUAUCUACUUAGGAAAGGACUAUUUUGUAGGAAAAGGGGAUUAGGGUUUCCUAUCAAAUAAAAACAAAGAGAUAAAGGAGGGGGGUUGGCCAAAAAAGAGAAGAAAACACAUUUUUUCCUCCAAAAACCCAAAACCAUGCAUUCUUCUUUCCAUUUGAUUAGCUUUUCAAUAGACAUGCAAGGCUACGCUCUUUUUCUUGGUUGCAAGGACACAUAAACCUUUGGAUUUCAAGAAUUAUGAGAUUUAUUUUACCUUUUCUUUUCAGUUUAUAUGACGAAUAUGUUUGUUUUCCUAUGCUUAUUUCUUAUGAUUGUUUUAAUUGCUAGAGCGGACUCUAAAUUAUUAUUGUAAACAAUCUAUUGCUAAGUUUGCCAUCCAAAUCGGAGUGUGGUAUAUAAACUUGUGAAGCAAUGGAGUUUAAUAAUUGUAGCGGAGCUAUGUUAUUAAUCUUAGGGAAAACAUUCGAUCAAAUCAAACAUGUAUUGUAGACAGUUAUGUGUCUAGAUGAAUCAACUUAUCUAGUUCUUAAGGCUAUCAUUCAAUUAAAUUACUAGUAUGGACAUUGUGGAUGUUUGAUGGUUAGGGUUAGUUACAUUGUGGAUCGGUUAACUAACUAGCAUUAAGAAAAGAUAAAUAUUCAACAUAUAAAUUUAUGUAUCAUUUCAAUUAUUGAUUUUGAUUUUCAUAGAUGGACGUUUACUUGAAACCAAGGUUUGUACUCUUGAUAGUUUUAUAAUUUAUUUAAUUUAGCUUGAUUGUUUAAUUUUGUUAUAGCGUAGAUAACCUCAACCCCCUAAAUUGCACAUCGUCUAACAUAGAAAUAUGAACCAAACCUUCUUCGUAGGAUCAACCCCUUACUUGCUUUAUACUAUAUGUUUAAGCUAGGGUAAUUAAUUUGUAUGACCGUGACAUCGCAACAAUAACAUUGAGACAUGCAUCACUUUAAAAAGAAAGGUCUUUCAGCUCAUCAAAGUUGGAUGGAUCACUUUUGAUGAUGCACUCAAUAUGAAUUGAAAUCCUCUUCCCAACCAUGCUCCGGGAAGUAGAAAAGUCAAUGUUGUAGAGACAAGAAGGAAGGAAGCAAAAGCUAUAAGGAUAGCCAUGAGCGAGUUAUACAACGUGUUAAAGCUAACUCUCAAAACACUAAUCACAAAAACAAGCCUAAGAAAAUAAUGGUGACUUCUGUCUAUAUCACCAACACAAUGGGCAUGUCAUUGAUUAUUGUGAAGAAUUUCACAAUGAAGUGUUAAGUAAGAUGGCACAAGGAUUGCUAAUAAUUGACACUUUUGAAGAAAAUAUGGAGGGAUGGAUGGUGGUUGGGAAAGUAUGUUGAUAUCAACCAAGAAUAUGCCACUAAAAUUGGUUUUAACCAAGCGGAUGGUAGACAUAAAGGGAAAUUAUAAUGUUUUCCCUUAUUAUUAUGACCAAUCCCAUCCUACCAGAGUUUCUGCACCAAUUUCCUUCUUGAAAUUGAAGGGUUAACUAUAAAUGGGAGGUGUUUCACCCCUGAAGAAUUAGAAAACCAGCAGAAAACUAAGGCAAAUGAUGUAAUGAAUUUAACCAAAAAUUAUGAGGCUAAAAACCAAUGAGUGAGGAGGAAGUUACCGAGUUUCUGAAACUAAUGAAGCAUGGUGAGUAUAGUGUGGUAGAUCAGUUGAAAAAGACACCAACCAUAAUUUCCCUGAUGUCUUUAAUCCUAAGCUCAAAACUACACCGAAAUGCACUCCAAAAAGACCUCAAUAAAGCUUAUAUCCCUCAAGACAUGAAAUAAAAUUCUAUGUAACAUUUAAUAGGAAGAAUCCAAUUUGCCAAUUACUUGUAUUUCACUAAAGAUGAACUUGAUCUCGAGGGAACUAGGCAUAACAAGCUAUUAUACAUCAUGGUGAAAUGUAAAGAUUGUGUUGUCCCCAAAGUGCUUAUACACAAUAAGUCUUCUCUAAAAGUUUUACCAAAACAUGUAAUGGAACACCAAGGCCCAUUAUUGGAAGCAUUGAUGUUGAUUUGGUUAUUAGCUCGUAAGUGUUUCAAGUAACCAUGCAAGUUAUGGACAUCCACCCUUCCUACAACAUGUUAUUAGAAAGUUUAUAGAUACAUAUAAUAGGUGUGGUAUCAUCCUCCUUACACUAAAGGAUCAAGUUUAUCAUCAAUGGUAACCAUGAUGUCUAAAGAGGUUAUGACAAUUAUAAAGAAUGUGGUAGUUCCGUAUAUUUGAGGCUGAAACAAUAUAGAAGGUGACCUAUAUAUAUUUGAAGUUCUAAAUACUAAGUGGGUACUUGAAAACACCGUACAGAACACACCAAAACUUUUAGAAGCCGCAAUCAUGGCAUCAAAAUGCUUCCUAAACCAUGGUUUGCCUUUUUAAUAUAACCCAAUCACCAUUAUGCCUGAGAGGAUAAACAUUAGAAAGUUGAGAGCAACUGAUCAAAGAUUUGAGUUGUGGUUCAUGCUCGUGAGGAAGAACUUUGCAAGAGAAAAAAGAAUUUAAAAAGAAAAAAGAAUGGCCCAGAUUAAGGGAAAGGAACUUGAUGAGGAAGCAUUGAAGAUUCUGCAUACCUAGGAAAAUUUCCCACAACCAAUAAAUAUAAUAAGAGCAGGAUAAGAACUAAAGGAUUUGGAGAGAAAAAUUGUUAAUGCUAUAAUCAAUUGUCUAGAAAAAGCUAAAAAAGUUAAUGAAAGUACUUUUGAGCUAUUCUUACCCAAGUCAAUUAUCAACUCCCUCAAAGAGACUCCUAUAGAAAGUUUUGCAAGGAAGCUAACUGAAGGAGAAUAGUUGAAUAAUUGAGAGACUCAAAAUAUCAUGAUUGUUCUCCGAAAGUAAUUUCAUCCAAGAAUGCUUAUAUCUAACAUGCUUAGUUUAUAUAUGCUUUUCAUGAGUCUUUUCCUUCUUUGUUUUUGUUUUUACAUGUUCACCCAAUUGAUAAUCUUGGCUCAAGACAUUAGUUUGGAGACCUUAUAUGAGUUUGAGUCACCCUUUCAAUUUUAAUAAGAUCAUGCAUUUUUCUUUCAUCUGUUGCCUUCACUUACUCUUAUUUUUUCAUAUAAAAACAAUUUUCACUCUCAGAAAAUUUGAAAGCAGAACCUCAAUAAACAUGCAAACUCAUCACAUUGAGAAUAAUUAGUCAAAUCUUGAUAAAAACACAAUUGCUAUGGAUGAGGAAGAGUUUGGAGAGGAAGACAUUAGAGAAUUCUCUAAUAUAAUUUAGCAGUAUGAGAAGGCCUUAAAACCCAUUGAAGAAAGAUUAGAAAUGGUGGAUGUUGACACUAAGUGUGGAAAAAAAGGAUUGAAGAUUGGAAUGCAGAUUGUUCCCAAAUAAAGAGAUGGUUUGGUAGCUUUGUUGAAAGAGUUCUCUGAUGUGUUUUCUUGGAUAUACAACAAUAUGUUUGAACUAGAUACUAGUAUUGUGGUACACAGGUUGCCUCUAAUAAAGGGGUGCAAUCUUGCCAGACAUCCUAAUUAAGGUAAAAAAAAAAGGGUGAAAGUUUUCUAGAAGUGGUCAAAUACCCUCAAUGGGUAUCAAACAUAGUAGCAGUGCCUAAGAAAGGUAAUAAAAUUAGGUAUAUGUGGAUUUUAGGGAUUUGUGUAGAGCUAGCCUAAAAGAUGACUUUCAAUUCCCUCACAUUGACAUGUUUGUACACAAUGCUGCCAAGAAAUCCACUUACUCUUUCAUGGAUGGAUUCUCAAGUUAUAACCAAAUCAAGAUGGCCAAAAAAGACAAGGAAAAGACUACCAUCGUUACCCUAUGGAGAACUUUCUGGUACAAGGUAAUGCCAUUUGGUUUGAAAAAUGCUGGAGUCAUAUAUCAGCGAGCAAUGGUAACACUUUUUCAUGAUAUCAUGCAUAAAAGGAUUGAAGUAUACAUUAAUGAUAUGAUAGCCUAAACCCAAAUGGAAGAGGAUUACGUGCAAAUUUUAAGAAAACUCUUUGAGAGAUUGAGGAAAUAUCAAUUAAAGUUGAAUCCAGCAAAAUAUACAUUUAGGGUUAAAUAUGGGAAGUUAUUCAAAUUUGUGGUAAGUAAUAGAGGAAUCAAGGUAAACCCAAAUAAAGUCAAAGACAUCUAAGAAAUGUCAGCACUCAAUACCAAUAAAGAAAUAGGGGGAUUUUUAGGGAGACUGAACUAUAUAGCAUGUUUUGUCUUCUAGUUAACUAUAUGCAAACCGAUCUUUAGGUUGUUAAGGAAGAAUAACCUUGGAAUUCAGCAUGAAGAUUAUCAAGAGGCUUUUGAUAAGAUUAAGCAAUCAAUACCUUGUGAACCCACAUUUGCUAGUACCACCAAUUCCUAGUAAACCCCCGAUACUAUACUUAACAAUCAAUUAAACAAAUAGAUGUUGUAUUAGGACAACAUGAUGAUAUUGGAAGAAAAAAACAAGUCAUUUAUUACAUCAAUAAGAAGUUCACUAUUUGAGCUUUCAUAAUUUCUCUAGAUGAUAGAAAGUACCCUAACUCAAUUUGUAAAUCCCGGAAAAAAAAAAUAAAGGCUGGAUUAAAUUAAAGGAAAUAAACUAAACUAGAAAGAAGUGGGGGAAAAAUGAAUACACUUAAAAAAAUAGAGCCUAAAUGCAAAUAAGAAUAAUUAUAGAGCACAAGUACUCCUCUUCUUACCAAAAAUAGAUCUGCAAAUAACGUAAAGAAAGAAAAAAAGGAGUUUUUAUAUUCAUUUUUACAAAUCAAGAUUUCAAAAACCCAUCCAAGAUUAAGGGUUAUAGGUAGAAUAAACACCGGUGGGAAAGGGAUUAACAAGAAGAGAAGAGGGGAGGGCCGGCUGUCAUUAGAAAGAAAAGGAGGGAUCAAAACUUUGAUUCGUACCGGGUAAGGUAUUCUAAAUUUUCUCUUAUGAGUCAUUUCAAGUUGAUUAUGAGUUGAUGCCUAGAUGUUAAUUUAUAGAUUUUAGUUCUUAGACUUGAAUUGAGGAAAAAGUAUGAGUUGCUAAAUUAAAGAACUUCAUGUGUUGUGUGUAAAUGGAAAGGUUGACGAAUCUGGACAGUUUCGUCUCUUGACUUUCAGAGAGAUUUCGGGUAGGAGGAUGAAGGAAAUAGGAUCAGAUUCCUCAUAGAAAUUGUAGUUUUGAAUGUUGGCUAACUAAUGAAAUUGGUUUUGCUCAAUUUGGAGUUAUAGAACUCCAGCUAUGGGUCACCAAUCAAGACUGGGUCAUGAUAGACCCUAUAGGGUAGUAGGUCUUGUUCGUUGAUGAGAAAUUUUGACUGUCUUAGAGGAAGAAAUGGGUUCUCCUUCCUUCAGAGAACUUGUAGCCUCAUGUCUUAGCUUUCCAACUAGACUAAUCUCGCUUGAAUCAGAGUUCUAUCACUCUAGAUAUAGUUAAAAAUCUAAGGAGAGGUUGGAUAGUGGACAGUAACAGUUUAAUGUAUAGACGGUAACAGUUCAAAAACGAGACAGUAACAGUUCAAAAAUAAGACAGUGACAAUUCAAUGUCUAGACAGUAACAAUUGGACAGUAACAGUUAAAUGUCUAGACAGUAACAGUUGGAUAGUAAUAGUUCAAUAUCUAGACAAUAACAGUUCAAAAACGAGACAAUAAUUUAAGCAGAAAUAGUUCAUAUAUAUAUAUAUAUAUAUAUAUAUAUAUAAAGGAAUGAUAACUGCAGUUGCACAAAGAAUGACAAUAUUAAUGGGUGAAAUAAGAAAAACGUAAAAUAUUUAAAAAAAUGACUGAAAGAAAGACUUAUUGGUGUUGAUAUGUUUAUAAUAAAGCAUAUCCUGGAGUGAGGAGAAUUUAUGAGAUAAACCUGUGAAUUGCAAGAGGGACUAGAGGCGUGGUGCAACAGCAGGGGAGUACGAGUAAAGCUUCUAUUGCAGGUAGGUGAAUCGCACCUGUACUUCCUAGUUAAUUUCAUGAUUUAUUUAUAUUACCAAUGUGAAAUGUGAAUUACUGAAUGUAUGGGUAUUCAAGGUGAAAAGUUGUGUGAAUUGCCAAAUGAUGAAAUUAUCACUGACAAAGGAAAUAUAAGAAGUCCGAUUUGAGGCGUAAACUAGCAUACAUUUAGUGUAUGUUAGGAUCCCGGAUAAGGGGAUCGCCAUGAUUGGACUAGCAUACAUUCAGUGUAUGUUAGUAUCCCGGGUAAAGGGAUCACCAUGUAUGGACUAGCAUACAUUCAGUGUAUGUUAGGAUCCCAGGUAAGGGGAUCACCAUGUAUUGGCUAGCAUACAUUUAGUGUAUGUUAGGAUCCCGGAUAAGGAGAUCGCCACGGUUGGACUAGCAUACAUUUAGUGUAUGUUAGGAACUCGGGUAAAGGGAUCACCAUGUAUUGGCUAACAUACAUUUAGUGUAUGUUAGGAUCCCGGAUAAGGGGAUCACCUUACAUCGACUCAUAUGGGGUGAUGAUGAUGGUACUAGUGAAAUUGGUAUCGGUAAUGUGAUAAGAAAAAAUAAUCAUGUUCGAUCUCAUAAAGUCUGGAAUGAAGGUUGAAAGUGGCAAAGGGAACAAUUUUUAAUAGUUGGAUAAGGAAGGGAUUCUAAUAAAAACUAGAAGGGAGAAGCGAAUGAACUAUGAAUGCAUGUUACCCUGUUAAAAAUGUUAGAUAUUCAUGUUGUUAUAUUUAUUGUAAUAUUCACCUUUUAAUAAUAUGUAUUUUGUUUCAAGAUCAUCGCAUGCAUGACAGGAGUAGAUCCUAGCUUAUGUUCCCUUCUUGUAAUCUAGGUUUUAGGGAGUAUACCCUUGUAUUUUGUAAACAUGAAAAUGUUUGUAUAACUUAAUUUGUAUAAUUAAUGUUUAAACUUGAUUGAAUGAAUUUAACCAUAUAGUUCAUAUAACCAUACUUCAUGCUUAUGUAACUAUAUUUAUUUAUGUUUAUCUAUCCAUAAUGAUAUUUUGUUAUAUAAUGCAUAUUGUAAAUAUUGUGGUUGAUAGGUGUGAGUAUAAGUAUGGAAAUUAAAACCCAGGAUAAUUGGGUCGGGAAUUAAGUUAUGAGAUGCUAGCUAUUAAAAGUGUAAAUAAAUUCAAGUCCAUAACUUGGGACCUUCCGGUAUAGGGGGGAACUGAUGUGCAUCAUGGGAAUUAUAAUCCAUCUCGUAAAGCUGAAUCUAAUAUGAAAGAGGGUGCAGAUGGUCCAAUGACAAGAGCGAGAGCAAAACAACUACAACGGGCCAUGACGAAUCAAAUUGCAAUGAUUGAAGCUGCGUCGGAGUUAAAAAUUAGCAAUCAGUUUGAAAUUGGUUCAAGGGUGCUUAUUUGCCUACAAAUUGGAACUUGGAGAUGGGAAAAGCCUUUAAUGGUUCUUUUCAUGUUGGGCUACUUGUAUUUGGAUUGAUAAUGCAAGUGAAGGAAUUGAUGUUGUUUACGGUCAGAACAGUAGAUGGAUUUGAACCCGAAUUUGAAGUCAUCCAAUGCAUGUGAAAACAAGAUUUAUGUAGGAAAAAUUCAAGUUCAGAACGUGAUCUUUCUAGAUUGUCCAACCAUGAUUGCAUUGGACUUUUGUGUCAAAAGUUAUGGUUGUUUUAAAUUUGGUCUGCUUAUGUUUUAGAAAUGUCAAAAAAAAUGUUUGUUAGUUAAAUUUGUCUACUUACUUUAUUAAAAGUCUAGUUUUUAGGCUUGACUUCUGUCAUGUUGAAUUCAUCUAACUUUGGAGGGAUGUUCCAAAGAUAAAUAUGUAUCAGAAUAUGUAAUAAACAUUUUUGGCCAAGAUUUGAAACUUAAUUCAGAGAAUUAAGAGUUGUUCUUCCAAAUUCAUUUUGUGAAGAACCCUACCUGACUUGUCACUCUUCAAUCACAAAGAGUGUGGCGUCGAAAUCCUAGAUUGAUCUUUGUGGCAUCCAGAUCGACUUAUCAAAGUAUCAUUCUAGUCUAUCCUCCAUCUUAUUAACCUUAAAUCACUACAAUCCAACAUAAAUACAAAAGAAAGACAAUACAACCAGACCCCUCCUUCAUCCAUUUCAUUAGAAUCAUUGUUGUCGAUUUUCGAAUCUUUCACGGCACAUCAUCUGGUAUUAGAGCAUCAGUUGUGAUCUAAGACAGGAGCCAAAAACAACAACAAGAAGAAGAAAGGUUUGCUAGAAUUGAGGUUGAUAAACUUAAUUAUGGCUGGAGAUAAAGAAGAUUUGCCAAAAGGGUUAGUUUGGAACAGGCAUAGGUUAUGGGCUUACAACGAUCUCAUGCUGAGAUUCGGGAUGAAAUGACUGGAAUUCGUGAACAUUGAAUACCCUUAUACAAAUGAUGCAAAGAAAUAAUUUGCAACCCCAACAGAGGCAAGCACUUAGGGUGCCACGAAAUGAUAUUAUAGAAGCUGACGAAGAUCCAAAUGGGGAUCAUGGAGAGCUGAUCAAUGGAGAUGAGGUUGAAACUAAAGAUGAAGAUGAGGUACAAGUGGCUGAACAAGAAGAGGAUUUCGAACCAGUCAAAGGAGAUUUGUUGGUUGUUCAACGAGUUCUGAAUGCACAAAUUGAUGUUAGUGAUGAGCAACGCGAGAACAUCUUUCAUACUCGAUGUCAGAUUCAAGAUAAGGUGUGUGGGAUGAUCAUUGAUAAUGGAAGUUGCACUAAUGUUGCGUCAACUACCUUGGUGGAGAAAUUGGGUUUAACUACCCUUCCACAUCCCAGACCCUAUAGUUUGCGAUGGCUGAAUGAGAAUGGGGAGAUUCGGGUGACAAAGCAAGUUCGUGUACCUUUUUCCAUUAAAACCUAUCACGAUGAGGUUUUGUGUGACGUUGCGCCAAUGUCAGCUAGCCAUUUGUUACUGGGAUGUGACCUACAAUGGACGAAAGAACACUUAUUCUUUUAUGCUGAAUCGAAAGAAGGUGAACUUGUUACCACUGAGUUCUCAACAAGUUAGAGAGGAUCAGUUACGAAGCCAACAAAAGGAGGUGACAUCACGUAAGGGGUUGUUGUUAGCCAAAAAAGGAGACAUCAAACAAGCAUUAGCCACGACAGGGAUUGUUUUCAUGGUCUGGGCAAAGCAACUACUACAAGUAAAGGAUUGGACUUACCAAGAUAGAUUAAGGAAUUACUUGAAGAAUUUAAAGAUGUGUUUCUAGAUGUAUUACCUAAAGGGUUACCACCUAUUCGUGGAAUUGAGCAUCAAAUUGAUUUGGUGUCGAGAGCUUCACUUCCUAAUAAACCAGCAUACAGAUGUAAUCCAGAGGAAGCGAAAGAGAUUCAAAGGUAGGUCGGUAAGCUCUUAGAAAAGGGCUAUGUGCAAGAAUCACUUAGUCCAUGUUUCGUACCUACUUUGCUUGUACCGAAGAAAGAUGGUACCAUAAGGAUGUGUAUGGACAGUCACGUUAUCAACAAAAUAACAGUUAAGUAUCGAUUUCCUAUACCUAGACUUGAUGAUUUGCUUGAUGAGUUGCAUGGUGCCGCAUUGUUUUCUAAAGUCGAUUUUCGAAUCGUACUUGGAUUACCAAGAACACAACAUGGGAAGGAUUCAAUAAUGGUGGUGGUUGAUCGAUUCUCCAAAAUGUCCCAUUUCAUUCCUUGUAACAAAACUGACGAUGCGUAUAUGUUGCUGAUUUGUUCUUUCAAGAGAUUGUUCGUUUGCAUGGAGUUCCUAAAAGCAUUGUCUCUGAUCGUGAUACAAAGUUCUUAAGCCACUUUUGGAAGACUCUUUGGAGGAAACUUGGAACGAAGUUACUUUUCAGUACGGCAUGUCAUCCACAAACUGAUGGACAAACUGAGGUAGUAAAUCGAACUUUAUCUUCUUUGUUACGAGCUGUUAUACAUAAGAAUUUGAAGAGUUGGGAUACUUGUUUGCCUAUUGUGGAGUUUGCAUAUAAUCGUAGUGUGCAUGGGGCCAUAAAAUUUUCACCAUUUGAGGUUGUGUAUGGCUUUAAUCCUUGUGUUCCUAUUGAUCUUGUUCAUAUUCCAAUUGAUGAGAGGACAUCUAUGGAUGGAAUUAGAAAGGUAGAAUUGAUGAAGAAACUACAUGAGCAGGUUCGACUACAUAUUGAGGAGAAAACAACAAAGUAUGCUAAACAAGCUAACAAAGGGCGAAAGAUGGCCAGGUUUGAACUUGGAGAUCUUGUUUGGAUUCAUAUUAGUAAGGGCAGAUUUCCAAGCAAACGUAAGUCCAAGUUGAUGCCAAGAGCUGAUGGUCCAUUUCGGAUUAUAGAGAAGGUGAAUGAAAAUGCGUAUAAGGUAGAUCUUCCUGGUGAUUACAACGUAUCAGCUACUUUUAAUGUGAAAGACUUGACUCCAUACUUGGAUGAUGAAGACGAUUCUGAUUUGAGGAAAAAUCAUUAUCAACCCGGGGCUGAUGAUGUGCAUCAUGGGAAUUAUAAUCCAUCUUGUAAAGCUGAAUCUAAUAUGCAAGAGGGUGCAGAUGGUCCAAUGACAAGAGCGAGAGCAAAACAACUAAAACGGGCCAUGACGAAUCAAAUUGCAAUGAUUGAAGCUGCGUCGGAGUUAAAAAUUAGCAAUCAGUUUGAAAUUGGUUCAAGGGUGCUUAUUUGCCUACAAUUGGAACUUGGAGAUGGGAAAAACCUUUAAUGGUUCUUUUCAUGCUGGGCUACUUGUAUUUGGAUUGAUAAUGCAAGUGAAGGAAUUUAUGUUGUUUACGGUCAGAACAGUAGAUGGAUUUGAACCCGAAUUUGAAGUCAUCCAAUGCAUGUGAAAACAAGAUUUAUGUAGGAAAAAUUCAAGUUCAGAACGUGAUCUUUCUAGAUUGUCCAACCAUGAUUGCAUUAUACUUUUGUGUCAAAAGUUAUGGCUGUUUUAAAUUUGGUCUACUUAUGUUUUAGAAAUGUUAAAAAAAACGUGUGUUAGUUAAAUUUAUCUACUUACUUUAUUAAAAGUCUAGUUUUUAGGCUUGACUUCUGUCAUGUUGAAUUCACCUAACUUUGGAGGGAUGUUCCCAAGAUAAAUAUGUAUCAGAAUAUGUAAUAAACAUUUUUGGCCAAGAUUUGAAAAUUAAUUCAGAGAAUUAAGAGUUGUUCUUUCAAAUUCAUUUUGUGAAGAACCCUACCUGACUUAUCACUGUUCAAUCACAAAGAGUAUGGCGUCAAAAUCCUAGAUUGAUCUUUGUGGCGUCCAGAUCGACUUAUCAAAAUAUCAUUAUAGUUUAUCCUCCAUCUUAUUUACCUUAAAUCACUAUAAUCCAGCAUAAAUACCAAAAGAAAGACAAUACAACCAGACCCCUCCUUCAUCCAUUUCGUUAGAAUCAUUGUUGCCGAGUUUUGAAUCUUUCACGGCACAUCAUCAGUUGGGACCUUCCGGUAUAGGGGGAACUGAUGUGCAUCAUGGGAAUUAUAAUCCAUCUCGUAAAGCUGAAUCUAAUAUGCAAGAGGGUGCAGAUGGUCCAAUGACAAGAGCGAGAGCAAAACAACUACAACGGGCCAUGACGAAUCAAAUUGCAAUGAUUGAAGCUGUAAAUAAAUUCAAGUCCAUAACUUGGGACCUUCCGGUAUAGGGGGGAACUCCGUCGAAAUUCUGGUAGAUUUUAAUACGAAGACCGUGAACAUAUAUAUAUAUACAAAAAAAAAUUAUCAUGUUUUUUUUUUCGAUUGACAUGAGAUUGUUGUUUUAUAUCCCGGAAUUGGGGAUGUUACACAAUCCAAUUGCAAUUCAGUUGCACUAACAAUAUAACUAAGUAUAAAGCAUGCACUUAUGGCUUAGAGGCAAUUACAGAAAUAAAAAUAAAGAAGUUAAAUGUCUAUAGAGACUCAAUGCUGAUAAUCUUUCAAGUUAAAAGAGAAUGACAAACUACAGAUGAAAAGUUGAGGUCAUAUCAGAAAUAUCUUUCCAAACUAAUAAAGGACUUUGAUGAUAUAGAAUUUAUAUAUUUGGGAAAGGACAAAAACCAAUUUGUUGAUGCUCUAACAACUUUGACCACUAUGGAUCAGAUUGAUUGUGAGGAUCAAGUACAACCAGUAUGUAUAAGAGUUUGAAAUUUCCCUACUUGCUGCUACUUAGUAGAGGAAGAAAUAGAUGAGAAACCUUGAUACUGCAACGCAAAGAAAUUUGUCCAGUAUUGAGAAUAUCCCAAGGGGGCAUCCAAGUUAGAUCGAAAGACAUUAUAAAGAAUAGCUAUAGAUUACUACUUAGAUGGAGAAUUUUUAUAUAAAAGGCGUUUGAUGAGAUUUUUCUGAGAUGUCUAAAUGAAAAAGAAACAAGGAAAACACUAUAUGAAAUACAUGAUGGAAUUUGUUCUACACACAUAAAUGGACAUAUGAUGACCAGACAGAUCUAGAGGGCUGGGUAUUUUUUGAUAACCAUGGAGAGGGAUUGCAUAGAUUACAUGAGAAAGUGUCAUAAAUGCCACGUAUAUAGAGAUAAAAUCAAUGUGUUACCUAUAACGACCCGACUUUUUUUCACGGCCAAAAAUUGCUGGAAUUGUUUUUUAAUCGUCUGCUUUCUAGAUGUUUUUCACCAUAUCAUUCUUUAGAUUUAUUAUUGCAUUUUGUUCAUUAACAAAGCACAAUUUAUGUAGGAUAACGUAAAUCAACAUUCUCAUAGAACGGAUUCUCAAUACACGUGCCCAUAAUAUUAUAUUUCCAUACUCGUAGGUUUACAUUACAUCAUAUCGACAUACUUAUAAAUUCACAUUCUUGUUCUAAUCUUGUUAUCAUCAAGAGUUCAUACAAGAGUGUCGACAUACUCAUAAAUUCACAUUCUUGUUCUAAUCUCGUUAUCAUCACGAGUUCAUACAAGAGUGUCGACAUACUCAUAAAUUCACAUUCUUGUUCUAAUCUCGUUAUCAUCACGAGUUCAUACAAGAGUGUCGACAUACUCAUAAAUUUACAUUCUUGUUCUAAUCUCGUUAUCAUCACGAGUUCAUACAAGAGUGUCGAACAACAGGUUACACAACUAGUACUUUCAUUAUCCUGACCUCAUGUAAUUUCACAACAUGACAUCCUCAUUAGAUGAAUAUCUCAAAUGUAUAUUCAUAUCCAUCAUAUCAACUUAUUUGUACAUUCACAUCCAUGUACCAUUUUAAUUUUUCAUUACUAGUCUUUAUAAAAAAGGUUGGAUGACUAAUUGAGUGAUUAACACAUCCGUUCAUGUAGAACUCAUAUCACCUAUAGCAUACGAAUAUAUAGUUCUUUUCAAAACAUGUGAGCCACGAAAUGAAUUUCCUUACGCACUAUGUUGGUAUGAUGUCCCUGUUACAACACAAGGUAAUUUCAAGCAUUAUAGGCAAUUUCAGAGAACAUAGCAAAGCAAUACUAAUGUUACAUUUCAUUCAUGGACCAAAAGAGCAUAAUUCUUUCAUUUGUCCUUGCUUAUGUAAAUACUACCGUUAAUAAUUCAUCAAUUAUCAAGGCUAAUUACAAUACUCAAACCCGAUCAUUCAUCUCUAAUACCAUUAGCCAAACUAAUAUUAUUCUUUGUUCAAAACAUAACAAUCGUAGUUCUUUUAUAUACUUAGUAUAUACAAAACGAAGUAUACAUGAACGCAUCAGCUCUUAAAACUAACUCAUAACACUCAAAUUUAUUAUCCUCUUAGGAUGCCAUCAGUCGAAGCCAAUCGUUUAUUCAUCCUGGUCAUCCACUUAGGAUGCUAUUAGUUGAAGCUAGUCAUUAUUCAUCUCGAUUAGCCAUUUAUGAUGUCAUUUACCGAAACUAAUCAUUUAUUCAUCCUGGUCAUCCACUUAAGGUGCCAUUAGUUGUAGUUAAUCAUUUGUUCAUCCCGAUUAUCCACUUAGGAUGCUAUUAACCGAAGCUAGUCAUUUAUUCAUCUCAAUUAGCCAUUUAUGAUGCCAUUUACCGAAGCUAAUCAUUUAUUCAUCCUAGUCAUCCACUUAGGGUGCCAUUAGUUGUAGCUAAUCAUUUGUUCAUCCCGAUCAUCAACUUAGGAUGCUAUUAGCCGAUCCUAGUCAUUUAUUUAUUUCGAUUAUCUAUUUAGGAUGCCAUUUACCAAAGCUAAUCAUUUAUUCAUCCUGAUCAUCCACUUAGGGUUUCAUUAGCUAAAGCUAGUCAUUUACUCAUCCCAUCCAUCCACUUUGGAUGCCAUUAGCCAAAGAUAAUCAUUUGUUCAUCCCGGCCAUCCACUUACGAUGCCAUUAGCCAAAGCUAAGCAAUCACUUGUUCUGGUCAUCCAUUCGGAUGUCAUUAGCCGAAGCUAAUCAUUUGUUCAUCUCGAUCAUCCGAUUUGGAUGCCAUUAACUGGAGCUAAUCAAUCAUUUAUAUAGACCAUCCAUUCGAAUGCCAUUAGUCGAAGCUAAUUAAUCAUUUGUCCCGGUCAUUCAUUCGGAUGCCAUUAGUCGAAGCUAAUCAUUUGUUCAUCCCCAGUCAUCCGUUUUUGAUGCCAUUAGUCAUAGCUAAUCAUUUGAUCAUCUCAGUCAUCCGCGUAGGAUGCUAUUAGCCGAAACCAAUCGUCAACCAAUCAAACGUUCCAGAGGCAGUUUGUGAAAUCACUAUAACAAGGUAAUAUCCCUUGAUUUGCUCAUUCAAACGAUUCAUAACAAUUUGACAUUCACUAUAACAUAAUAGAAGACCCUUCAUGGUAUUCGUACAAGCGUUCUGUAAUAAUUUAACAUUCAGUAACAUGAUAAUAGAUCCUUUGUAAUACACAAACAAACAUUCCAUAACAGUUUAGCAUUCAGUAUAACACAACAAUACUCUUCGUAUUAUUCAUCCAACCAUUUAUGACAAUUAAUGUUCAAUACAAUGCAAAAAUAGAUCCCUCGUAAUACUCAUACAACCAUUCAUGAUAAUUUCAUUCAAUAUAAUACAAUGGUAGAUCCUUCGUAAAACAUUCGUCAUAAUUACAUUCAAUAUAAUAAAAUGGUACAUCCUUCGUAAUACUCCAACAACCAUUCGUCACAAUUACAUUCAAUAAAAAUACAACAGUAUAUCCUUCGUAAUACUCAUACUACCAUUCAUCAGCAACCCAAAUUCAUAAUAGCCCAAUCAACAUCUCAUAUUCGGUUUAAUAUUCUUCACAACACAAUAAUAUAUCCACCUCAAAAUGGGGCAUUUUAGAACAUUAACAUUUUCAUCAUUGUUUCAACAUUCAUCAAGAACUUGAUCGACAUUUCAUAGUCGUUUCGACAAUCAUCAAGAAUUCAAUCAAACACUUCAUCGUUGUUUCAUCAUUCAACAACGAUUUAAUAAAAUAUCAUCAUAAGUAAAUCAUUUCAAAACAUAAACAUCAUACAAGAAAAAGGUGGAAACCAUCUACUAGAUCCAUUUGUAGGUUGUCCUUGUCCCGGUGAUGGUUCGAUCCAGGCCACACCAUCUAAGACAUCAAUGGCUACAAAUCAGUACAUUUGCAUCUUUAAAUCACACUCGUCACCAUACUUAUUUCAAGAGUCCAUAUAUUCAUAUUCAAGUGUUCUACAUUUUACACCAUUAUACAAUGAAAUUGUUACAAGCAUUUAAGUCAUUUCUGCACGGGGGGGUCUAUUGUAGAAAAUCAGCAGCGAAACUGAUUUGCGGCUGGCCACACAAUUCGACAAUGAAAACUGAUUCGUUGCAGGCCGUACAGUUUGGCAGUAAAAAUUGGUAUACUGCAGGCCGCACAUUUCAAAAGCAAAAACUAGCUUACUGUCAGCCGCACAAUUCGGCAGCGAAAAUGUUUCACUACAAGCACCACAAUUUCAGCAACAAAUGCUACUUCGUUGCAGCCAACACGCUUUUGGAAACAAAUGCUAAUUCGUUGUAGGCAACUCAAUUUUGGCAGCGAAUCACACUUUUGCUGGAGACAACACAACUUCGACAGCGAACGCAAAUUCACUGCAAACAAACAUAACUUAGGCGGCAAAACCUGAUUCAUUGUGGACAACAUAAUUCGACAGGGAAAACCUGAUUCAUUGCAUACAACACAAAUUCGGCAGCGAACACCUAAUUAACUGCGGACAACACAAUUCGACAGUGAACACCUGAUUCGUUGCGCAUAACGAACACCUGAUUCGCUACAGAUAACACAAAUUAAGUUGCGAACACCUGGUUCGUUGCGCCCAACACAAAUUCAACAACGAACACCUGAUUCGCUGCGAAUAACACAAAUUUGGCAAAGAACUACCUGAUUCACUAUGGACAACACAAUUUGACACCGAACACUUGAUUCAUUACGGAUAACACAAAUUCAACAAUGAACACGUGAUUCGAUGUGGAUAACACAAAUUUAGCAGCGAACACCUUAUUCGCUACAGAAUACCUAAUUUGGUAGCAAACACCUAAUUCGCUGCCGAUAACACAAUUCGUUCUUUGGAUCCAAUAGAAUCAUACAAUUUUAACAUGAACACACAUGAAAAUUCAAUUCCAGCAUAUAUUUUGUCAUUAGAUUCCUAUGUCAGCUGUAACAUGCUUUCGAGGCUACAAACACACAUGUUUUUUGUGCUUAACAUCCACCAACACAUUUUCAUACAAGUUCUUCAGCCACAUAUACAGAAUUCAUGACAUUAACACAUUUAUAAUUUUGUUUUGGUUUCACAUAAUUAAGCAACUAUAACAAGAUCAUCAUCUUUGCUUUUAAUCCAUUUAAUAUAUGUUAUGCCCAACCCUCACCAUAGCUGGCCACCUCUCUAAGUUUUUUGCAUUUAAAAUUAUACAUUUCAUCUAUUAAAUGUUCUGAAAUUAGGUCCCCAAUUCAACCCCAUUUUCAUCCCUCAUCCUUGUCUAGUUUUCCUUAACAGUUGGUGUGAGAAUCUUAAGCUAUUUACUUUAGGUUUUCUUCUCCUUUUUUAGUUUUAAGGCCCCAAGAACAAAUGGAGGAGUAGUAUGGUUCAUACCUCACAAAUUUAACAAGUUCAAUGCAAGUUGUGGUGCCCUGCUCUCCCUUUCUUUUUUGCUUUUCUUCCUUCUCUCUCUUGUUGUCCAACCGGUGAUAAGACCAAAAGCUUGAUGUCUUCUCCCAAGUGCAGGAGUGUCGAAGUAAUAAAUAACCCGGCAAGACCGCGGUUGAACCACAAAGAGGUUAAUUCUAUAAAUUAUAAAUAACAAUACAACAAUAAUAACAAUAAUAGUAAUAGUAAUAGUAAUAGUAAUAAUAGUAAUAAUAAUAAUAAUAAUAAUAAUAAUACUCAGUACGUGGCGUUGAUAUACCUGAGAAUGAUCUAAAAGAUCGGGUCACAGGUUUCAAGCCUCUAUACUGAUUUUAUGAAAAGAUCAAAGAGAUAUAUUAUAUAAUAUAAACAAAUUUCUGAUGCGAAUGAACAAGGUAAGACCAACAAUGUCUGGAUCCUUGAUCAAACACAGAGCAUACUUAAUGUACAUAAAAUAUAACAAGAAUGUAAAUAAUAAUAAUAAUAAUAAUAACACUAGUAGUAGUAGUAGUAGUAGUAGUAGUAGUAGUAAAGAAGAAGAGGAAGAAGUUAAUGAGAGUUUUGAGAUGGAAGAUUAACGUAAGGAUUAAACAAUGAUAAAAACAAUUGUCAAGGUUAGAGGAUCCACUAAUGGUAUUUUAAACAAGUAUAAUAUAAACUCUUAUUACUCAAGUUGAAAACCACACACGAAGGAGGUUCCAAUCAAUUGUUAACAUGAUUACAUUAGUUAUCUUAUUCGAAUAAUGCUAAUACUUGUAAAUGUUGUCAGGCAUUCAUGAUUAUAACUUAAAUUAACAACAAAUCAAGUUCCUUUUAUAGCUCAGGUGUCGGUUAUACCAUACAGUAUGGGCUAUAAAAGUGCCAAGUAUUUGUUGUACCAAGUCUUAUACAACAUAAAUCUAGAUUAACCUUUAACAAGCAAAGUAUUAAAAGUGAACAAGAUAACAAAUAUAAAACAUGUUAAUAUCAAGCAUUAAAGUCCAUGUUGAGUUUAUACUAUACUUAUUUUUACACCAUUAGUGUACCCUUUUCACCUUGACAUAAUAGAUUUAGCUAAACAUAAUGAAAGAAAGAAACAUAAAUAAACAAGAUAAGAACAUAAUUAUACAAAUAAAGGAAAGGAAAUGAAGAGCAUAAACAAGAGAUUAAUAUAACAUCAAAUAAAACUUAAACAUUACAAAAUACAAAGAAAGAGAGCAAGAGCAUGAUCUUGAUCUGAACACCAAGAUGCCUAAAUGCAUGGCAAAUGCCUCCUUUUAUAGGCCAAAAUUUGAAACUAUUGAUUUGAUGAAUAAAUGUUGAGUGGGUGGCCAUAUCUUGACUUGAUGAAAAUCCUUAUCUUCUUGUCUAAAUAAAACGUCAUUGCUAACAUCAGAACUGGAACCAUAUGUACUUAUAAAAGUUCUAGGAAAUUAUCUUAGCUUUCUAGGAAAAAAAAGUUGAGGUCAUUUGAAUUUCUAGAACUCAAGAUAUGGGCUGAACACUGAACAGUGUCUAGGCUACAGGACAGAUUUGAACUUCUACGUUGUUGCUAUAAUUUGGACUUGAAAACAACCUUCUUAGAUCUUGGUGUCCACAUGAAAGUUGUAGGCCUAUGUCUUACCAAAUCUGUGUAAGCAUUUGAGAUCAUUUGGACAUCUAGAACUCGAGAUAUGACCCAAUUACCGAAUAGUGUUCCAGUUUGGACUGCACCAACAUCUCUUUUUCUAAGCUUCACCCUUCUUUAUCUUCAAAAUUUUAGUAGUUGAAUUCAUCAAUCAAUCCUUUGAUUUAUGUGAUAGGCCUGCAUUUAAGAUGAACAUUUACCAUAUAUUAAGGUAUCUUAUAGUAUUAGACUUGUUAUUAUAAAACAUGCUUUAGUUAAGGAGUUAUUGAUACUUUAAGUACAAAAUGAUGAUAUAAAACCUUGAUAAACAUGCACUUUUAAGUACUAAUCACAGCCCCCCAACCAGCUUAUUACUAGUCCCUAGUAAUCAAAGCAUUAAAAUAGAAAAACAAUUUGCAAGUUCCACAAAGCAAGGCAUUCAUCAUUCAACUUCCAUUAAUCUAUCCAGAUAAAACAAACUCUCAUUCAAAUUUCUAUUCCUUGCUUCAUAUUCUUAAACAAGAUAUUAAUAAACCUUCUUUUUAUGUGCUCAAUAUAUGAAAACAUAGAUGAUGGGGCUUUUGUUGGAAGAAAACAAUAUUAUGUUCAAAUGUUUAAGGUUAACUUCCUUUGGUUGGGAUUAUUAUUAUUAUUACUUUUCUUUUUUUCUUUUUUUGUUUUUUUUUAUAUACACAUACAACUUAAAACACAAUGUAUCUUUAACCCAUGUAACGAGUUUUAGGCUAAUGACUCCCAGACCAGUUGGUCUUAGGGCAUUAGGUGUUGAGACACCCCUACGAGCUUAGCAACUCGGGUUGCAGAUACUGAUACGUAGAUAGUGCAAUGUUUGAUUCCCUUAAGCUUUUCUCCUUAACCCAUGUAACAAGCUUUGGGCCAAUAGCUCCCAAGUCAGUUGACUUUAGGGUAUUAGGUGUUAAAACACCCCUUCGGGCUUAAUUGCUUAGGUUAGGAGGCUACGAAACCAAACUUAUCUACGUUUUUAUUAUCAUCAUAUAUUAUCAUUUUUUUUUUUUUUGCAAAUUUAUACUAUCCCUUUCCCUUAGUUGUUACCUUCAACAAAAGAACAUAAUAAUGUAAUAAUCCAAUGUGCAACCCACAAUCAUAUGUUAAAGUGUGUGUGUGAAAAUGAAGGUUUAAGAAUACUUGUUAAAUGAGUAUAUGAAGCAAAUCAAGUGAUAACAAUGCGAGAGUUUGUAAACCUGAAUAUUUCAAGAAGUAUUAUGAUAGACCUUGGUAAUGAUACUUACUAAGAUGCGUCUCUAGAGUCAAUAAAAUUUCCUCCUUACUCUGCCAUCCUAAUAAGGAUACUUACUAAGAUGCGUCUCAAGAGUUAAUAAAACUGACUCCUUACUCUGCCAUCCUAAUAACAAUUUUGUCAAAUGGUUUUAAUAAUAGCAAAAACAGUUAGUAAGUUAGUUUUUUUUUUAACUACUACCCUCUCCCCCCAACCAAAACGAGACAUUGUCCUCAAUGUCCUAAGGUAGAAAGAUAGAGUAUAGAAGACAUCACCUGAAACAGCGAACAAUGACAAACCUGAAACACACUUAAACAAAUAUAAGAAGUAACAAAACAAAAUAAUAUGCUAUUAAUAAAACCAAAAGACACAAGGUUUCACAAAUGAAGGCUCAAAUCUAAUCUAAGCUUUUUACGGCUUUCCUUAGUUGACCAAUUUAGGCGACUCAUGCAGGGAUCAAUGACAGGGAUGAAAGAUUGUAGUUGGUCAAUCAAUUGUUCAGCAGUAGCAGCAGAGAUUAUGAUUUGUCGUGCCGAAGAUGUUAGAAAUUCCUGUUCCACAGCUUGAUCAAGAAAAGACAACAAUUAUCAUAAAAACCAUUAACAUUUAACAAACCUAUAGGUUUAUGGUGAAUGUGCAGUUGGGCCCAAGAGGAAAUAUGAAAGAUCUCUUCCAAUGUGCCCAGACCACCUGGUAAGGCAAUGAAGGCAUCAGCAUGGUUAAACAUGGAUUCAGUCGAUCAGACAUUGUGGGACCUGUAGUUCCUCUCCAAUUGUUUUUCCAAUGAUGUCCCCAUUUGCUAAAGCUUUGGGGACAACCCCCAAAACUUGACUGCCUCCUAAAAAUGCAGCCAUUGACACACCUCCCAUUAACCCAAGGCUACCUCCCCAUACACUAAAUGAAUCUUUCUCUCAGCUAGUACCCGACCAAGAUGAUUUGCUGAUUCUAAAAACUCUUUUUCUUUCCCAGGACUGGAUCCACCAAAACACAAAUAUUUCUUAUGUGAUGACUUGAGGAACCUGCCAUUUCUACACACUUCUAUAUUUGAUGAAUGUAUGGGUUGAGUAGAAAUGAAGGGAAGGAAAGAAGAAUUUAUAGAUGAGAAUUGAAAAUGCAAUCAUACCACCUAUAUGUAGGCCAGCUGUUGUCUCACACUCUCUCUCUUUAUUAUUUAUUUUGAAAAAAGCAUGUAUGUACAGGUAGUUGUGAUUGUGGCUCACAUCUUCCCUUGGUUUUACGUCCAAGAACGGCUUAAACGCCCUCUAUGGGUCGGGGAUAGGCUUCCCAUCCAGUUUUCUUAAAAACUGGCAAACAGGGUCUUUUUUAGUCAGAUUCCCAAGACUAAGUCGAUCAUGUUCUUUAUGGAAUUGUGGCCAUAAAUCAUGAAUUACACGAUGCACAUCUCCACUAGGAUGCGUCUCAAGGGUCAACAAAAGAUUAUCUAAAGACCCCUUACUCAGGCCAUCCUUAAUGAAUUGUAUCUUAUCUUCACGGUUUACAGAUACCAUUCCUAAAGAACGACAUGUUGCAUUACAAGUCCAUCUGGCACAUCUGUGACAGACUUUCAGUCGUUUUGCACGACGUUUCUUUGCAAAAGUGCUUGUACCUGUUCCAGGCAUGUGUGAAAUGAAAGAAUUGGAGGACUCACCUGAUAAUCGGACCUUUGCUUCAAUUAGCCAGCGAAUAUCUUCAGGAAUUCCAUGAUUCAUUAACAACCUCAAUCUUGCACACCUAGCACGGUAAAUUUUUGUAAUCGCAUUUGGAGGCAGAGCGGGAAAAUACCUUUUCAACUUUUCAAGAGUGGUGUCCAUUUUCAAAAGAGAAUUGGAGAAGAGAUUCAAAGAAGGGAGAAAGAGCACAGAAUUGUACAAAUAUAUACAGAUAUCAGUUAUUUGGGAAACUGAAAGAACCGACUUAAGUCACGGAGUACCGUUAUCCGCCAUUUGACCGGGGUGAGAGAGAGACUAGCAAAACAAAACAAAAAAAACACAAAACAAUGUGAGAAAAAGAAUCAAUCUUUAUAUACAGGAUCACUCAAUUCAAUAGAGUCAUUUUCAACUGAAAAAUUGUCAAAAUAAACUUUCAAACGAUGCCCAUUUACCUUGAAAACAUUGCCAUUCUUUGGAUUCUCAAUAUCACAGGCCCUAUAUGGAUACACAUGUUUCACAAUGAAAGGACCGCUCCAUCUUGAUCUUAGUUUUCCAGGAAAUAAAUGGAGUCGAGAAUUAUAAAGCAAGACUUUUUGACCAACAUUAAUGUUUUUCUCAGUAUUUUCUUGUCAUGAAAGUCUUUGAUUCUUGCUUUAUGAAUUCUUGAAUUGUCAUAUGCAUCAUUUCUUAUUUCCUCAAGCUCAUUUAUUUGCAAUUUUCGCAGCUGACUAGCAUCAUCAAGGUUUGAAUUGAAAGCUUUAAUAGCCCAAUAAGCUUUAUGUUCAAUUUCCACAGGCAAGUGACAAGGUUUUCCAUAGACUAGUCUAUAAGGUGACAUACCUAAUGAUGUUUUAUAAGCAGUUCGAUAAGCCCAAAGUGCAUCAUUAAGUCUUAAAGACCAGUCUUUCCUAUUAGGGUUCACUGUUUUCUCCAAGAUUUGUUUGAUCUCCCUAUUAGCAAGCUCUACUUGUCCACUUGUCUGAGGGUGAUAAGGGGUGGCAACUUUGUGUGUGAUUCCAUAUUUCUUCAUUAAAGAAUCAAAUGGCUUGUUGCAGAAAUGUGUUCCACCAUCACUUAUCAUGGCUCGAGGGAUUCCAAAUCGACUCAAAAUAUUGUCUUUCAAAAACUUUAUCACUGUUUUGUGAUCAUUGUUUCGACUUGGAAUUGCCUCUAUCCAUUUUGAAACAUAAUCUACUGCGACUAAUAUGUACACGAAACCAAAUGAUGGAGGAAAUGGACCCAUGAAAUCUAUACCCCAACAGUCAAAGAUCUCAAUGACAAGAAUAGGAUUUAAAGGCAUCAUGUGACGUUUUGAAAUAGAUCCCAACUUUUGACAAUUUUCACAAGUCUUGCAGAAUGCAUGUGAGUCCUUGAACAUGGUGGGCCAGUAAAAUCCACUUUGUAAGAUUUUUGCAGUUGUCUUUUUGAUGAGAAAUGACCCCCACAUGCCUCAGAAUGACAAAAUUUAAUGACACUACUUACCUCAUUGUCAGGAAUGCAUCUUCGAAAUAUUUGAUCAGGACAAUAUUUGAAUAAAUAAGGGUCAUCCCAAUAAAAGUUCUUCACUUCGUUCAAGAACUUUCUUUUGUCUUGGGUACUCCAAUGAGCUGGCAAUUGUCCUGAAACAAGAAAAUUAACAAUAUUAGCAAACCAAGGCAUCGUAGAAACGGAAAGUAAAGAUUCAUCAGGAAAGUAGUCAUCGAUUGGUGUGAUGUCAGAUUUGAAUCUGUUGUCAAUCUUGACAAAUGAUCUGCAACAACAUUUUCGGUGCCUUUCUUGUCUUUGAUUGUGAUAUCAAAUUCUUGAAGUAACAAAAUCCACCGCACCAAUCUAGCCUUAGAAUCUUUCUUAGAAAGAAGAUAUUUCAAUGCUGCAUGAUCACUAAAAACAACAACAGGUGAGCCAACAAGAUAAGACUGAAUUUAUCACAUGCAAAUACUACUGCAAGUAAUUCUUUUUCAGUGGUGUGUAAUUCAUUUGAGCACUAUUUAAAGUUUUACUUGCAUAGUAAAUCACAUAAGGUUUCUUAUCUUUUCUUUGUCCCAAGACAGCACCCAUGGCAUAAUCACUAGCGUCACACAUUAUUUCAAAAGGUAAUGACCAAUCAGGAGGUUGAAUGAUAGGAGCAGAAGUAAGCAAGUUUUUAAGUUUAACAAAGGCUUCUUCACAAUGUUCAGUCCAUUCAAAAAUAUUAUCCUUUGUUAGAAGGUUACUCAAGGGCUUAGAUAUUACACUAAAAUCUUUGAUGAACCUUCUGUAAAAACCAGCAUGUCCUAAGAAUGAUCUAACAUCCUUAACAGAUUUUGGUGUUGGUAAGUUGGCAAUUAACUCGAUUUUAGAUUUGUCAACCUCAAUUCCUUUUGAUGAAACAAUGUGACCAAGUACAAUGUCGUUUGUUACCAUAAAGUGACAUUUUUUCCAAUUCAGUACAAGAUUCUUCUCUUCGCACCUGCUCAAAACCUUUUCUAAGUUAGUCAAACAAUCACCAAAUGAAUCACCAAAAACAAAAAAAUCUCAUCCAUAAACAUCUCAAGAAAACGUUCAACCAUAUCACUGAAUAUGCUAAGCAUGCAUCUUUGAAACGUGGUUGUUGCAUUACAUAAUCCAAAAGGCAGCCUUCGAUAUGCAAAAGGAACAAAUGGACAUGUGAAAGUAGUCUUCUCUUGAUCUUCCAAUGCAAUUUCAAUUUGAGAUUAAAUGGUAACGGCUUCAAUUCAGGUUUUAGUGGUUGAACACUUGAAGGUAUGGACUCAAUUGAUCGUGGUGGCAAUUCUUCAAUUUGUGGUCUCCAAUCACAUGCCUGUAAUUCUUCCUGAAAAUAGACCAUUUGCAAAUCAUAAGAUUCAUUAAUCUCAGUUUCACUAGAAGUGGUUUGAAAUUGAUCAUGAACUAAUUUUUCAAUAAAGUCCACUUCUUGUAAAUCAUUAUCAUCUCCAGGUUGGUUGUAAAUGUUGAAAAUAUUCAUCUCCAAUGUCAUGUUUCCAAAUGAUAGCUUCAUCAAUCCAUUCCUACAAUUAAUCAAUGCAUUAGAAGUGGCAAGAAAUUAAUGGACGUCCUAAAAUGACCGGAAUUGAAUUACAUGCUUCAACAGGUUGUGUAUCCAAGACAACAAAAUCUACAGGGUAAAUGAAUUUAUCAACUUGUACUAACACAUCCUCAACUAUUCCUCUAGGCACUUUUACAUAUCUAUCAGCAAGUAAAAGAGUUAUAGAGGUUGGUUUUAACUCACCUAUUAAGCAAGUCUCGAUACCUAUCCCAACAUUGAUAAAAUGUUUCUUCUGGUUUUUAAGUGAAAGUAAUGAUUUGUCUUUUGAAAGAGUUUGUUCUGUGAGACAGAAAAAACUUCUUUAAAAAUUGUUGUUGCAUUUCAUCCCAAGCAUGAAUAGAUCCUGGUCUCAAAUUUUGUAGCCAUGUUUUAGCUUUAUCUUUUAAUGAAAAAGGAAAAAGCUUUAAUUUAAUGGUGUUCAUGCUAUAAUUUGAGUUAUUAUAGGUAUUACAGACCUCCUCAAAUUCCCUUAAAUGCAAGUAUAGAUUUUAUAGGUCUAAACCAUGAAAAGAAAGGUACAAGUUGAAUAAUGCCUGGCUUAAAAUUAAAAUGAGAUGCAUCAAGAGGGACAACUAUGCAUGAGGGUGCACUUGUUCUUUUGGGAUUCAUAUGGUCUCUCAGUGUUCUCAUACGGUUAUUCUCAUUAUUCUCAUUAUCAAGCGAUUGAUUAUCUUCUUCGGCCAUAUUUUCUGAAAAUGAUGAGAAUACACUACAAAGUCGACCACUUAAUGUACGUGACCAAACUCACAUGCACGUGUGAGAAUAAAAGGAAGAAAAGAAAAGAGAAGAAAAAGAAACAAACAAAACAAAAGAAACAAAAGUUAGAUAAAAUGAAAAGUGAAAAGAGAAAAUAAAUUAAAUAUUAUAAUUUAUACAAUAAUUUACCUCCCCGGCAACGGCGCCAAAAAACUUGACAUGACCAAAAGCUUGAUGUCUUCUCCCAAGUGCAGGAGUGUCGAAGUAAUAAAUAACCCGGCAAGACCGGGGUAGAAACUACAGAGAGGUUAAUUCUAUAAAUUAUAAAUAACAAUACAACAAUAAUAACAGUAAUAGUAAUAGUAAUAGUAAUAGUAAUAGUAAUAGUAAUAGUAAUAUUAAUAAUAAUAAUAAUACUCAGCACGUGGCGUUGUCAUACCUGAGAAUGAUCUAAAAGAUCGAGUCACAGGUUUCCAGCCUAUAUAUUGAUUUUAUGAAAAGAUCAAAGAGAUAUAUUAUAUAAUAUAAACAGAUUUCUGAUGCAAAUGAACAAGGUAAGACCAACAAUGUCAGGAUCCUUGAUCAAACACAAAGCAUACUUAAUGUACAUAAAAUAUAACAAGAAUGUAAAUAAUAAUAAUAAUAAUAAUAAUAAUAAUAAUAAUAAUAGUAAUAAAGAAGAAGAUGAAGAAGUUAAUGAGAGCUUUGAGAUGAAAGAUUAAUGUAAGGAUUAAACAAUGAUAAAAACAAAUGUUAAGGUUAGAGGAUCCACUAAUGGUAUUUCAAACAAGUAUAGUAUACACUCUUAUUACUCAACUUGGAAACCACACAUGAAAAAGGUUCCAAUCAAUUGUUAACAUGAUUACAUUAGUUAUCUUAUUCAAAUAAUGUUAAUACUUGUAAAUGUUGUCAGGCAUUUAUGAUUAUAACUUAAAUUAACAACAAAUCAAGUUCCUUUCAUAGCUCAGGUGUCGGUUAUACCAUACAGUAUGGGCUAUAAAAGUGCCAAGUAUUUGUUGUACCAAGUCUUAUACAACAUAAAUCUAGAUUAAACUUUAACAAGCAAAGUAUUAAAAGUGAACAAGAUAACAAAUAUAAAACAUGUUAAUAUCAAGCAUUAAAGUCCAUGUUGAGUUUAUACUAUACUUAUUUUUACACCAUUAGUGUACCCUUUUCACCUUGACAUAAUAGAUUUAGCUAAACAUAAUGAAAGAAAGAAACAUAAAUAAACAAGAUAAGAACAUAAUUAUACAAAUAAAGGAAAGGAAAUGAAGAGCAUAAACAAGAGAUUAAUAUAACAUCAAAUAAAACUUAAACAUUACAAAAUACAAAGAAAAGAGAGUAAGAGCAUGAUCUUGAUCUGAACACCAAGAUGUCUAAAUGCAUGACAAAUGCCUCCUUUUAUAGGCCAAAAUUUGAAACUAUUGAUUUGAUAAAUAAUUGUUGAGUGGAUGGCCACAUCUUGACUUGGUGAAAAUCCUUAUCUUCUUGUCUAAAUAAAACGUCAUUUCUAACAUCAGAACUAGAACCAUAUGUACUCAUGAAAGUUCUAGGAAAUUCUCUUAGCUUUCCAGGAAAAAAAAGUUGAGGUCAUUUGGAAUUCUAGAACUCAAGAUAUGGGCUGAACACUGAACAGUGUCUGGGCUGCAGGACAUAUUCGAACUUCUCCGUUGUUGCUAUAAUUUGGACUUAAAAACGGCCUUCUUAGAUCUUGGUCUCCACAUGAAAGUUGUAGGCUUAUGUCUUACCAAACUGUGUAAAACUUUGAGAUCAUUUGGACAUCUAGAACUCGAGAUAUGACCCAAUUACCGAACAAUGCUCCAGUUUGGACUACACCAACAUCUCUUUUCUAAGCUUCACCCUUCUUUAUCUUCAAAAUUUCAGUAGUUGAAUUCAUCAAUCAAUCAUUUGAUUUAUGUGAUAGGCCUGCAUUUAAGAUGAAUAUUUACCAUAUAUUAAGGUAUCUUAUAGUAUUAGACUUGUUAUUAUAAAACAUGCUUUAGUUAAGGAGUUAUUGAUACUUUAAGUACAAAAUGAUGAUAUAAAACCUUGAUAAACAUGCAAUUUUAAGUACUAAUCAACCAGCCUCUAAGCUCCGUUUUCUCCUAGGUUUUUGGUUUUGUCUACUUCUUCUUACUCACUUUUCCCUCCAAGCUCAGGGAAAGUAGCAUGCAGGCUGGUUGGGUUCGGUUUUAUGCUUGAAGGAGGGAUGUGUGUGCUGCAGCCAUGGUUGCUGCCGAUUCUAAAGGAAGGUCUAGGCUCCAGCUUCUACCAUGUUUUCGAUCACUUCUCCUUCCCUCUAGCUCUCUUCUCAUGUAGCACCUUAGGAUAUUUGCAUGUCGUUGGUCGGUUUCGGUAUUCUCUUUAGAAAAAGGUAGAGGGUAUGUUGUAUGCAGGUGGCUGGUUUUGCCUUGGGAAAGAGGGAGAGCGCCUGCUGCAUGCAGUUGACUGCCCAUUUAUAGAAGAGGAAAGGUCACCCUCCCUCUCUCCUUGCAUUUAUACCCCUAUUAAAUAAAAUGGGUAUGUUUGGGUGCUAGAUAUCUCUGGUUCCUAUCCCUCUUUAGAGUUAUCCUAGACUGGUUCCUAUUCCAAUUCUCCUCUAGGAUAGGUCAAUCCAACAUUAAUUUUUGUUGGGUUUUACAGUGCCGCUGCCGAUUCAAAAAUCAACAGCUAAAAACCAUGUCGCUGCUUACACGAUUAAAAGAUUGAUAUCUUCUCCCAAGUGCAGGAAUGUUAAAGUAAUAAAUAACCCGGCAAGACUAGGGUCGAACCAUAUGGAGGUUAACUAUAAUAAUAAUAAUAAUAAUAAUAAUAAUAAUAAGUUAAAGAGGACUUUCAGAUGGAAGAUUAAUGUGAGGAUUUAACAAUGAUAAAAGCAAAUGUCAAGGUUAAAGGAUUCACUAAUAAGUAAUUUUGUCUGAUAAAAACAAUGGAAACCCUCAACUUCUUUUCUCAAGGCAGUUUUGUCUGAUUUAGUCAAUUUUGGUAGUGUUACACCCAACUUUGGAUCGAUGGAGGGAAAACUACAUACCGCCAAAUCAAUCAUGGUUUGAUCCUAGUUGAAGAAUAACACUACCCUUACAGGAUCUAUGACUUGUUUUGCUUCAAUAACCUUCUAUUCACAAUGAUUAAUUCAUGAAGAAUGCACCCCUAGUCAUCCAUUUUAUGCCAAGCUUUAGUUAUGAAGUUCCAAACCUUUUCUAGAAGUUCCAAGAGUUUGUUAGACAUCUAGAGAGUUGGAAAAUAUAAGAAUAAGAUACAAGAAUCAUGUCCUAACAAAAAAAAAGCAAAUAAUAGCAAAUAAUCUCCUAUGAUCUAGUUUUGAAAAACCAUCUUCAAACCCACAAAUGAUUUUACAACUACCUGUCUUUUGAAGUUAUAAAGAAAAAGAAAUCACAGAGGAAAAGGGAGGAGAGAAUCACAGAGAAAAGGAGGAGAAAAACUUAGAGCAUUAAAUCGCCAAAAGUCUCUUGAUAUAAGGGCUAUGAAAGAUUGAUAAGAAAUGGAGAGAAAGAGGUAGAAGGCAAAGCUCUUGAGUUCAAGAGUAAAUAUAGAAAUACUAGAGGACUAGAAGCAUGAGGAAAGAGCAAAACAUUCCAAGCAAAAAAGGCAACAUUGUUAAGGUAUUCCUCAAACUUUGAUGAGGGGGUGGAGCUUAAUGAGCACACCCCCUCCCUUUUUAUUAUGUUUAUUAGAUGUUUAUAUUUGAUGUUCAUUAUGCAUUUCCUAUUUAGUUGCUAAAGCAACAUUUGGUUGAUUUAAAAUUCUCAGAGGAAAAAACAUCAUAUUUUGUUCUUAAAGCGUAUUGUUAAAUACAACCUUAAGACAAUUUUAAAGCCUUUAAUUUUCAGUUAAGAGCGUGUUUGGCAAACAUGUCCUACUGAUUUUUCAAUAGUUUUUAUUUUCUCAUAUUUUAUGCCUUUUCCAAACUGAACUCAAAUAAUUUUCAAAAAUUCUAAAUAAAUUCAAGGAUCAUUUUAAAAUUAUUUAUGGUUCCUCACAAGUGUUCCAACUAUUUUAUUUAAUAUUUAGAAUGUGAAUUAGAAUGUAAGACACUAACCCAUUAUUAAAUACACUUGCCAAUUUUUUCCUUAUUCAAAAAUUUAGAAAAACAAAUACAUGAAAUAUAUAAAUUCCUUGUUUGAAAAAUAAAUACAAAAAACAUGUUGUUAUUAUUUUGCAUACGAUCAAAUUUUGAAAUUUUCAUGCAUACUUCAUAAAAAAUAAAAAAGUGCAUUUUUUUCAUACUUUAAAAAUAUAAAAAAACAAUAUAUUAAUGGGUAUCACAAGUUUGUGAUUAUCCAUUAGUGUUUGACUAAAAUUUCAAAAACACCAUAAAAAUCAAUUUGUUAAUUAAUAUUUGGGGUGUGAAUUUUACAAAGUAAUGCAUAUUCCGAUAUUAAAAUGAAUUGACAAGAAUACACCUUUAAUUUUUAAGAUAAAGAUCUUUUUACCGAAGAAAACUUUUCUUAAACCUUAGACAAACUAGUGAAUAAAAACAUAACUCAGACAAAUAAACAAUGUAGCUUACCAUAAGUAAGGUAUAUUAGGGGUGAUAUGUUCUCCUUUUACACAACUAGUCUCCUUUUCAAUACUCUAAGACCAAUUAGGAUUUUUAGUGAUCAAAAUACUAUCUAACGACUCGAUCCUUUUUAUUUAUUGAUAAAUGAUAAGAAUUCUUGUUCUUUCCACCCAAACCAUGAAAAUUCUGAUCCAAGAGGAUGAUCAUCGCAACGUUGUACAUAUACAACAAAUCAUAAUAGAGUAUGAUGUUAUGGACAAACAUCGCAUAACUAGAUCAACCCAAUUAUGAUUAAAUCCCUUCUAUAAUAUAACACCCCCACCAAAAAAACCAUUCAAACUUGUCAUUAAUUCUUUGUUGAAGAAGAAGACAUGGAAAAAGAGUGAGGAAAGAAUAUAUGUAAGUUAGGGUUUCUAGAAGGAAAUAAAAAUACGGUGUUUCCAACAUUACAUGGCUAUCAUGAGCAAGCUAAAUUGUUUACACUUGCACAAAAUGUGUGCAAGCACAUGCAUUUUUGGAGUGUGUAUGUAAGUCUUUUUUAUUAUUCAAAAUGAAAGUAACAUUGAUUGUAGCUAUUUUAGCCAUUAACACAACCAUUAUUCAUAUAUUUUUGUCAAUGUCAAUUGUCUUAUAUAAAUGGUGGCCAAGUUGUUUGAAUACUUUUUUUUUUUUAGUGGUUUCGUUGACAUAAAUUAAUGUUUAGCUUUAAAAAUUGUAUGUUUCGAGAACUUGAUGGAAUAAUUUAUAAAAAAAAUUUGCUAUUAGAUUUUUCUAACUUCAAUCAUGUUGAAUGCUAUGAAGUUAAUCCGAAUGACAAGCAGAGUUGUUGAUGUUUGAUAAAAAGUAGUAUGAGUUAGCAAAUUGAAUUUACAUUUUGGCUUAAUAUUUCUUGUAAUUAUAAUUCUUAAGUAUACAAUGAUUGUAAUCAUUUUAAAUGGUCCACCCCUUAAGAUUGUUUCUCUUUUUUCUUGUUCUUCAGAAUAAUUUAAUAACUUUAAGAAUUUUAUUAUAUUUUAAUUAAUAUUGUUUUGGGUAUUGAAUUUUAUUAUUAAUAGAAAUUUAAUAGUGAAGAUGUUUUAUUUUUAUUGUGUUUAUUCUUGCAUUUCAUUCAAUUUAAUUAGGUGAAAAACUUCUCUCGGAAUAAUGAUAAAUAAUUUAAAAAAUGGACAAUACCAUUAAUAUUAGGAAAAAUAAUAUUUAAGUACAUCAAAAUAUAAAAAACAUCAUAGAAAACAUAUUUAAUUUGAUUACAAUUUUUUUCCAAAUAAAAAAGCAGUAUAAUAUAAACACAUUUUCUAGUUUUCUGAGUUGGAUAAAUCUUAUGAAACUUUAAGAAAUGAACAUGUAUUUUUUUUCACUGAAAAAACUGAAAAAAGAGAAGAAAACUAAAAAGAAUAAAGGAAAAUUGUUUUUUUUUUUGCUAUAUGUGUUUGGAAAAACAAUCGUAAGAAAUGGACACGUAACACAGUUUUAACCCAAUUGAAAGUAGUUACACUGUGAUAUUUUUAAUGCACAAUGAAGACUGGGCCUACCAGUUCAAGCCAAGCCCACAAAACUAGAGAGGAACACAGAAAAGGGCUUGCAUUUUAUCCUCACAAUACUAGUCUCCAUAUUUCGCAAAAUCUCAUCCCCUCACUCGCCCCCGAAUUCAUGUCUCUCUUCAUAGCCAAUGGCAAUGGUGGUGGAGGCCGAAUCCUCUACACCAACCCCACGAGACACCACCCUUACACCCACACUCCAUGCCGUCCUCAUUUCCUGUUUCCACUCAGAAGAUCACCUCAAGAUCACCUCCAUAUAGUCUCAGCUUCCAACAAGAAACUUUCCUCUGUCUCUAGAAUUGGCAAGUUCGACAGCAAGAACAGGAGGAGCUCAACUACUUCGACCAAAGAAGAAGAGAAUAAAAGGGACGGUAGUGGUGGUGAUGGAAAUGUUAAUGGUGAAGUUAAAAAUGUUAGUACAAGUGUUGGUGAGAAUUAUGAUGGCUAUUUCUUGCCAGAGCUUCCUGGGGAUGAGCCUGAUUUCUGGGAAGGUCCACAGUGGGAUGGUCUUGGCUUCUUCGUGCAGUAUAUGUGGGCUUUUGGUAUUGUUUUUGCGGUAUGAUAUGCCUGUCUACUUUUAUCUUUUGUUCAAGUAUUGUUGCUCUUGUUUCUGGCUUUCUGCUGUUAAUUAUAAUUAUUUGCCUCAUAUGCAUGGUAUAUUUCCAUUUUCUGGCUUUUUGCUUGAAAAAGAUUGUAAAUACGACUAUAACUUACCAAUUUCUUCUCCUAUGCUAUUGACGGGGUGAAUCUAUUGACCACUAGAAAUUUAAGCUGAAUCUCGUUAUAGUCAUUUGAGUGUGGAUUGUUUCUAACCUUGCCCAACAAACUGUGGGUAAAGAAAUUUUCGUUUUUAGACUUGAGAUUCUGAGUAUUGGUUGUACUUUCGAGAAUGAUUACUUAAGUUGUUAUUAUAUGUGAUCUAGGAACUUUUUGUUCUCUGUCCCUGUUAUGAUCUCAGAUAUCUCAUGCAAUUACAAUUAUCAACUAAUUAUAGAUAUACUCUAACAAUUCUUAGAAAUCAAUGGGUAGAAGAUUUUUUGAAUGGUUUCAAGUUGCUGCAAAUUAAUACUCCAUUUGUGUAUGAAUUUAGGAUACAUUUGGUAUUAUGUAAUGAAAUGUAAUGUAAUGUAAUGGAAGAAGAAAAGGGUGAUCCUUUGUUUCUUUAAUACAUUUGAUUGUGUUUUCCUUUUACCGGUGCAUGAUCUGGCUAAUAUGGAAAGAAAAAUGGAAAACGAAUACGAAGAGAAGAUACAGAUAGAGAAAUGUUUUUGGAUAUUCGGGGAUAGAAUUUUCUAACACGGAAUACUAGUUUUCUUGCUAUUUGACUAGCUAUGACCAAGGUUAUGAAAGUUUUCUUCUUUAUUAUUUCUUUCACUUCCGAAAGAAAAGAAUAAAAAGAAUAAGCACAUGGAAGCUGAAAACUAUCUCUGCUUGACCUCUGUUCAUGUCAAGCUUACGAUGGCUGAGAACCCUUAAUUCAGUUUGGAUAGUGAAAAAUUUGAAGCUACUUCUUAUAUAAGCCUAUAUGUUCUAGACUUUUGGCUUGCAGCUUUAAUUGGUGUGAAUGAUUUCUGCUAGAUCUCCAGUAGUAGAUUCCUCUCUCAGUUUAGAUUAGUGGAAGUAGUUUCCUUGUUACUCUUUAGGGCUAAUGUUCUACUUAUCUUUGUCAGCUAGUUGCAUGUGGGAUUGCCGUGGCUACGUACAAUGGAGGGGCAGCAGAUUUUAAGGAGACACCUGCAUACAAAGAGUCAAUCCAGUCGCGGGAUCUUUUAGAAGAACCUGAAGCAUCUAAUUCUGAUGUCUUUGACUCCAAUCCAACUGAGGUGGCACCUAGUUUGGAAUAGUCACUCUAUAAUGAAUGUGAAGAAUCUCCACUUCUGGACUAUGAUAUAGAUCCUACAAAAGAAUGUCCUUAAUUGACAAGGUAAUGCUUCUAUUUUGUAACUUUUCAAAUGUAUGUAUGUAAUUAUUUUGUGAGAUAUUAAUACAGAAAAAUUCCUAGUAUGAGUUCAGUUUACUAGCACACACUAUAUUUUUGUGUGGUUGUCUGAAAUUCUCUCUUUCAGUUUCUAAGCAAGUCUUCUGAUUUGCUGAACUUGGAAAGAGUUUUCAACUGAAAACUUGAGAGUUGAUAGGAAGGGGGGGUUUGACCUAAUUCUUCCAUUCGUAACUAGAGAAACCAUCUGGGAAAUUAUUUGGAAUAGGACUUUUGGGAAGAAAUGGUUAAAGACUCGGCAUUUUCAAGAUAGUCAAGUUGUAUGUAUAUGCACGUCCAUUCGUGGCAAAGAAAAGAAGCAGCUGUUAGCUCAAAGUAGCGUCCGCAGUCUCUCAAGUAAGGGAAAAAACUCAAAGUGGAAUGGGAAAAUCAUAUUGAUACUUUCAUCUUGACAAAAAAAAUUGCUAGGUAAUUUCCGGCAGUUCUCUUUGUUCGUUGUCUACCUACUACUCGAAUGUAUUUUCAUAGACGACUCCUGCUCACUCUGAGUGAUAAGUGGCAUUUUGGGUUGAGGUGGUAUUCAAGGUUUCAUGUCUUAUGAUUAAAUUAUAGCAACCGUGUAGUUUGGCUGCGAUUUCAUGAUUGCAUAGCGUUCUGCAAUAAAAUCACUGGAGGUUAAAAAAUGCCGUUCAAGCACUUACCUUUUACACUCCAAACUGGUUAACCUUUCUAAUACAGGUGCAAUCAUCCACAAGAAACAACUGUUUAAAACCAGUACUGUAUUAUCCAAAAACUAAGACUAAGAAUAUCAAUAUAGAAUAAACACAACAGGCUUAUUAUUAACCUAGACCCAACGAAAUGCUUUUGAUAAAGAAAUGAGUGCCAGAGUCACCAGAAGCAUCAAAGAACCUUCUGCCUCCAACUUAACACCAGUACUCCGAUGAAAUCCGAUUCCCAUGAUGGAGGAUCUCGGCUCCCCUUCAACCACAGGAGAAGCUGAGUUCCAAAAGAAAACAAGAAGCAUGGUCAGGAAAGAAAAAUAAAAUACCAGACUCAGAUUGUUAAUAAAAUCAAUUUCUACUUCUAAACAUUGAUAAGGGGACCAUCAUUCUGUAAUGCUAAAAAAGGGUUCACCUAAGAAUGAAAUAUAUGGAUGCAAAGCCAAAUUAAUAUUAUAUAUACCAGCAAAAGAAUAGUCGGUGUGUGUCCCAACAGAAGAAUUGGAGGGUGCUCCCGGGAAAACUUGAGAAGCAGGUGGACUAGAGAGGACCUGAGGGGCCCCUGAUUCACCAAGAAAUUGCGAAGUUUUAGCACACGUAGUGGUAAAGAAAAUUCAUAAUGAGAAAAUAAAAGAAAAAAAGUGAAAUCUUUCUAGUCUUGAAAAUGGGAUUUGAAUUAUGGUAAAGAACAACAGCCUCUAUGAUCUAGAAUGUUCAGAAUGAAUAUUAUAUACCUGAACAGGCAGCAAUGUUAAUUUGCACGUUGCAAAGAGCAGGCAGCUCCAGGGCUAAGGUGCGAUUAAUUGGGAAAGAGCUCAAGUUGGUGUCUUUGAGCAAGAGGCAAAGGCAACCAGGCUGCUCUUGGUAGAGUUGGUUGAGGUUGUCACAGCAAGGUUGAACUGGUGUCUGAGCCAUGCCUUGAACAAAUGGGGCACAUGGGGCCAGUGGCAGCAGCCUUGGAGUGCAAUCAGUUACUGUUGGGUCAGUGGGGAUGGGGGAAUUUUGUGAGAGGAUUGUGGGUGGAAGGGAAAUGAGAAGAAGCAAAACUAGUGAAGUAAUUGCAAUGGUAGGAGGCUCAGAGUACAGAGAGGCCAUGAUGUGCUGUUUUGGAUAGAAAAUCUAGGGUUAGAAAGAUGACUAAAUAAGCUGAGAGUGCAUUUUGAGUGUGAGUUGUUACAUGCAUGGUGUGUGUUCUACAUGCUCUUCUUGUUCAUUUCUUCUACCUAACCAGCUGUACAUCAAAAUUCAAGAUAAUAUAUAUGAGAUAUCUUGAAAGACUAGAAAUUGGCAUGUUUGAACCAAUUGUCUUGCUAGUGCAAGUUCCGAAUGACAUGAUCAUGCUAGCUGUUCUUACCAUAUCUGCAUUUCAUCUUCUUCCUUCAAAAUGAAACUGGAUUAAUAAUGCCAUUUAUUACAAUUCACAGCAAUGCUUAGAGGUAGAGAGUUUCCCCCUAUGCUAUUUUUUUUAUUAUUAUUAUUAGAAUGUAAGUAUAAAUUAAGAUUAAGGGAUACCAUACUGGAAAACCAGCAAGUUCAGAUACAUAUACAAAUUAGGAACAAGAUCUCAAGCAAAAAAAUAUCGGGAAUAGCCGGGUCAUGCAUACAUAGACCAAAUUACCAGACAGCAAAGAGAAACAUAUAUUUUAUACACAAAGAACAUAUAGGGAACAAGCUCGUUAUACAGGGCCAAAACAAAAAUGUGCAGGAAAGUUUUAAAAAGAAACCACAUAGUGGAGGUGUCUAAGCUAACCCAACCAGUAGCGCAAGCCAACCAAAAUCCAUAUCAAAACCCAGACUCCAAAGGAGCCAAAAGCAAAGUCGAGCAGCCUGGCUAGCAGAGACCACCAAGCUGAUCAACAAAGACAGAGGGAGCACAUCAAAUAGCAAACCACCUUCCAGUGAAAACCAGAGCAUCCAGCAAACAGAGGAUCGGGCGCUGGAAGAAGCACCCAUCAGCAUAAAACAACAAGAACGUCAGCAAACCAUGUGACAAACAGACCAGAAGAGACAUAAUAGACAAGUAGAAGAGACUCUCCCAACCAUUCCCAGAACCUCAGAAAAAGAGUAGGAAUCAGGAACAGAUGAAGUUGCAGACAUCCCAGACAAGCAGAGAAACAUCAUAGCUAGAAGCAGCGAGAAAUAUCCACAACAACAGGAGACACAAAAGCAGAAAAGAGGAAGACAUUAAGUUUUCAAAGAGGCCAGAAAACAGAUAACCAAAUCCCAUGUGAAGACAUUCCAGGGCUCAGCCUAAAACACUAUAAGCUAAGGGAUUAGAUUCAUUGAAGUACAAAAUUGUGUAGAAGAGAAUCUGAAACUUGCGGAGCAAAUAAUCAACAGAUUUAUUAGUAUUGUCAAACACUCUUCUGUUCCGUUCUCAGAUCAGAUACACAACCAAGGCUAGAGUAACUAUGCAUUCUUGACUGCUGCUCCUUCCUGUUUGCAUUAAGACCUUAGAGAGCACUAUUCAGAGUAGCCAUGCUCCUAUUGAUCUGCAACCAGGACUUAACCUUCCUCUAGAAAAGGGUAGUCCAAUCACAAGCAAAGAAAAGGUGGUUGUAGUUUCAUCAUGUUGCCUACAGAGAGAACAAAUGUUGUCAGACAAAGCAAGCCUUAGUCUGUCUUUUGUUUUCAGCCUUCAAAGCACAACUAACCAUAGGAUGAAGCUGUGACGGGGCCUUGAUCAUUGCUGCCAAAUUACAUGGCACCAUUGAAAAGGGACACUCUUAAAUCUGAAAUGUUCAUGAGCACUAGCAGAGAAGUAUCCCAAAUUAUUCUGUAAGCAUUGAAGCAUACUAACUACUUCAACAAUGCCACUAUAAUCACAAACCAGCUGAUCUUUUAGGAGAAAAAUAGACUUCCAGAGGGGAGAAGAAGUUUUCUGGAGCUUAGAAGUCCAUCGAAUCCAAAGAGAGUAAGUAGUAACACCCCUAUGCUAUUUAAUCAUACUAUUUGUUUAAUUAUAUAUAUAAAGAUAAAAUAUUUUAUAGUCUAGAUCUCAUCCAUACAAAUUACAAGUAAAUUAAUUUCGAUCAAAUCCAAUACUGAAUAUUGAAUUUUCAAAACAAAAAAUAUGCGGCGCUAAGGUAAUUGUAAAUUAAUGAAAGAAAAACAGAAUUUGAUGGAAUAUCAAUUAUUAUUGAUUGCAUCAUAUAUUUAUACAAGAGUAUAUACAAUCAUUCUCAUCUAUUGGGAAUCAAACACUUCUUCACAAUUCAUUAUCAUAUAGACUUAGCAUUACAAUAGGGAACUCAUGCAUACAAGUUAUCCAUUACUAGUAUAUAGCUGAGAGAAUUCCUAACACUCCCCCUCAAGUUGGAGAGUGGAUAUCCUGCACUCCUAACUUGUCAAUCAUAGGAAUGAAGACAUCCUUUCCUAAGGGCUUGGUGAAGAUGUCUGCCAAUUGAUGUUCAGAAUGAACAUGUCUUGUUAUCACAUAACCAUCUUGGAUUUUAUCCCUUAUAUAGUGGUAGUCCAUCUCAAUAUGUUGUGUGUGCUCAUGAAAAACUAGGGUUGACUACAAUAUAUAAUGCAACCUUGUUAUCACAAUGUAGCAAAGCAAGUUCAUGAUGUAAAAGUCCCAAAUCCCUCAACAGACAUAAGAGCCAUGUCAACACACAACAUGCUCCGGGCAUUGCACGAUACUCUGCCUCUGCACAAGAGCGUGAGACUAUUUUCUAUCGUUUUGAUCUCUAGGAUAUCAAUAAGGGUCCAAGGAACACACAAUAACCCUUGAUAGACCUUUAAGUUAGUUGGCAACCUGCCCAAUCUGAGUUCGAAUAGGCUCUUAAUCUGUAAUCAGUAUGUGAAGGAAAGAACAAUCUUUGAUUAGGUGCCCCUUUCAGAUAUUGAACAACCCAAAGAGCAGCUUCCAUAUAAAGAUUUCGGGGUUGGUGUAUAAAUCUGCUCAAAACAUGCACAACAUAAGUAAUAUUUAGUCUUGAAAUAGUCAAAUAAAUCAAUCUACCAACCAAUCUCCUAAAAUGACCUGGAUCUUUGAGCAAGUUGCUUUUGUCUGAUAAUUUUAAACCACGUUCCAUAGGUGUAUCAAUAGGGUUGUACCCAACAAUCUUGCAUCCUCAAUAAUUUCCAAUGCAUAAUUACGUUGAGAAAUGAAAAUUUUAUUCUUAGAAGCUGAAAACUCUAUACCAAGGAAGUAUUUUAAGGGGCCAAGAUCUUUAAGGUGAAAAUGACUAUGCAAAAUUGUUUUUGUUAGAGCGAUACUGUCGGGAUCAUUUCCAAUAAUCAAAAUGUCAUCAACGUAUAUUAAAAGGGCAGUGAAGGACUUAUCUCGUUGUCUGGUGAACAAAGAGUGGUCGACCUGAGAUUUUUUGAAUCCAACAAAGCAAAUGGCUUCAGAGAACUUGGUGAACCAUUGGUGUGAUGCUUGUUUCAGCCUGUAUAAGGACUUAUGGAGAUGACACACCAAGUCUUCCUCCCCCUGUUGAAAAAGCCUUGGUGGCGGAGACAUAUAAAUCCCCUCUGAUAGAUCACCAUGAAGAAAGGCGUUGUGAACAUUCAAUUGAUGGAGGGUCCAACCGCGAGCUACAGCCAAAGCAAGCAAGCAACGAACACAUACAAUUUUGGACAUCUACUUGAAACCAAGGUUUGUUCUCUUGAUAGUUUUUUAUUUAUUUAAUUUAGCUUGAUUGUUUAAUUCUGCUAUAACAUAGAUAACCUCAACCCUCCCCAUCAAAUUACAUAUCGUCUAGCAUAAAAAUUUGAACUAAAUCUUCCUCGUGGGAUCAACCCCUUGCUCUAUAUUAUCUUGUUUAUUUAAGCUAGGGUAAUUAAUUUGUAUGACCAUGGCGUCAUUGUCAGGGAAGUGAUUUUAAUUGAUUUUUAUGUUGUGAUUGUUAUUUAUUUUGUUAAAAAAGAAAAGAAAAAAGAAAAAUAGUGUGCAAUACUGUUCUCUUCAGGUAUUGUUCAAAAUAUAAUUGUUGGUGGAAUUAGGCCUCGACAAUUUGUUUCCUGAAGGAAAAUGAUAUUUUGAACAAGACUAGUUGCCUUUGGCCACUAGUCCCACCCUAACGAGGCCAAAUUCCAUUGUUUUCUAGGGUUUUUAGGCAUUAUUUGUGUUUUAUCGUUGGAGUUUUCAUUACUUUAAUUAUCUCGUGUGGUUCAUUUCUUUUUUAGUUUUCUUGAUGAUUUAUAUCUGUAACCCAAUCUACUAACCAAAGACAAAUGCAGGUAGACCUCGAAAUAGAGAGCACUUUAUGCAGGUUAUGAAAGGAAGCUCGCGUCAACACCGUGGUUGUUGCACGACAAUAGACACUCAAGGAGCUCGUUGCUCCUAACAUGAAGAAUCAACCAUUGUGCAUAAACAUCGACAAUAAUACCAACUUCGAGCCCAAGUCUUGUUUUACACACUUACUACCAAUAUUUAAUGGAGUUGCUAGAGAAGAUCCUCAUACUCAUCUCAAGAAGUUCAAAUGGUUUGCUUUGGCAUGUAACCGCACGAAAUUGACGAAGAAUAGGUUAAGUUGAAAGAUUUUCCUUUCUUUUUAAAAGGGAUAGUAACAACAUGGCUUUUCUCUACUCUCCCCAGUUCCAUUGGAAAUUGGAAUGACAUGAAAGAGAUUUUCCUUGAAACGUAUUUCCCAACCUCUCGAGUUGCCAACAUAAGAAAAUAAAUAUGUAGGAUUCGACAAUCUCAUGGGGAGACACUCUUCUUGUAUUGCGAAAGAUUUGAACAACCAUGCAUUCAAUGCCCUCAUCAUCAAAUACCUGAUCAACUGCUCAUUCAAUAUUUCUAUGAAAGACUGAGGCCUACUGACUAUAAUAUCAUUGAUGCGGUAGGUGGAGGGGCAUUGGUAGAUAAAACACCUGAGGCUGCACACCAAUUGAUUUCAAAUAUGGCAGCCAACUUGAAACAAUUUAGCAUGCGUGGAGAUUCCCCAAGCAAAUGAGUAAAUGAGGUAACUAUUGCUAACCUUGAGAAUAAAGUUAUUGAUCUUACUUCUCUUAUGUGUUCUUUGGCUUGGGGAAUUAUACAGCAGGUGAAAGUUUGUAGCAUAUGCUCAUUACAAGGACAUGCUUCAGAUAUGUGCCCAACAAUGCAAGAAGAUUACAUUGAACAAGCUAAUGUAGUUGAUGAAGCAUUAAAUGGAUAACUCUAGUGUAAAUAUGAUCCCUUUUCUAAUACGUAUAAUCCUAGAUGGAGAGAUCAUUUGAACUUAUGAUAUGGGAACAUGUCCCAACAUGGGAAUCAAGGCCGACAGUUCCACCCCCAUAGAUUUCAGCCCUAGUAGAAUUAUCAAGCUAGACAACCCCCUCCUGCAUUUACAAACUCCAAUGUUAUGGGGUCAUUGAAUGAUGAUCUUUGUGAGAUGAUGAAAACCUUAGCUUUUAACAUAGUGACCUUGCAAUAGAAUGUCAUGUCUUUUCAAUAGGAAACAAAGUCAAGUAUUCACAACUCAGAGAAGUAAAUCGGGCAAGUAGCUUCAAGUGUAGGGAAAUUAGAAACACAAAUGAAUGGAAAAUUGCCCUCCCAAGCAUUGAAUCCAAAAGAGAAUGUUGGUGUGAUCAUGUUGCGAAGUAGGAAUAACUUCAAGAGCAAAGGUUGAAACAAAUUGAGAUUAAGGAAGAAAACCAAAUUGAGUAUAAAGAAAAAACACCCUACUCCUCCACAAACUAAAACAAUGACCAAUAUUCUGAAGGUAAGUCCUAACUCAAUGAAUUCCAAUUUUCAAAAAAUUCUCCCUUUUCCUUUAAGUUCUUCCAGGUCUAAGAAAGUGGAUAAAGAAAAACAGAUUUUAGAGGUUUUCAAGAAAGUGGAACUCAACAUUCCUUGAUUGAUGCUAUCAAGCAAAUUCCUAAGUAUGCCAAAUUCUUAAAGGAGUUGUGUACUACCAAGAGAGCUUACAAGCUAAAAGGCUACGAAACGGUAAGUAUAGGUGAAGUUGUAUCUGCUGUUAUUCAAGAAAAUCUACCUUUAAAGCAAAAAGACCUGGGUGUGUUUACUAUCCCAUGUGUUAUUGGUAAUGCUAGUUUGAAAAGGACCUUAUGAGAUUUAGGUACAUCCAUUAGUGUUAUGCCUAAACAUGUUUAUGAUUCUCUUAGUCUUGAGCCUUUAAUUAAAACUAGUAUUGUAAUACAACUUGUGGAUCAUAUUUUUAUUUAUCCACUUAGUGUGAUAGAAGAUGUCCUAGUCAAUAUUGAUAGUUUGAUUAUUCCAUGUGACUUUUAUAUUCUUGAUAUGAAACAUGAUUCUUGUGAUUCCUCAAAAAACUACACUCCUAUAUUGUUUAGAAGACCAUUCUUAAAAACUACCAAUACUAAAAUUGAUUGUGUUAGGGAUUCUUAAAAACUACCCUAUAUUUACCUAGUAUUUUACCAACGAUUUAUAUAUAAAAUACCUUGAUAUUCUUUAUUUUAUGUUUUGAAGACUUUUUUGGCUAUAAGAUUCAAAAGGAAGCAAAUUGAAGAUAAUUGGCAUAUUUGACAUCCAAUCGAUGUUUUGUUCAGAGCUUAAGCUCUAAUGGUCGAAAUAAAUUGAUCCCAGUGGCAUUACCUUUCUAUACAUAUAUGGAAAGAAAAAUAAAAAGAGAAAGAGAAAGAGCAUGGAAAUAACAGCAUUCAAAGACAAAUCUCGCAUUGUACUAGUGUUGACCUUUGACCUUUCUAACUUGAAUAUCUUGAGCUAGAGAAAUCCAGAUGCAAACUCAUUUUUUUUUGUAUUCCUAACUCGAAGACCUAUCAUCCUACCAAUUAUCAGCAGAUAAAAAGCUCGUAUGAGAGAGAUAUGAGUUUUAUAAGAGGACAUAUGAAGUCUGUCAACAGACAGGUUUUGUAAGAAACAAGUCCAAAGUACUUCCCAAAGCAUCCAAAUCAACAUCUAAGUCUUUAUUUCAGCAAUUUAGCUCCUCUAAGUCCAAAGUUAAAGCUUGAAGAUUUUAUGCAAGGCUACUUCUUUUUUAGGAAAAUAGUUGUUAAAAUACUUAAAUGUAAAUUGUCUACUUAGGAAAAGACUAUUUUGUAGGAAAAGGGGAUUAGGAUUUCCUAUCAAAUAAAAACAAAGAGAUAAAGGAGGGGGGUUGGCCAAAAAAGAGAAGAAAAACACAUUUUUUCCUCCAAAACCCCAAAACCAUGCAUUCUUCUUUCCAUUUGAUUAGUUUUUCAAUAGACAUGCAAGGCUAAGCUCUUUUUCUUGGUUGUAAGGACACAGAAACCUUUAGAUUUCAAGAACUAUGAGAUUUAUUUUACCUUUUCUUUUCAGUUUAUAUGACGAAUAUGUUUGUUUUCCUAUGCUUAUUUUCUAUGAUUGUUUUAAUUGCUAGAGCGGACUCUAAAUUAUUAUUGUAAACAAUCUAUUGCUAAGUUUACCAUCCAAAUCGAAGUUGUGGUAUAUAAACUUGUGAAGCAAUGGAGUUUAAUAAUUGUAGCGGAGCUAUGUUAUUAAUCUUAGGGAAACAUUCGAUCAAAUCAAACAUGUAUUGUAGACAGUUAUGUGUCUAGAUGAAUCAACUUAUCUAGUUCUUAAGGCUAUCAUUCAAUUAAAUUACUAGUAUGGAUACUGUGGAUGUUUGAUGGUUAGGGUUAGUUACAUUGUGGAUCAGUUAACUAACUAGCAUUAAGAAAAGAUAAAUAUUCAACAUAUAAAUUUAUGUAUCAUUUCAAUUAUUGAUUUUGAUUUUCAUAGAUGGACAUCUACUUGAAACCAAGGUUUGUUCUCUUGAUAGUUUUAUAAUUUAUUUAAUUUAGCUUGAUUGUUUAAUUUUGUUAUAGCGUAGAUAACCUCAACCCCCUAAAUUGCAUAUCGUCUAACAUAGAAAUAUGAACCAAACCUUCCUCGUAGGAUCAACCCCUUACUUUCUUUAUGCUAUCUAUUUAAGCUAGGGUAAUUAAUUUGUAUGACCGCGACAUCGCAACAAUAACAUUGAGACAUGCAUCACUUUAAAAAGAAAGGUCUUUCAGCUCAUCAAAGUUUGAUGGAUCACUUUUGAUGAUGCACUCAAUGUGAAUUGAAAUCCUCUUCCCAACCAUGCUCCUGGAAGUAGAAAAGUUAAUAUUGUAGAGACAAGAAGGAAGGAAGCAAAAGCUAUAAGGAGAGCCAUGAGUGAGUUAUACAACGUGUUAAAGCUAACUCUCAAAACACUAAUCACAAAAACAAGCCUAAGAAAAUAAUGGUGACUUCUGUCUAUAUCACCAACACAAUGGGUAUGUCAUUGAUUAUUGUGAAGAAUUUCACAGUGAAGUGUUAAGUAAGAUGGCACAAGGAUUGCUAAUAAUUGACACUUUUGAAGAAAAUAUGGAGGUAUGGAUGGUGGUUGGGAAAGCAUGUUGAUAUCAACCAAGAAUAUGCCACUAAAAUUAGUUUUAACCAAGCGGAUGGUAGACAUAAAGGGAAAUUAUAAUGUUUUCCCUUAUUAUUAUGACCAAUCCCAUCCUACCAGAGUUUCUGCACCAAUUUCCUUCUUGAAAUUGAAGGGUUAACUAUAAAUAGGAGGUGUUUCACCUCUGAAGAAUUAGAAAACCAGCAGAAAACUAAGGUAAAUGAUGCAAUGAAUUUAACCAAAAAUUAUGAGGCUAACAAACCAAUGAGUGAGGAGGAAGUUACCGAGUUUCUAAAACUAAUGAAGCAUGGUGAGUACAGUGUGGUAGUUCAGUUGAAAAAGACACCAACCAUAAUUUCCCUGAUGUCUUUAAUCCUAAGCUCAAAACUACACCGAAAUGCACUCCAAAAAGACCUCAAUAAAGCUUAUAUCCCUCAAGACAUGAAAUAAAAUUCUAUGUAACAUUUAAUAGGAAGAAUCCAAUUUGCCAAUUACUUGUAUUUCACUAAAGAUGAACUUGAUCUUGAGGGAACUAGGCAUAACAAGCCAUUAUACAUCACGGUGAAAUGUAAAGAUUGUGUUGUCCCCAAAGUGCUUAUACACAAUAAGUCUUCUCUAAAAGUGUUACCAAAACAUGUAAUGGAACACCAAGGCCCAUCAUUGGAAGUAUUAAUGUUGAUUUGGUUAUUAGCUCGUAAGUGUUUCAAGUAACCAUGCAAGUUAUGGACAUCCACCCUUCUUACAACAUGUUAUUAGAAAGUUUAUAGAUACAUAUAAUAGGUGUGGUAGCAUCCUCCUUACACUAAAGGAUCAAGUUUAUCAUCAAUGGUAACCAUGAUGUCUAAAGAGGUUAUGACAAUUAUAAAGAAUGUGGUAGUUCCGUAUAUUAUGGCUGAAACAAUAUAGAAGGUGACCUACAUAUAUUUGAAGUUCUAAAUACUAAGUGGGUACUUGAAAACACCGUACAGAACACACCAAAACUUUCAGAAGCCGCAAUCAUGGCAUCAAAAUGCUUCCUAAACCAUGGUUUGCCUUUUUAAUAUAACCCAAUCACCAUUAUGCCUGAGAGGAUAAACAUUAGAAAGUUGAGAGCAACUGAUCAAAGAUUUGAGUUGUGGUUCAUGCUCGUGAGGAAGAACUUUGCAAGGGAAAAAAGAAUUUAAAAAGAAAAAAGAAUGGCCCGGAUUAAGGGAAAGGAACUUGAUGAGGAAGCAUUGAAGAUUUUCUGCAUACCUAGGAAAAUUUCCCACAACCAAUAAAUAUGAUAAGAGCAGGAUAAGAACUAAAGGAUUUGGAGAGAAAAAUUGUUAAUGCUAUAAUCAAUUGUCUAGAAAAAGCUAAAAAAGUUAAUGAAAGUACUUUUGAGCUAUUCUUACCCAAGUCAAUUAUCAACUCCCUCAAAGAGACUCCUAUAGAAAGUUUUGCAAGGAAGCUAGCUGAAGGAGAAUAGUUGAAUAAUUGAGAGACUCAAAAUAUCAUGAUUGUUCUCCGAAAGUAAUUUCAUCCAAGAAUGCUUAUAUCUAACAUGCUUAGUUUAUAUAUGCUUUUCAUGAGUCUUUUCCUUCUUUGUUUUUGUUUUUACAUGUUCACCCAAUUGAUAAUCUUGGCUCAAGAUAUUAGUUUGGAGACCUUAUAUGAGUUUGAGUCACCCUUUCAAUUUUAAUAAGAUCAUGCAUUUUUAUUCCAUCUGUUUCCUUCACUUACUUACUUUUAUUUUUUCAUAUAAAAAAUUUUCACUCUCAGAAAAUUUGAAAGCAGAACCUAAUAAACAUGCAAACUCAGAGAAUAAUUAGUCAAAUCUUGAUAAAAACACAAUUGCUAUGGAUGAGGAAGAGUUUGGAGAGGAAGACAUUAGAGAAUUCUCUAAUAUAAUUUAGCAGUAUGAGAAGGCCUUAAAACCCAUUGAAGAAAGAUUAGAAAUGGUGGAUGUUUACACUAAGUGUGGAAAAAAAAAAGGAUUGAAGAUUGGAAUGCAGAUUGUUCCCAAAUAAAGAGAUGGUUUGGUAGCUUUGUUGAAAGAGUUCUCUGAUGUGUUUUCUUGGAUAUACGCCAAUAUGUUUGAACUAGAUACUAGUAUUGUGGUACACAGGUUGCCUCUAAUAAAGGGGUGCAAUCCUGCCAGACAUCCUAAUUAAGGUAAAAAAAAAAGGGUGAAAGUUUUCUAGAAGUGGUCAAAUACCCUCAAUGGGUAUCAAACAUAGUAGCAGUGCCUAAGAAAGGUAAUAAAAUUAGGUAUAUGUGGAUUUUAGGGAUUUGUGUAGAGCUAGCCUAAAAGAUGACUUUCAAUUCCCUCACAUUGACAUGUUUGUACACAAUGCUGCCAAGAAAUCCACUUACUCUUUCAUGGAUGGAUUCUCAAGUUAUAACCAAAUCAAGAUGGCCAAAAAAGACAAGGAAAAGACUACCAUCGUUACCCUAUGGAGAACUUUCUGGUACAAGGUAAUGCCAUUUGGUUUGAAAAAUGCUGGAGUCAUAUAUCAGCGAGCAAUGGUAACACUUUUUCAUGAUAUCAUGCAUAAAAGGAUUGAAGUAUACAUUAAUGAUAUGAUAGCCUAAACCCAAAUGGAAGAGGAUUACGUGAAAAUUUUAAGAAAACUCUUUCAGAGAUUGAGGAAAUAUCAAUUAAAGUUGAAUCCAGCAAAAUAUACAUUCAAGGUUAAAUAUGGGAAGUUAUUCAAAUUUGUGGUAAGUAAUAGAGGAAUCAAGGUAAACCCAAAUAAAGUCAAAGACAUCUAAGAAAUGUCAGCACCCAAUACCAAUAAAGAAAUAGGGGAUUUUUAGGGAGACUGAACUAUAUAGCAUGUUUUGUCUUCCAGUUAACUAUAUGCAAACCGAUCUUUAGGUUGUUAAGGAAGAAUAACCUUGGAAUUCAGCAUGAAGAUUGUCAAGAGGCUUUUGAUAAGAUUAAGCAAUCAAUACCUUGUGAACCCAUAUUUGCUAGUACCACCAAUUCCUAGUAAACCCCCGAUACUAUACUUAACAAUCAAUUAAACAGAUAGAUGUUGUAUUAGGACAAUAUGAUGAUAUUGGAAGAAAAAAACAAGUCAUUUAUUACAUCAAUAAGAAGUUCACUAUUUGAGCUUUCAUAAUUUCUCCAGAUGAUAGAAAGAACCCUAACUCAAUCUAUAAAUCCUGGAAAAAAAAAAUCAAGGCUGGAUUAAAUUAAAGGAAAUAAACUAAACUAGAAAGAAGUGGGGGCAAAACGAAUACACUUAAAGAAAAUAGGGCCUAAAUGCAAAUAAGAAUAAUUAUAGAGCACAAGUACUCCUCUUCUCACUAAAAAUAGAUAUGCAAAUAACAUAAAGAAAGAAAAGAGGGAGUUUUUAUAUUCAUUUUUACAAAUCAAGAUUUCAAAAACCCAUCCAAGAUUAAGGGUUAUAGGUAGAAUAAACACCGGUGGGAAAAAGAUUAACAAGAAGAGAAGAGGGGAGGGCCGGCUGUCAUUAGAAAGAAAAGGAGGGAUCAAAACUUUGAUUCGUACCGGGUACGGUAUUCUAAACUUGCUCUUAUGAGUCAUUUCAAGUUGAUUAUGAGUUUAUGCCUAGAUGUUAAUUUAUAGAUUUUAGUUCUUAGACUUGAAUUGAGGGAAAAAGUAUGAGUUGCUAAAUUAAAGAACUUUGUGUGUUGUGUGUAAAUGGAAAGGUUGACGAAUCUGGACAGUUUCGUCUCUUGACUUUCAGAGAGAUUUCGGGUAGGAGGAUGAAGGAAUUAGGAUCAGAUUCCUCAUAGAAAUUGUAGUUUUGAAUGUUGGCUAACUAAUGAAAUUGGUUUUGCUCAAUUUGGAGUUAUAGAACUCCAGCUAUGGGUCACCAACUAAGACAGGGUCAUGAUAGACCCUAUAGGGUAGUAGGUCUUGUUCGUUGAUGAGAAAUUUUGACUGUCUUAGAGGAAGAAACGGAUUCUCCUUCCUUCAGAGAACUUGUAGCCUCAUGUCUUAGCUUUCCAACAAGACUAAUCUAGCUUGAAUCAGAGUUUUAUCACUCUAGAUAUAGUUAAAAAUAUGAGGAGAGGUUGGACAGUGGACAAUAACAGUUCCAUGUAUAGACGGUAACAGUUCAAAAAUGAGACAGUGACAAUUCAAUGUCUAAAUAGUAACAGUUGGACAAUAAUAGUUAAAUGUCUAGACAGUAACAGUUGGAUAGUAACAGUUCAAUGUCUAGACAAUAACAGUUCAAAAACAAGACAGUAACAGUUCGGGAUUUAAGCAGAAAUAGUUCAUACAUAUAUAUAUAUAUAAAGGAAUGAUAACUGCAGUUGCACAAAGAAUGACAAUAUUAAUGGGUGAAAUAAGAAAAACGUAAAAUAUUAAAAAAAAUGACUGAAAGAAAGACUUAUUGGUGUUGAUAUGUUUAUAAUAAAGCAUAUCCUAGAGUGAGGAGAAUUUAUGAGAUAAACCUGUGAAUUGCAGGAGGGACUAGAGGCGUGGUGUAAAGCUUCUAUUGCAGGUAGGUGAAUCACACUUGUACUUCCUAGUUAAUUUCAUGAUUUAUUUAUAUUACCAAUGUGAAAUGUGAAUUACUGAAUGUAUGGGUAUUCAAGGUGAAAAGUUGUUUGAAUUGCCAAAUGAUGAAAUUAUCACUGACAAAGGAAAUAUGAGAAGUGCGAUUUGAGGCGUAAAUUAUCAUACAUUUAGUGUAUGUUAGGAUCCCGGAUAAGGGGAUCGCCAUGAUUGGACUAGCAUACAUUUAGUGUAUGUUAGUAUCCCGGGUAAAGGGAUCGCCAUGUAUGGACUAACAUACAUUCAGUGUAUGUUAGGAUCCCGGGUAAGGGGAUCACCAUGUAUUGGCUAGCAUACAUUUAGUACAUGUUAGGAUCCCGGGUAAGGGGAUCGCCACGGUUGGACUAGCAUACAUUUAGUGUAUGUUAGGAACUCGGGUAAAGGGAUCACCAUGUAUUGGCUAGCAUACAUUUAGUGUAUGUUAGGAUCCCAGAUAAGGGGAUCACCUUACAUCGACUCAUAUGGGUUGAUGAUGAUGGUACUAGUGAAAUUGGUAUAUGUAAUGUGAUAAGCAAAAAUAAUCAUGUUCGAUCUCAUAAAGUCUGGAAUGAAGGUUGAAAGUGGUAGAGGGAACAAUUUUUAAUAGUUGGAUAAGGAAGGGAUUCUAAUAAAAACUAGAAGGGAGAAGCGAAUGAACUAUGAAUGCAUGUUACCCUGUUAAAAUUAUUAGAUAUUCAUGUUGUUAUAUUUAUUGUAAUAUUCACCUUUCAAUAAUAUGUAUUUUGUUUCAGGAUCAUCGCAUGCAUGACAGGAGUAGAUCCUAGCUUAUGUUCCCUUCUUGUAAUCUAGGUUUUAGGGAGUAUACCCUUGUAUUUUGUAAACAUGAAAAUGUUUGUAUAACUUAAUUUGUAUAAUUAAUGUUUAAACUUGAUUGAAUGAAUUUAACCAUGUAGUUCAUAUAACCAUACUUCAUGCUUAUGUAACUGUAUUUAUUUAUUUUUAUCUAUCCAUAAUGAUAUUUUGUUAUAUAAUGCAUAUUGUAAAUAUUGUGGUUGAUAGGUGUGAGUAUAAGUGCGGAAACCCAGGAUGAUUGGGUCGGGAAUUAAGUUAUGAGAUGCUAGCUAUUAAAAGUGUAAAUAAAUUCAAGUCCAUAACUUGGGACCUUCCGGUAUAGGGGGGAACUGAUGUGCAUCAUGGGAAUUAUAAUCCAUCUCGUAAAGCUGAAUCUAAUAUGCAAGAGGGUGCAGAUGGUCCAAUGACAAGAGCGAGAGCAAAACAACUACAACGGGCCAUGACGAAUCAAAUUGCAAUGAUUGAAGCUACGUCGAAGUUAAAAAUUAGCAAUCAGUUUGAAAUUGGUUCAAGGGUGCUUAUUUGCCUACAAUUGGAACUUGGAGAUGGGAAAAGCCCUUAAUGGUUCUUUUCAUGCUGGGCUACUUGUAUUUGGAUUGAUAAUGCAAGUGAAGGAAUUGAUGUUGUUUACGGUCAGAACAGUAGAUGGAUUUGAACCCGAAUUUGAAGUCAUCCAAUGCAUGUGAAAACAAAGAUUUAUGUAGGAAAAAUUCAAGUUCAGAAUGAUCUUUCUAGAUUGUCCAACCAUGAUUGCAUUGGACUUUUGUGUCAAAAGUUAUGGCUUGUUUUAAAUUUGGUCUGCUUAUGUUUUAGAAAUGUCAAAAAAAAUGUUUGUUAGUUAAAUUUGUCUACUUACUUUAUUAAAAGUCUAGUUUUUAGGCUUGACUUCUGUCAUGUUAAUUCAUCCUAACUUUGGAGGGAUGUUCCAAAGAUAAAUAUGUAUCAGAAUAUGUAAUAAACAUUUUUGGCCAAGAUUUGAAACUUAAUUCAGAGAAUUAAGAGUUGUUCUUCAAAUUCAUUUUGUGAAGAACCCUACCUGACUUAUCACUGUUCAAUCACAAAGAGUGUGGCGUCGAAAUCCUAGAUUGAUCUUUGUGGCAUCCAGAUCGACUUAUCAAAGUAUCAUUCUAGUCUAUCCUCCAUCUUAUUUACCUUAAAUCACUACAAUCCAGCAUAAAUACAAAAGAAAGACAAUACAACCAGACCCCUCCUUCAUCCAUUUCAUUAGAAUCAUUGUUAUCGAUUUUUGAAUCUUUCACGGCACAUCAUCUGGUAUCAGAGCAUCAGUUGUGAUCUAAGACAAGAGCCAAAAACAACAACAAGAAGAAGAAAGGUUUGCUAUAAUUGAGGUUGAUAAACUUAAUUAUGGCUGGAGAUAAAGAAGAUUUGCCAAAAGGGUUAAGUUUGGAACAGGCAUAGGUUAUGGGCUUACAACGAUCUCAUGCUGAGAUUCGGGAUGAAAUGACUGGAAUUCAUGAACAGUUGAAUACCCUUAUGCAAAUGAUGCAAAGAAAUAAUUUGCAACCCCAACAGAGGCAAGCACUUAGGGUGCCACGAAAUGAUAUUAUAGAAGCUGACGAAGAUCUAAAUGGGGAUUAUGGAGAGCUGAUCAAUGGAGAUGAGGUUGAAAUUGAAGAUGAAGAUGAGGUACAAGUGGCUGAACAAGAAGAGGAUUUCGAACCAGUCAAAGGAGAUUUGUUGGUUGUUCAACGAGUUCUGAAUGCACAAAUUGACGUUAGUGAUGAGCAACGCGAGAACAUCUUUCAUACUCGAUGUCAGAUUCAAGAUAAGGCGUGUGGGAUGAUCAUUGAUAAUAGAAGUUGCACUAAUGUUGUGUCAACUACCUUAGUGGAGAAAUUGGGUUUAACUACCUUUCCACAUCCCAGACCCUAUAAUUUGCGAUGGUUGAAUGAGAAUGGGGAGAUUCGGGUGACAAAGCAAGUUCGUGUACCUUUUUCCAUUAAAACCUACCACGACGAGGUUUUGUUUGACGUUGCGCCAAUGUCAGUUAGCCAUUUGUUACUGGGUCGUCCAUGGCAGUUUGAUAAGGAUGUGAGCUACAAUGGACGAAAGAACACUUAUUCUUUUAUGCUGAAUCGAAAGAAGGUGAACUUAUUACCACUGAGUUCUCAACAAGUUAGAGAGGAUCAGUUACGAAGCCAACAAAAGGAGGUGACAUCACGUAAGGGGUUGUUGUUAGCCAAAAAAGGAGACAUCAAACAAGCAUUAGCCACGACAGGGAUUGUUUUCAUGGUCUGGGCAAAGCAACUACUACAAGUAAAGGAUUGGACUUACCAAGACAAAUUAAGGAAUUACUUGAAGAAUUUAAAGAUGUGUUUCCAGAUGUAUUACCUAAAGGGUUACCACCUAUUCGUGGAAUUGAGCAUCAAAUUGAUUUGGUGCCGGGAGCUUCACUUCCUAAUAGACCAGCAUACAUAUGUAAUCCAGAGGAAGCGAAAGAGAUUCAAAAGUAGGUCGGUAAGCUCUUAGAAAAGGGCUAUGUGCGAGAAUCACUUAGUCCAUGUUCCGUACCUACUUUGCUUGUACCGAAGAAAGAUGGUACCAUGAGGAUGUGUAUGGACAGUCGUGUUAUCAACAAAAUAACAGUUAAGUAUCGAUUUCCUAUACCUAGACUUGAUGAUUUGCUUGAUGAGUUGCAUGGUGCCAGUUUCUAAAGUCGAUUUUCGAAUCGUACUUGGAUUACCAAGAACACAACAUGGGAAGGAUUCAAUAAUGGUGGUGGUUGAUCGAUUCUCCAAAAUGUCCCAUUUCAUUCCUUGUAACAAAACUGACGAUGCGUAUAUGUUGUUGAUUUGUUCUUUCAACAGAUUGUUCGUUUGCAUGGAGUUCCUAAAAGCAUUGUCUCUAUCGUGAUACAAAGUUCUUAAGCCACUUUUGGAAGACUCUUUGGAGGAAACUUGGAACGAAGUUACUUUUCAGUACGGCAUGUCAUCCACAAACUGACAAACUAAGGUAGUAAAUCGAAACUUUAUCUUCUUGUUACGAGCUGUUAUACAUAAGAAUUUGAAGAGUUGGAUACUUGUUUGCCUAUUGUGGAGUUUGCAUAUAAUCAUAGUGCAUGGGGCCAUAAAAUUUUCACCAUUAGGUUGUGUAUGGCUUUAAUCCUUGUGUUCCUAUUGAUCUUGUUCAUAUUCCAAUUGAUGAGAGGACAUCCUAUGGAUGGAAUUAGAAAGGUAAUUGAUGAAGAAACUACAUGAGCAGGUUCGACUACAUAUUGAGGAGAAAACAACAAAGUAUGCUAAACAAGCUAACAAGGGCGAAAGAUGGCCAGGUUUGAACUGGAGAUCUUGUUUGGAUUCAUAUUAGUAAGGGCAGAUUUCCAAGAAAAUGUAAGUCCAAGUUGAUGCCAAGAGUUGAUGGUCCAUUUCGGAUUAUAGAGAAGGUGAAUGAAAAUGCGUAUAAGGUAGAUCUUCCUGGUGAUUACAACGUAUCAGCUACUUUUAAUGUGAAAGACUUGACUCCAUACUUGGAUGAUGAUGACGAUUCUAAUUUGAGGACAAAUCAUUAUCAACCCGGGGCUGAUGAUGUGCAUCAUGGGAAUUAUAAUCCAUCUUGUAAAGCUGAAUCUAAUAUGCAAGAGGGUGCAGAUGGUCCAAUGACAAGAGCGAGAGCAAAACAACUACAACGGGCCAUGACAAAUCAAAUUUCAAUGAUUGAAGUGCGUCGGAGUUAAAAAUUAGCAAUCAGUUUGAAAUUGGUUCAAGGGUGCUUAUUUGCCUACAAUUGGAACUUGGAGAUGGGAAAAGCCUUUAAUGGUUCUUUUUCAUGCUGGGCUACUUGUAUUUGGAUUGAUAAUGCAAGUGAAGGAAUUGAUGUUGUUUACGGUCAGAACAGUAGAUGGAUUUCAACCCUAAUUUGAAGUCAUCCAAUGCAUGUGAAAACAAGAUUUAUGUAGGAAAACUUCAAGUUCAGAACGUGAUUUUUCUAGAUUGUCCAACCAUGAUUGCAUUGGACUUUUGUGUCAAAAGUUAUGGCUGUUUUAAAUUUGGUCUGCUUAUGUUUUAGAAAUGUAAAAAAACACAUGUGUUAGUUAAAUUUGUCUACUUACUUUAUUAAAAGUCUAGUUUUUAGGCUUGACUUCUGUCAUGUUGAAUUCACCUAACUUUGAAGGGAUGUUCCAAAGAUAAAUAUGUAUCAGAAUAUGUAAUAAACAUUUUUGGCCAAGAUUUGAAAAUUAAUUCAGAGAAUUAAGAGUUGUUCUUCCAAAUUCAUUUUGUGAAGAACCCUACCUGACUUAUCACUCUUCAAUCACAAAGAGUGUGGCGUCGAAAUCCUAGAUUGAUCUUUGUGGCGUCCAGAUCGACUUAUCAAAGCAGAUGAUUGAAAUGAUUGAAGCUGUAAAUAAAUUCAAGUCCAUAACUUGGGACCUUCCGGUAUAGGGGGGGACUCCGUCGAAAUUCUGGUAGAUUUUAAUACGAAGACCGUGAACAUAUAUAUAUAUACAAAAAAAAAUUAUUAUGUUUUUUUUUUCGAUUGACAUGAGAUUGUUGUUUUAUAUCCCAGAAUUGAGGAUGUUACACAAUCCAAUUGCAAUUCAGUUGCACUAACAAUAUAACUGAGUAUAAAGCAUGCACUUAUGGCUUAGAGGCAAUUACAGAAAUAAAAAUAAAGAAGUUAAAUGUCUAUAGAGACUCAAUGAUGAUAAUCUUUUAAGUUAAAGGAGAAUGACAAACUACAGAUGAAAAGUUGAGGUCAUAUCAGAAAUAUCUUUCCAAACUAAUAAAGGACUUUAAUGAUAUAGAAUUUAUACAUUUGGGAAAGGACAAAAACCAAUUUGUUGAUGCUCUAACAACUUUGACCACUAUGGAUCAGAUUGAUUGUGAGGAUCAAGUACAACCAGUAUGUAUAAGAAUUUGAAAUUUCCCUACUUGCUGCUACUUAGUAGAGGAAGAAAUAGAUGAGAAACCUUGAUACUGCGACGCAAAGAAAUUUGUCCAGUAUUGAGAAUAUCCCAAGGGGGCAUCCAAGUUAGAUCGAAAGACAUUAUAAAGAAUAGCUAUGGAUUACUACUUAGAUGGAGAAUUUUUAUAUAAAAGGCGUUUGAUGAGAUUUUUCUGAGAUGUUUAAAUGAAAAAGAAACAAGGAAAACACUAUAUGAAAUACGUGAUGGAAUAUGUUCUACACACAUAAAUGGACAUAUGAUGACCAGACAGAUCUAGAGGGCUGGGUAUUUUUUGAUAACCAUGGAGAGGGAUUGCAUAGAUUACAUGAGAAAGUGUCAUAAAUGCCAUGUAAAUAGAGAUAAAAUCAAUGUGUUACCUAUAAUGACCCGGCUUUUUUUCACGACCAAAAAUCGCUGGAAUUGUUUUUUAAUCGUCUGCUUUCUAGAUGUUUUUCACCAUAUCAUUCUUUAGAUUUAUUAUUGCAUUUUGUUCAUUAACAAAGCACAAUUUAUGUAGGAUAACAUAAAUCAACAUUCUCAUAGAACGGAUUCUCAAUACACAUGCCCAUAAUAUUAUAUUUCCAUACUCGUAGGUUUACAUUACAUCAUAUCGACAUACUUAUAAAUUCACAUUCUUGUUCUAAUCUCGUUAUCAUCACGAGUUCAUACAAGAGUGUCGACAUACUCAUAAAUUCACAUUCUUGUUCUAAUCUCGUUAUCAUCAUGAGUUCAUAAAAGAGUGUCGACAUACUCCUAAAUUCACAUUCUUGUUCUAAUCUCAUUAUCAUCAAGAGUUCAUACAAGAGUGUCGAACAACAAGUACACAACUAGUACUUUCGUUAUCCUGACCUCAUGUAAUUUCACAACAUGACAUCCUCAUUAGAUGAAUAUCUCAAAUGUAUAUUCAUAUCCAUCAUAUCAACUUAUUUGUACAUUCACAUCCAUGUACCAUUUUAAUUUUUCAUUACUAGUCUUUAUAAAAAAGGUCGGAUGACUAAUUGAGUGAUUAACACAUCCGUUCAUGUAGAACUCAUAUCACCUAUAGCAUAAGAAUAUAUAGUUCUUUUCAAAACAUGUGAGCCACGAAAUGAAUUUCCUUACGCACUAUGUUGGUAUGAUGCCCCUGUUACAACACAAGGUAAUUUCAAGCAUUAUAGGCAAUUUCAGAGAACAUAGUAAAGCAAUAUUAACGUUACAUUUCAUUCAUGGGCCAAAAGAGCAUAAUUCUUUCAUUUGUCCUUGCUUAUGUAAAUACUACCGUUAAUAAUUCAUCAAUUAUCAAGGCUAAUUACAAUACUUAAACCCGAUCAUUCAUCUCUAAUACCAUUAGCCAAACUAAUAUUAUUCUCUAUUCAAAACAUAACAAUCGUAGUUCUUUCAUAUACUUAGUAUAUACAAAACAAAGUAUACAUGAACGCAUCAGCUCUUAAAACUAACUCAUAACACUUAAAUUUAUUAUCCUCUUAGGAUGCCAUCAGUCGGAGCCAAUCGUUUAUUCAUCCUGGUCAUCCACUUAGGAUGCUAUUAGCUGAAGCUAGUCAUUAUUCAUCUCGAUUCGCCAUUUAUGAUGUCAUUUACCGAAACUAAUCAUUUAUUCAUCUUGGUCAUCCACUUAAGGUGCCAUUAGUUAUAGCUAAUCAUUUGUUCAUCCCGGUUAUCCACUUAGGAUGGUAUUAGCCGAAGCUAGUCAUUUAUUCAUCUCAAUUAGCCAUUUAUGAUGCCAUUUACCGAAGCUAAUCAUUUAUUCAUCCUAGUCAUCCACUUAGGGUGCCAUUAGUUGUAGCUAAUCAUUUGUUCAUCCCGAUCAUCAACUUAGGAUGCUAUUAGCCGAUCCUAGUCAUUUAUUUAUUUCGAUUAUCUAUUUAGGAUGCCAUUUACCGAAGCUAAUCAUUUAUUCAUCCUGAUCAUCCACUUAGGGUUUCAUUAGCUAAAGCUAGUCAUUUACUCAUCCCAUCCAUCCACUUUGGAUGCCAUUAGCCAAAGAUAAUCAUUUGUUCAUCUCGACCAUCCACUUACAAUGCCAUUAGCCAAAGCUAAGCAAUCACUUGUUCUGGUCAUCCAUUCGGAUGUCAUUAGCCGAAGCUAAUCAUUUGUUCAUCUUGGUCUUCCGAUUUGGAUGCCAUUAACUGGAGCUAAUCAAUCAUUUAUAUCGACCAUCCAUUCGAAUGCCAUUAGUCGAAGCUAAUUAAUCAUUUGUCCCGGUCAUUCAUUCGGAUGCCAUUAGUCGAAGCUAAUCAUUUGUUCAUCCCAGUCAUCCGUUUUUUAUGCCAUUAGUCAUAGCUAAUCAUUUGAUCAUCUCAGUCAUCCGCGUAGGAUGCUAUUAGCUGAAACCAAUCGUCAACCAAUCAAACGUUCCAGAGGCGGUUUGUAAAAUCACUAUAACAUGGUAAUAUCCCUUGAUUUACUCAUUCAAACGAUUCAUAACAAUUUGACAUUCACUACAACAUAAUAGAAGACCCUUCGUGGUAUUCGUACAAGCGUUCUGUAAUAAUUUAACAUUCACUAACAUGAUAAUAGAUCCUUUGUAAUACACAAACAAACAUUCCAUAACAGUUUAGCAUUCAGUAUAACACAACAAUACUCUUCGUAUUAUUCAUCCAACCAUUUAUGCCAAUUAAUGUUCAAUACAAUGCAAAAAUAGAUCCUUCGUAAUACUCAUACAACCAUUCAUGAUAAUUUCAUUCAAUAUAAUACAAUGGUAGAUCCUUCAUAAACCAUUCGUCAUAAUUACAUUCAAUAUAAUAAAAUGGUACAUCCUUCGUAAUACUCCAACAACCAUUCGUCACAAUUACAUUCAAUAAAAAUACAACAGUAUAUCCUUCGUAAUACUCAUACUACCAUUCAUCAGCAACCCAAAUUCAUAAUAGCCCAAUCAACAUCUCAUAUUCGGUUUAAUAUUCUUCACAACACAAUAAUAUAUCCACCUCAAAAUGGGGCUUUUUAGAACAUUAACAUUUUCAUCAUUGUUUCAACAUUCAUCAAGAACUUGAUCGACAUUUCAUAGUCGUUUCGACAAUCAUCAAGAAUUCAAUCAAACACUUCAUCGUUGUUUCAUCAUUCAACAAGGAUUUAAUAAAAUAUCAUCAUAAGUAAAUCAUUUGAAAACAUAAACAUCAUACAAAAAAAAGGUGGAAACCAUCUACUAGAUCCAUUUGUGGGUUGUCCUUGUCCCGAUGAUGGUUUGAUCCCGGCCACACCAUCUAAGACAUCAAUGGCUACAAAUCAGUACAUUUGCAUCUUUAAUUCACACUCGUCACCAUACUUAUUUCAAGUGUUCUACAUUUUACACCAUUAUACAAUGAAAUUGUUACAAGCAUUUAAGUCAUUUCUGCACGGGGGGCUCUAUUGUAGAAAAUCAGCAGCGAAACUAAUUUGCGGCUGGCCACACAAUUCGACAAUGAAAACUGAUUCAUUGUAGGCCGUACAGUUUGGCAGUAAAAAUUGGUAUACUGCAGGCCGCACAUUUCAAAAGCAAAAACUAGCUAACUGUCAGCCGCACAAUUCGGCAGCGAAAAUGUUUCACUGCAGGCACCACAAUUUCAGCAACAAAUGCUACUUCGUUGCAGCCAACACGCUUUUGGAAACGAAUGCUAAUUCGUUGUAGGCAACUCAAUUUUGGCAGCGAAUCACACUUUUGCUGGAGACAACACAACUUCGACAGUGAACGCAGAUUCACUGCAAACAAACACAACUUAGGCGGCAAAACUUGAUUCAUUGUGGACAACAUAAUUCGGCAGGGAAAACCUGAUUCAUUGCAUACAGCACAAAUUCGACAGCGAACACCUAAUUAACUGCGGACAACACAAUUCGACAGUGACCACCUGAUUCAUUGCGCACAGCGAACACCUAAUUCACUACGGAUAACACAAAUUAAGUAGCGAACACCUGGUUCGCUGCGCCCAACACAAAUUCAACAACGAACACCUGAUUCGUUGCGAACAACAUAAAUUUGGCAAAGAACUACCUGAUUCACUAUGGACAACACAAUUUGACACCGAACACUUGAUUCAUUACGGAUAACACAAAUUCAGCAAUGAACACAUGAUUCGAUGCGGAUAACACAAAUUUAGCAACGAACACCUUAUUCGCUACAAAAUACCUAAUUUGGUAGCAAACACCUAAUUCGCUACCGAUAACACAAUUCGUUCUUUGGAUCCAAUAGAAUCAUACAAUUUUAACAUGAACACACAUGAAAAUUCAAUUCCAGCACAUAUUUUGUCAUUGGAUUCCUAUGUCAGCUGUAACAUGCUUUCGAGGCUACAAACACACAUGUUUUUUGUGCUUAACAUCCACCAACACAUUUUCAUACAAGUUCUUCAGCCACAUAUACAGAAUUCAUGACAUUAACACAUUUAUAAUUUUGUUUUGGUUUCACAUAAUUAAGCAACUAUAACAAGAUCAUCAUUUUGCUUUUUAUCCCUUUAAUAUAUGUUAUGCCCAACCCUCACCAUAGCUGGCCACCUCUCUAAGUUUUUUGCAUUCAAAAUUAUACAUUUCAUCUAUUAAAUGUUCUGAAAUUAGGUCCCCAUUUUCAUCCCUCAUCCUUGUCUAGUUUUCCUUAACAGUUGGUGUGAGAAUCUUAAGCUAUUUACUUUAGGUUUUCUUAUCCCUUUUCAGUUUUAAGGCCCCAAGAACAAAUGGAGGAGUAGUAUGGUUCAUACCUCACAAAUUUAACAAGUUCAAUGCAAGUUGUGGUGCCCUACUCUCCCUUUCUUUUUUGCUUUUCUUCCUUCUCUCUCUUCUUGUCCAACCGGUGACAAGACCAAAAGCUUGAUGUCUUCUCCCAAGUGCAGGAGUGUCGAAGUAAUAAAUAACCCGGCAAGACCGGGGUCGAACCACAAAGAGGUUAAUUCUAUAAAUUAUAAAUAACAAUACAAUAAUAAUAACAAUAACAGUAAUAGUAAUAAUAAUAAUAAUAAUAAUACUCAGUACGUGGCGUUGAUAUACCUGAGAAUGAUCUAAAAGAUCGGGUCACAGGUUUCCAGCCUAUAUACUGAUUUUAUGAAAAGAUCAAAGAGAUAUAUUAUAUAAUAUAAACAGAUUUCUGAUGUGAAUGAACAAGGCAAGACCAACAAUGUCAGGAUCCUUGAUCAAACACAGAGCAUACUUAAUGUACAUAAAAUAUAACAAGAAUGUAAAUAAUAAUAAUAAUAAUAAUAAUAAUAAUAAUACUAGUAGUAGUAGUAGUAGUAAAGAAGAAGAGGAAGAAGUUAAUAAGAGCUUUGAGAUGGAAGAUUAACAUAAGGAUUAAACAAUGAUAAAAACAAUUGUCAAGGUUAGAGGAUCCACUAAUGGUAUUUCAAACAAGUAUAGUAUAAACUCUUAUUACUCAACUUGAAAACCACACACGAAGGAGGUUCCAAUCAAUUGUUAACAUGAUUACAUUAGUUAUCUUAUUCAAAUAAUGCUAAUACUUGUAAAUGUUGUCAGGCAUUCAUGAUUAUAACUUAAAUUAACAACAAAUCAAGUUCCUUUUAUAGCUCAGGUGUCGGUUAUACCAUACAAUAUGGGCUAUGAAAGUGCCAAGUAUUUGUUGUACCAAGUCUUAUACAACAUAAAUCUAGAUUAACCUUUAACAAGCAAAGUAUUAAAAGUGAACAAGAUAACAAAUAUAAAACAUGUUAAUAUCAAGCAUUAAAGUCCAUGUUGAGUUUAUACUAUAAUUAUUUUUACACCAUUAGUGUACCCUUUUCACCUUGACAUAAUAGAUUUAGCUAAACAUAAUGAAAGAAAGAAACAUAAAUAAACAAGAUAAGAACAUAAUUAUACAAAUAAAGGAAAGGAAAUGAAGAGCAUAAACAAGAGAUUAAUAUAACAUCAAAUAAAACUUAAACAUUACAAAAUACAAAGAAAGAGAGCAAGAGCAUGAUCUUGAUCUGAACACCAAGAUGCCUAAAUGCAUGGCAAAUGCCUCCUUUUAUAGGCCAAAAUUUGGAACUAUUGAUUUGAUGAAUAAUUGUUGAGUGGGUGGCCACAUCUUGACUUGGUGAAAAUCUUUAUCUUCUUGUCUGAAUAAAACGUCAUUGCUAACAUCAGAACUGGAACCAUAUAUACUUAUAAAAGUUCUAGGAAAUUAUCUUAGCUUUCCAGGAGAAAAAAGUUGUGGUCAAGAUAUGGACUGAAUACUGAACAGUGUCUGGGCUGCAGGACAAAUUCAGACUUCUCCGUUGUUGCUAUAAUUUAGACUUGAAAACGGCCUUCUUAGAUCUUGGUGUCCACAUGAAAGUUGUAGGCCUAUGUCUUACCAAAUAUGUGUAAGCAUUUGAGAUCAUUUGGACAUCUAGAACUCGAGAUAUGACCCAAUUACCGAACAAUGUUCCAGUUUGGACUACACCAACAUCUCUUUUUCUAAGCUUCACCCUUCUUUAUCUUCAAAAUUUCAGUAGUUGAAUUCAUCAAUCAAUCCUUUGAUUUAUGUGAUAGGCCUGCAUUUAAGAUGAACAUUUACCAUAUAUUAAGGUAUCUUAUAGUAUUAGACUUGUUAUUAUAAAACAUGUUUUAGUUAAGGAGUUAUUGAUACUUUAAGUACAAAAUGAUGAUAUAAAACAUUGAUAAAAACACACUUUUAAGUACUAAUCAUCCCCCCAACCAGCUUAUUACUAGUCCCUAGUAAUCAAAGCAUUAAAAUAGAAAAACAAUUUGCAAGUUCCACAAAGCAAGGCAUUCAUCAUUCAACUUCCACUAAUCUAUCCAGAUAAACAAACUCUCAUUAAAUUUCUAUUCCUGCUUUAUACUUCUUAAACAAGAUAUUAAUAAAACUUCUUUUUAUGUGCUCAAUGUAUGAAAAUAUAGAUGAUGGGGCUUUUGUUGGAAGAAAACAAUAUUAUAUUCGAAUGUUUAAGGUUAACUUCCUUGGGUUGGGAUUAUUAUUAUUAUUAUUAUUUCUUUUUUCUUUCUUUUUCUUUUUUUUUUUAUAUACAUAUACAACUUAAAACACAAUGUAUCUUUAACCCAUGUAACACGUUUUAGGCUAAUGACUCCCAUACUAGUUGGUCUUAGGGUAUUAGGUGUUGAGACACCCCUACGAGCUUAGCAACUCGGGUUGCAGAUACUGAUACGUAGAUAGUGCAAUGUUUGAUUCCCUUAAGCUUUUCUCUUUAACCCAUGUAACAAGCUUUGAGCCAAUAGCUCCCAAGUCAGUUGACUUUAGGGUAUUAGGUGUUAAAACACCCCUUCAGGCUUAAUUGCUUAGGUUAUGGAGGCUACAAAACCAAACUUAUCUACGUUUUUAUUAUCAUCAAUAUUAUCAAUUUUUUUUUUUUUGCAAAUUGUAUACUAUCAAUUUCCCUUAGUUGUUUACCUUCAACAAAAGAACAUAAAUAAUGUAAUAAUCCAAUGUGCAACCCACGAUCAUAUGUUAAAGUGUGUGUGUGAAAAUGAAGGUUUAAUAAUACUUGUUAAAUGAGUAUAUGAGCAGAAUCAAGUGAUAACAAUGCAAUAGUUUGUAAACCUGAAUAUUUCAAGAAGUGUUAUGAUAGACCUUGAUAAUGAUACUUACUAAGAUGCGUCUCUAAAGUCAAUAAAAUUUCCUCCUUACUCUGCCAUCCUAAUAAGGAUACUUACUAAGAUGCGUCUCAAUAGUUAAUAAAACUGACUCCUUACUCUGCCAUCCUAAUAACAAUUUUGUCAAAUUGUUUUAAUAAUAGCAAAAACAGUUAGUAAGUUAGUUUUUUUUUUAAUGUCAACUACUACCCUCUCCCCCCAACCAAAACGAGACAUUGUCCUCAAUGUUUGAAGGUAGAAAGAUAGAGUAUAGAAGACAUUACCUGAAACAACGAACAAUGACAAACCUGAAACACACUUAAACAAAUAUAAGAAGUAGCAAAACAAAAUAAUAUGUUAUUAAUAAAACCAAAAGACACAAGGUUUCACAAAUGAAGGCUUAAAUCUAAUCUAAGCUUUUUACGACUUUCCUUAGUUGACCAAUCUAGGCGACUCAUGUAGGGAUCAAUGACAAGGAUGAAAGAUUGUAGUUGGUCAAUCAAUUGUUCAGCAGUAGCAGCAGAGAUUAUGAUAUGUCAUGCCGAAGAAACCAUUAACAUUUAACAAACCUAUAGGUUUAUGGUGAAUGUGCAGUUGGGCCCAAGAUGAAAUAUGAAAGAUCUCUUCCAAUGUGCCCAGACCACCUGGUAAGGCAAUGAAGGCAUCAGCAUGGUUAAACAUGGCAUUCAGUCGAUCAGACAUUGUGGGGACCUGUAGUUCCUCUCCAAUUGUUUUUCCAAUGAUGUCCCCAUUUGCUAAAGCUUUGGGGACAACCCUCAAAACUUGACUGUCUCCUAAAAAUACAGCCAUUGACACACCUCCCAUUAACCCAAGGCUGCCUCCCCCAUACACUAAAUGCAUCUUUCUCUCAGCUAGUACCCGACCAAGAUGAUUUGCUAAUUCUAAAAACUCUUUUUCUUUCCCAGAACUGGAUCCACCAAAAACACAAAUAUUUCGUAUAUGAUGACUUGAGGAACCUGCCAUUUCUACACACUUCUAUAUUUGAUGAAUGUAUGGGUUAAGUAGAAAUGAAGGGAAGGAAGAGAAGAAUUUAUAGAUGAGAAAUUGAAAAUGCAAUCAUACCACCUAUAUGUAGGCCAGCUGUUGUCUCACACUCUCUCUCUCUCUUUAUUUAUUUAUUUUAACAAAUCAUGUAUGUACAGGUAGUUAGGAUUGUGGCUCACAUCUUCCCUUGGUUUUACGUCCAAGAACGGCUUAAACGCCCUCUAUGGGUCGGGGAUAGGCUUCCCAUCCAGUUUUCUUAAAAACUGGCAAACAGGGUCUUUUUUAGUUAGAUUCCCAAGACUAAGUCGAUCAUGUUCUUUAUGGAAUUGUGGCCAUAAAUCAUGAAUUACACGAUGCACAUCUCUACUAGGAUGCGUCUCAAGGGUCAACAAAAGAUUAUCUAAAGACCCCUUACUCAGGCCAUCCUUAAUGAAUUGUAUCUUAUCUUCACGGUUUACAGAUACCAUUCCUAAAGAACGACAUGUGCAUUACAAGUCCAUCUGGCACAUCUGUGACAGACUUUCAGUCGUUUUGCACGACGUUUCUUUGCAAAAGUGCUUGUACCUGUUCCAGGCAUGUGUGAAAUGAAAGAAUUGGAGGACUCACCUGAUAAUCGAACCUUUGCUUCAAUUAGCCAGAAUAUCUUCAGGAAUUCCAUGAUUCAUUAACAACCUCAAUCUUGCACACCUAGCACGGUAAAUUUUUGUAAUCGCAUUUGGAGGCAGAGCGGGAAAAUACCUUUUCAACUUUUCAAGAGUGGUGUCCAUUUUCAAAAGAGAAUUAGAGAAGAGAUUCAAAGAAGGGAGAAAGAGCUAAGAAUUGUACAAAUAUAUACAGAUAUCAGUUAUUUGGGAAACUGAAAGAACCGACUUAAGUCACGGAGUACCGUUAUCCGCCAUUUGACCGGGGUGAGAGAGAGACUAGCCAAAACAAAACAAAACAUAACACAAAACAAUGUGAGAAAAAGAAUCAAUCUUUAUAUACAGGAUCACUCAAUUCAAUAGAGUCAUUUUCAAUGAAAAAUUGUCAAAAUAAACUUUCAAACGAUGCCCAUUUACCUUGAAAACAUUGCCAUUCUUUGGAUUCUCAAUAUCACAGGCCCCAUAUGGAUACACAUGUUUCACAAUAAAAGGACCGCUCCAUCUUGAUCUUAGUUUUCCAGGAAAUAAAUGGAGUCGAGAAUUAUAAAGCAAGACUUUUUGACCAACAUUGAAUGUUUUUCUCAGUAUUUUCUUGUCAUGAAACUCUUUGAUUCUUGCUUUAUGAAUUCUUGAAUUGUCAUAUGCAUCAUUUCUUAUUUCCUCAAGCUCAUUUAUUUGCAAUUUUCGCAGCUGACUAGCAUCAUCAAGGUUUGAAUUGAAAGCUUUAAUAGCCCAAUAAGCUUUAUGUUCAAUUUCCACAGGCAACUGACAAGGUUUUCCAUAGAAUAGUCUAUAAGGUGACAUACCUAACGAUGUUUUAUAAGCAGUUCGAUAAGCCCAAAGUGCAUCAUUAAGUCUUAAAGACCAGUCUUUCCUAUUAGGGUUCACUGUUUUCUCCAAGAUUGUUUGAUCUCCCUAUUAGCAAGCUCUACUUGUCCACUUGUCUGAGGGUGAUAAGGGGUGGCAACUUUGUUGUGAUUCCAUAUUUCUUCAUUAAAGACUCAAAUGGCUUGUUGCAGAAAUGUGUUCCACCAUCACUUAUCAUGGCUCGAGGGAUUCCAAAUCGACUCAAAAUAUUGUCUUUCAAAAACUUUAUCACUGUUUUGUGAUCAUUGUUUCGACUUGGAAUUGCCUCUAUCCAUUUUGAAACAUAAUCUACUGCGACUAAUAUGUACACGAAACCAAAUGAUGGAGAAAAUGGACCCAUGAAAUCUAUACCCCAACAGUCAAAGAUCUCAAUGACAAGAAUAGGAUUUAAAGGCAUCAUGUGACGUUUCGAAAUAGAUCCUAACUGUUGACAAUUUUCACAAGUCUUGCAGAAUGCAUGUGAGUCCUUGAACAUGGUGGGCAAGUAAAAUCCACUUUGUAAGAUUUUGGUUGUUGUCUUUUUCGAUGAGAAAUGACCCCUAUAUGCCUCAGAAUGACAAAAUUUAAUGACACUACUUAUCUCAUUGUCAGAAAUGCAUCUUCGAAAUAUUUGAUCAGGACAAUAUUUGAAUAAAUGCGGGUCAUCCCAAUAAAAGUUCUUUACUUUGUUCAAGAACUUUCUUUUGUCUUGGGUACUCCAAUGAGCUACCAAUUGUCCUGAAACAAGAAAAUUAACAAUAUUAGCAAACCAAGGCAUCAAAUUCUUGAAGUAACAAAAUCCACCGCACCAAUCUAGCCUUAGAAUCUUUCUUAGAAAGAAGAUAUUUCAAUGUUGCAUGAUCACUAAAAACAACAACAGGUGAGCCAACAAAAUAAGACCUGAAUUUAUCACAUGCAAAUACUACUGCAAGUAUUUCUUUUUCAGUGGUGGUGUAAUUCAUUUGAGCACUAUUUAAAGUUUUACUUGCAUAGUAAAUCACAUAAGGUUUCUUAUCUUUUCUUUGUCCCAAGGCAGCACCCAUGGCAUAAUCACUAGCGUCACACAUUAUUUCAAAGGGUAAUGACCAAUCAGGAGGUUGAAUGACAUGAGCAGAAGUAAGCAAGUUUUUAAGUUUAACAAAGGCUUCUUCACAAUGUUCAGUCCUUCAAAAAUAUUAUCCUUUGUUAGAAGGUUACUCAAGGGCUUGGAUAUUAUAGUAAAAUCUUUGAUGAACCUUCUGUAAAAACCAGCAUGUCCUAAGAAUGAUCUAACAUCCUUAACAGAUUUUGGUGUUGGUAAGUUGGCAAUUAACUCGAUUUUAGAUUUAUCAACUUCAAUUCCUUUCGAUGAAACAAUGUGACCAAGUACAAUGCUAUUUGUUACCAUAAAGUGACAUUUUUCCCAAUUCAGUACAAGAUUCUUCUCUUCACACCUGCUCAAAACCUUUUCUAAGUUAGUUAAACAAUCAUCAAAUGAAUCACCAAAAAUAGAAAAAUCAUCCAUAAACAUCUCAAGAAAACGUUCAACCAUAUCACUGAAUAUGCUAAGCAUGCAUCUUUGAAAUGUGGUUGGUGCAUUACAUAAUCCAAAAGGCAGCCUUCGAUAUGCAAAAGAAACAAAUGGACAAGUGAAAGUAGUCUUCUCUUGAUCUUCCAAUGCAAUUUCAAUUUGAGAUUAAAUGGUAACGGCUUCAAUUCAGGUUUUGGUGGUUGAACACUUGAAGGUAUGGACUCAAUUGAUCAUGGUGGCAAUUCUUCAAUUUGUGGUCUCCAAUCACAUGCCUUUAAUUCUUCCUGAAAAUAGACCAUUUACAAAUCAUCAGAUUCAUUAAUCUCAGUUUCACUAGAAGUGGUUUGAAAUUGAUCAUGAACUAAUUUUUCAAUAAAGUCCACUUCCUGUAAAUCAUUAUCAUCUCCAGGUUGGUUGUAAAUGUUGAAAAUAUUCAUCUCCAAUGUCAUGUUUCCAAAUGAUAACUUCAUCAGUCCAUUCCUACAAUUAAUCAAUGCAUUAGAAGUGGCAAGAAAUUAAUGGACGUCCUAAAAUGACAGGAAUUGAAUUACAUGCUUCAACAGGUUGUGUAUCCAAGACAACAAAAUCUACAGGGUAAAUGAAUUUAUCAACUUGUACUAACACAUCCUCAACUAUUCCUCUAAGCACUUUUACAGAUCUAUCAACAAGUAAAAGAGUUAUAGAGGUUGGUUUUAACUCACCUAUUAAGCAAGUCUCGAUACCUAUCCCAACAUUGAUAAAAUGUUUCUCCUGGCUUUUGAGUGAAAGUGAUGAUUUGUCUUUUGAAAGAGUUUGUUCUGUGAGACAGAAAAAACUUCUUUAAAAAUUGUUGUUGCAUUUCAUCCCAAGCACGAAUAGAUCCUGGUCUCAAAUUUUAUAGCCAUGUUUUAGCUUUAUCUUUUAAUGAAAAAGGAAAAAGCUUUAAUUUAAUGGUGUUCAUGCUAUAAUUUGAGUUAUUAUAGGUAUUACAGACCUCCUCAAAUUCCCUUAAAUGCAAGUAUAGAUUUUCUAGGUCUAAACCAUGAAAAGAAAGGUAAAAGUUGAAUAAUGUCUGGCUUAAAAUUAAAAUGAGAUGCAUCAAGAGGGACAACUAUGCAUGAGGGUGCACUUGUUCUUGUGGGAUUCAUGUGGUCUCUAAGUGUUCUCAUACGGUUAUUCUCAUUAUUCUCAUUAUGAAGCGAUUGAUUAUCUUCUUCGGCAAUAUUUUCUGAAAAUGAUGAGAAUACACUACAAAGUCGACCACUUAAUGUACGUGACCAAACUCACAUGCACAUGUGAGAAUAAAAGGAAGAAAAGAAAAGAGAAGAAAAAGAAACAAAAGUUAGAUAAAAUGAAAAGUGAAAAGAGAAAAUAAAUUAAAUAUUAUAAUUUAUACAAUAAUUUACCUCCCCGGCAACGGCGCCAAAAAACUUGACACGACCAAAAGGUUGAUGUCUUCUCCCAAGUGAAGGAGUGUCGAAGUAAUAAAUAACCCGGCAAAACCAGGGUCGAACUACAGAGAGGUUAAUUCUAUAAAUUAUAAAUAACAAUACAGAGAGGUGAAAAUCCUUAUCUUCUUGUCUGAAUAAAACGUCAUUGCUAACAUCAAAACUAAAACCAUAUGUCCUCAUGAAAGUUCUAGUAAAUUCUCUUAGCUUUCCAGGAAAAAAAAGUUGAGGUCAUUUGGACUUCUAGAACUCAAGAUAUGGGCUGAACACUGAACAGUGUUUGGGCUGCAGGACAUAUUCGAACUUCUUCGUUGUUGCUAUAAUUUGGACUUAAAAACGGCCUUCUUAGAUCUUAGUAUCCACAUGAAAGUUGUAGGCCUAUGUCUUACCAAAUCUGUGUAAAAAUUUGAGAUUAUUUGGACAUCUAGAACUCGAGAUAUGAUCCAAUUACCGAACAAUAUUCCAGUUUGGACUACACCAACAUCUCUUUUUCUAAGCUUCACCCUUCUUUAUCUUCAAAAUUUCUGUAGUUGAAUUCAUCAAUCAAUCAUUUGAUUUAAUUGAUAGGCCUGCAUUUAAGAUGAAUAUUUACCAUAUAUUAAGGUAUCUUAUAGUAUUAGACUUGUUAUUAUAAAACAUGUUUUAGUUAAGGAGUUAUUGAUACUUUAAGUACAAAAUGAUAAUAUAAAACCUUUAUAAACAUGCAAUUUUAAGUACUAAUCAACCAGCCUCUAAGCUCCGUUUUCUCCUAGGUUUUUGGUUUUGUCUAUUUCUUACUCACUUUUCCCUCCAAGCUCAGGGAAAGUAGCAUGCAGGCUGGUUGGGUUCGGUUUUAUGCUUGAAGGAGGGAUGUGUGUGCUGCAGCCAUGGUUGCUGCCGAUUCUAAAGGAAGGUCUAGGCUCCAUCUUCUACCAUGUUUUCGAUCACUUCUCCUUCCCUCUAGCUCUCUUCUCAUGCAGCACCUUAGGAUAUUUGCAUGUAGUUGGUCGGUUUCGGUAUUCUCUUUAGAAAAAGGUAGAGGGUCUGUUGUAUGCAGCUGGCUGGUUUUGCCUUGGGAAAGAGGGAGAGCGCUUGCUGCAUGCAGUUGACCGCCCAUUUAUAGAAGAGGAAAGGUCACCCUCCCUCUCUCCUUGCAUUUAUACCCCUUGUUAAAUAAGAGGGGUAUGUUUGGGUGCUAGAUAUCUCUGGUUCCUAUCCCUCUUUAGAGUUAUCCUAGACUGGUUCCUAUUCCAAUUCUCCUCUAGGAUAGACCAAUCCAACAUUAAUUUUUGUUGGGUUUUACAGUGCCGUUGUCGAUUCAAAAAUCAACAGCUAAAAACCAUGUCGUUGCUGACACGAUCAAAAGAUUGAUGUCUUCUCCCAAGUGCAGGAAUGUUAAAGUAAUAAAUAACCCGGCAAGACCAGGGUCGAACCAUAAGGAGGUUAACUAUAUAAAUAAUAAUAAUAAUAAUAAUAAUAAUAAUAAGUUAAAGAGGGACUUUCAGAUGGAAGAUUAAUGUGAGGAUUUAACAAUGAUAAAAGCAAAUGUCAAGGUUAAAGGAUCCACUAAUAAGUAGUUUUGUCUGAUAAAAACAAUGGAAACCCUAAACUUCUUUUCUCAAGGCAGUUUUGUCUGAUUUAGUCAAUUUUAGUAGUGUUACACCCAACUUUGGAUCGAUGGAGGGAAAACUACAUACCGCCAAAUCAAUCAUGGUUUGAUCCUAGUUGAAGAAUAACACUACCCUUACAGGAUCUAUGACUUGUUUUGCUUCAAUAACCUUCUAUUCACCAUGAUUAAUUCAUGAAGAAUGCACCCCUAGUCAUCCAUUUUAUGCCAAGCUUUAGUUAUGAAGUUCCAAACCUUUUCUAGAAGUUCCAAGAGUUUGUUAGACAUCUAGAGAGCUAGAAAAUAUAAGAAUAAGAUACAAGAAUCAUGUCCUAACAAAAAAAAGCAAAUAAUAGCAAAUAAUCUCCUAUGAUCUAGUUUUGAAAAACCAUCUUCAAACCCACAAAUGAUUUUACAACUACCUGUCUUUUGAAGUUAUAAAGAAAAAGAAAUCACAGAGGAAAAGGGAGGAGAGAAUCACAGAGAAAAGGAGGAGAAAAACUUAGAGCAUUAAAUCGCCAAAAGUCUCUUGAUAUAAAGGCUAUAAAAGAUUGAUAAGAAAUGGAAAGAAAGAGGUAGAAGGCAAAGCUCUUGAGUUCAAGAGUAAAUAUAGAAAUACUAGAGGACUAGAAGCUUGAGGAAAGAGCAAAACAUUCCAAGCAAAAAAGACAACAUUGUUAAGGUAUUCCUCAAACUUUGAUGAGGGUGUGGAGCUUAAUGAGCACACCCCCUCUCUUUUUAUUAUGUUUAUUAGAUGUUUAUAUUUGAUGUUCAUUAUGCAUUUCCUAUUUAGUUGCUAAAGCAACAUUUGGUUGAAUUUAAAAUUCUCAGAGGAAAAAACUUCAUAUUUUGUUCUUAAAGCGUAUUGUUAAAUACAACCUUAAGACAAUUUUAAAGCCUCUAAUUUUCAGUUAAGAGCGUGUUUGGCAAACAUGUCAUACUGAUUUUUCAAUAGUGUUUAUUUUCUCAUAUUUUAUGCCUUUUCCAAACUGACCUCAAAUAAUUUUCAAAAAUUCUAAAUAAAUUCAAAGGAUCAUUUUAAAAUUAUUUAUGGUUCCUCACAAGUGUUCCAACUAUUUUAUUUAAUAUUUAGGAUGUAAAUUAGAAUGUAAGAUACUGACCCAUUAUUAAAUAUACUUGCCAAUUUUUUCCUUAUUCAAAAAUUUAGAAAAACAAAUACAUGAAAUAUAUAAAUUCCUUGUUUGAAAAAUAAAUACAAAAAAUAUAUUGUUAUUAUUUUGCAUACGAUCAAAUUUUGAAAUUUUCAUGCAUACUUCAUAAAAAAUAAAAAAGUGCAUUUUUUUCAUACUUUAAAAAUAUGAAAAAACAAUAUAUUAAUGGGUAUCACAAGUUUGUGAUUAUCCAUUAGUGUUUGACUAAAAUUUCAAAAACACCAUAAAAAUCAAUUUGUUAAUUAAUAUUUGGGGUGUGAGUUUUACAAAGUAAUGCAUAUUCCGAGUAUUAAAAUGAAUUGACAAGAAUACACCUUUAAUUUUUAAGAUAAAGAUCUUUUUAUCGAGGAAAACGUUUUUUAAACCUUAGACAAACUAGUGAAUAAAAACAUAACUCAGACAAAUAAACAAUGUAGCUUACCAUAAGUAAGGUAUAUUAGGGGUGAUAUGUUCUCCUUUUACACAACUAGUCCCCUUGUCAAUACUCUAAGACCAAUUAGAAUUUUUAGUGACCAAAAUAUUAUCUAGCUACUCGAUCCUUUUUAUUUAUUGAUAAAGGAUAAGAAUUCUUGUUCUUUCCACCCAAACCAUGAAAAUUCUGAUCCAAGAGGAUGAUCAUCGCAACGUUGUACAUAUACAACAAAUCAUAAUAGAGUGAAAUGUUAUGGACAAACAUCGCAUUACUAGAUCAACCCAAUUAUGAUUGAAUCCCUUCUAUAAUAUAACACCCCCACCAAAAAGACCAUUCAAACUUGUCAUUAAUUCUUUGUUGAAGAAGAAGACAUGGAAAAAGAGUGAGGAAAGAAUAUAUGUAAGUUAGGGUUUCUAGAAGGAAAUAAAAAUACGGUGUUUUCAACAUUACAUGGCUAUCAUGAGCAAGCUAAAUUGUUUACACUUGCACAAAAUGUGUGCAAGCACAUGCAUUUUUGGAGUUUGUAUGUAAGUCUUUUUUAUUAUUCAAAAUGAAAUUAACAUUGAUUGUAGCUAUUUCAGCCAUUAACAAAGCUAUUAUUCAUAUAUUUUUGUCAAUGUCAAUUGUCUUAUAUGAAUGGUGGCCAAGUUGUUUGAAUAAUUUUUUUUAUUUUUAGUGGUUUCAUUGACAUAAAUUAAUGUUUAGCUUUAAAAAUUAUAUGUUUCGAGAACUUGAUGGAAUAAUUUAUAAAAACUUUUUGCUAUUAGAUUUUUCUAACUUCAAUCAUGUUGAAUGCUAUGAAGUUAAUCCGAAUGACAAGCAGAGUUGUUGAUGUUUGAUAAGAAGUAGUAUGAGUUAGCAAAUUGGAUUUACAUUUUGGCUUAAUAUUUCUUGUAAUUAUAAUUCUUAAGUAUACAAUGAUUGUAAUCAUUUUAAAUGGUCCAACCUUUAAGAUUGUUUCUCUCUUUUUCUUGUUCUUCAGAAUAAUUUAAUAACUUAAGAAUUUUAUUAUAUUUUAAUUAAUAUUGUUUUGGGUAUUGAAUUUUAUUAUUAAUAGAAAUUUAAUAGUGAAGAUGUUUUAUUUUUAUUGUGUUUAUUCUUGCAUUUCAUUCAAUUUAAUUAGGUGAAAAACUUCUCUCGGAAUAAUGAUAAAUAAUUUAAAAAAUGGACAAUACCAUUAAUAUUAGGAAAAAUAAUAUUUAAGUACAUCAAAAUAUAAAAAACAUCAUAGAAAACAUAUUUAAUUUGAUUACGAUUUUUUUCCAAAUAAAAAAGCAGUAUAAUAUAAACACAUUUUCUAGUUUUCUGAGUUAGAUAAAUCUUAUGAAACUUUAAGAAAUGAACAUGUAUUUUUUUUCACUAAAAAAACUGAAAAAAGAGAAGAAAACUAAAAAGAAUAAAGGAAAAUUGUUUUUUUUUUUUUUUUGCUAUGUGUUUGGAAAAACAAUCGUAAGAAAUGGACACGUAACACAGUUUUAACCCAAUUGAAAGUAGUUACACUGUGAUAUUUUUAAUGCACAAUGAAGACUGGGCCUACCAGUUCAAGCCAAGCCCACAAAACUAGAGAGGAACACAGAAAAGGCUUGCAUUUUAUCCUCACAAUACUAGUCUCCAUAUUUCGCAAAAUCUCAUCCCCUCACUCGCCCCCGAAUUCAUGUCUCUCUUCAUAGCCAAUGGCAAUGGUGGUGGAGGCCCGAAUCCUCUACACCAACCCCACGAGACACCACCCUUACACCCACACUCCAUGCCGUCCUCAUUUCCUGUUUCCACUCAGAAGAUCACCUCAAGAUCACCUCCAUAUAGUCUCAGCUUCCAACAAGAAACUUUCCUCUGUCUCUAGAAUUGGCAAGUUCGACAGCAAGAACAGGAGGAGCUC